UUGGAAGCAUUUGGGGCAUCAUGAAAUAGAUGCAGUUUGCCCUAUCUGACAUAUAGUAAUGGUUGCUAUAUCAACUGACAAUUGGCCUCUGACAUCUGACCUGACGACAUCUAAAGAGUUUCUGCACCCCGCCUGUGCUUCAAACCUCUACUUGUUUCCAUUGGAGAGAAACCAAAGUAAAAAUGUUCUUUUGUUUUUUAAAAUGAGGAUAUAUUUGGAAAUUGACUUAAAAAUAGAUUACAAUCCUUGAUUUUUACACAGCUAAGCAUAUUAUCACCCAGAGCAGCUCGGAAUUUUUUUUGCCAGAGUUCGGAGUUCUCUGACUCCAAUCGGAGUUCUCAAACUCUGAUCAUAGUCCGCCUAAGGUGUUUACAUGCACUUCAGUUAUCCGGUCUUAAUCAGAGUAAGGCAAUAAUUUGGUUCUCUUGAGUUUCAUGUAAACGUACUGACUGAUGUUCACUGACAGGUUUUUGAAACAUCCAUAGAGGAAUCCCAUGAAUAAGGCUUUGGCUCCACAGACACACUCCUGACAAAUAAAUGCUGUCUUUUCCUGUGUUUGAUGUAUUGUAACGGAUGUACCUGCAUGUAUCUCUCCUGUAAAACAAACUGAGCUGCUUUCACAUGUCAACAUCAAAGCCAGCCCAUGAAAGGUUGCAGCCACUUCAUCAGCUCUAUUUACACUUUGAUGACACACUAAUGGAUCACAGUGUUCAGACAACAUUGAGCCAUUACCUGCUCCACUAAAUCACAUGAAUCUGUUGUCAGGCUGUAGGAAAUGGAGUCUGAGUCUUUGUUUUGCUGAAGUUGAAGCAUAAAAUAGCAGCUCGGUCUGAGCGUCUGAGUCUUAUUUGGGAAACCGAACCCUACUUGUGGUGGCUCAGUGUUUUCCCAUCUGUGGAAUGAGGUGCAACAUCAGCACUAAGCUACCUCGCUGCACACUCACAGAUGAUUUAACAGCUAGCUCUUAAGCGCAGCCACGGAUUAAUAGAGCUUGACACAAAGCCUUUUCACUGGCUUUAUCUGUUUCUCCAAAGCUUGGGGGAACUGAGCACUGGUGCUUUUCCCAGCGUGACACCAGUAUCAUUUGUGCUGUUUCACACUAUUUUCUUUUCUUUUAAAACUUAAAGGUUUAUGCUGCGCUGGCAAGCAUUGCAACAGACUAGUGGCAAUUUCCUUCCUCAGAGAUUCACAUCAAAGAAGAAUUGACUCCUUUGCCCAAAGAUUAGCCUCAAUCAAGUCCCAAUUUAAUGCAAAGCCUCUGUGGGUCAUCUAAAUUUGUGGAGGACCCGCAGACACAAGAGUUUGUGGUGAUGCUGCAUUGGAUUAGGGGAGGUUAUCAGGGCUGACUUCCUAAUCCACUUGUUUACAGCUCCCCAUUUUUGUUCUAGAUACCCAGAACGGUAAAUUGAAGCUUUGAAAUUUGACACAGCUCAAAAAUAUAAACACUAAACUUGAAGGAGGUUUGGGGAUUUGGGGAGCUAUUGAGGUCUGUAUCUUUAAUCUGUGUGCACCUGAUACCCUGCAUUUUCCAUCAAAACCUCAGCAGUGGAAGAAAAAACUGCUCAGACCCGGCAGAAAAGUAACAGCAGAGGAGAGCAGAGUUGCUCGACAAUUUAACCCUGCUAUCCAUUUAGUCAUGAACAGAGACGUAGAUAAAUCAGCAAGGGUUGUUCCCAAUGAACUGAACAUCAAGUUAAAAGCUGCAUAAAGUCUGACUUUCCUCCUACUUCAGAAAGAGGUUAUAUAAAGUAAGCAAGGUGCUCUGUGGCAGCUGGGGAUGCCAACAAUCCGGUCUAACAUGGAUUCAAUCAGCAAUACACACUAUUAAAACUCCUGUUUACACACUUGGAGCACAUAUCACUAAGACUACUGUGAUACUGAACCCACUAUGUGUGAACCUGUUAUCAAAAGAGUACACUCGUUUGGUUGUAUGGCAGGGUUACAUUAGAUCGUAAUCUAAACAUUAUUUGUAAAAGUUCCACAAAUAGGCUUUUCCAGACACAGUUCUAGUGUUUGUGAGGUUUUCAUCAACUCUGUCAGCAUCCAUAGUGUUUAGUCUUUUUUUUUUAACUGUAACUAAAUACACUGAUAUUACAUUUCAAUGUUUGAACUACUGCUUGAAAUGCAUGUAAUUAUGGAGAAAUGCCAUCAAAUUCAUGAUUUCUGUCCUCAUUUCAAGACUAAAAGUCAUUAAAAUUUAGCGAGAGGACUGUUUUGUGAGACAUGUUAAAGCCUACUUUCUACUGAUUGAAAAGAGGUGGAAAUCAUGUCUUGUCUUGUGUGUGCAGAUUUGAUUUCAACCAGUUUCAACCAAAUUUCACUUCAUCCUCACUGGGAGCUAACCCAAGCAGGGCUUUAACAACAAAUGCAGCCUUAGCUGGUUUUAUCAGUGAGGCAACUCGAAACACAUGCAGGGUUUGCUCUUAGAGGCUUUAAUCCAUCACUAAUUCAUCUUAAUCGAUUGUAAUCUGCCAUUUAUUUAUAUUUUUGAUCAGAAAAACUACAGUAUUUCCUUAAAGAGUGUGUUGCCAUGGAAGAGUAAUUGACAUAAAUUGCAUAAAAUGGAAAAAAUACAAGAACCACAACAUAACUGCAUAAGUGGAGCUGUAUAAACGAGGAGAAAUUGCGUUGUAUUUUUUGAAUACAAUACACAAAGUAACAAGCUGAAGCAUUAUACUUACAAACUUUUUCCAGGCAAUGCUUUUUUGUUUCAUCUGUCAUCUUUAAAAUACCCUUGUGUGAAAACUUCCACAGGGAUUUAACAUGAGAGUAUAAUGAACAUAGGGUAACAGCAGUUUCCAUUUCUAAACACUGUUGAGCCCAACCUGAAUGUGACCUUCCAUAGUACAAAGUCAGUCAAAAAAAAAACCCAGAGCCAUAUUGAAGUUUUCACAAGAAAGGCAGUCAGCGAUAGAUCUGCACUGCUCAGAAUGUGAAUUAAGUCACGGCAGAGGAACUUGCGGAAAAAAAUAGCGCUGAGAUUAAGAGGAGAUUCUUUGGAGAUGAAACGGAGGAUUGUGCUUCUGCUAAUUAUCUCCCUUAGGGAAAGAGUCAGCCUUUUUUUUGUUUGAAAUUGUGCAAAUCUUGUGACUUUCUCCAUGUGCUUAUACUUGGAAGUGAGUGAUUUUCCAAUGAUGUCUUGCUGUAAAACAAAAAGCUAAAUUUAGCAGCUCAAUCUGUCACUCCAAUCCAAACCAUACAUCUAAAAACACCUUAGUUGUCACGUUGAAUAUCACAUGCACUUUGCCUUAUAACCCAUGUUGGUAUGAAUCAUACAACUGUAAAUAUUUGCAAAUAUUUCCUUUAAGCCAACCUCUAACGACCAGGCGUCUACCAUCUGGUGACCUUGCAGUAUAAUCUUCAUUGCGUGAUAUAGUUGGACAAUAGAUAGCUGCUGUAUUGGCUGAACUUAGCUGGCCUACUCCAGAGCUGUGGGGGAGAGCCUAACAAAACACUACAGUUUUUUUUUUUUUUUUUUUUUGUGGUUUAACAGAAAGUGACAACAAAUCCUCCUCUUUAAUAAUCCACAGUCUGAGCUGUGUACAGAUCAAAGGGAGAAAAUGGCAGCCGUGUUUUAUGUAGAUGCUUGCCUCACUGUAAAAACAGCAGCUCUAUUUCUCUGUCUUGCCUUAUUUUGCGGUGAUAUUUCUGUGUCUAAAAAAAAAUACUCUCCUUGGACCGUUAAGUCUUACAUUCACCAGAAAAACACUGCCGGUGAACUACUGACAGAUGAGGACUUUUUUUGACCUCAACAGAAAUCAUUGCCAAACCCUCAGAAUGGAAGAGCAGUGUGGAUCAUAAAUGCAGCUCGAGGAGGAAACCUCGGGGAUCAUUGACAAGCUGUCACCAAAAUACAAUGGAAUAAGAAGGAUUUUGAACCAAUUACCAAGAGUGCCUGCUAUUACUGUGAACUGGAUACAUGGAGCAGGAUCUUUGGAAUCUGUACUGAGUCUCUUUUUAGCUGUCUUUCUGGAGCAUCCAUAUGACUGAAAAUACCAGCGCUGUGAUAUUUUAUGUCAAGCACUAAUUUACAGGUGUGUUCAGACUUUUUGAUUGGGCGAAUGACCUAUGCAUGGAUAGCAUAAAGUAUAUUUCUAUAGACACCAAUAAAAAGACAUGUUUAAGUUUGCUAAGUAACAUAACAGAGAUUCCACAUAUACAUCUUUUGAGUUUAAAGCUUUUAUGCAUAUAAAAUGGACCAAAAUUUAUAUCGAUUCAUUUUAAUGAUAUCCUAAAGCAAGUCAGACCAUCAGGAAUAAGAUUGACGAUUUGAUAUUUUAAUUAUCAAUGCCAGAAACUUGUUUGAGCGGGUAGCUGUCAGUCAAAAAUCUGUGGAAACAACCUGGGUUUUACAUAUUUCCAUCUGCAUUUCUACUAGGCUGUGGUAGUAUGGAAAGCAAUAGUCAGGUAGAUAUGUCAUUCAUAGUACUGUCUUCUCACAGUUCCAGUGCUAACCUGUCACAGCAUGUCAUUUGCACAGCAUCUUCACUACUGUGGACAAGAAUAAAUAUUUGAAAGAAACUCCUCCAUACAGAGAGGGCUGGCCAAGUCUUCUUUGGGGUUACUUUACCUAUAGUGCUGGCCCUAUUCACAAACCCACUCAGUGUGUGUACAUGCAGAGUCAAGUCAAGCUUGAUUACAUGAUUUAAUCAGAGUACUGUUCUGGCUCUAGUCUGCAAGAACUAGGUUAGAAUCAAUUUAUGUUGAGUUUAUGUCUUAGCUCUCUAGCAACAUUAUUGCUUUUGCUGUUGCUGUAUAGGGUCCCUGUCACAGCACUAGCCACAAAACAUCUUUUUAGCUUUGCCUAAUUUCUUUAGCAAAGAGACCAAACACAACUCAGCCACUCUCUUCCAGCAGCCGCUUGUUUGUACAAAGACCUCAGAUGAGUCCAUUACCAACUGCAAUGGGGUGUCGCAGCUCAAGGAAGAACAUUUAUGAUAAUUUCUUCAUGGAAAUCUAAUUGGACCAAGAGGCUAAGGCAGAAGAACUCUUGCGUCUGCAGUGCAAAAUGAUUAAUAUGAUGAUUAUUAUUUCAAGGAAAUGAUAAAGUAAUAAAGUUAUAAAAGAAAAAGGAAGGAUUUUAAAUGCAUUGAGUGACUUCUGAAACUUUCACCAAAGAAAGCAACAGUUUUGUACAAGUGAGUAAACUUGCUAGGUCAGUCAAAAGAAAGGUUGACAUGCCAUUUCCAAUAUGGUGACCACUGUUAAUAAACUUAAAAACUCCACCUCAGGAACCUCUGGUUGAUGUCACUGAGACUACAUCUAUGCUGCCUAUGGUGUCAUUAUACUGGGUUUAGUAACGGUGUCAAAGUCAAAAGCCAUCACCACUGCAUUCUUGGCACCACAGCCCAGUGAGUUGAUCUAAAAAUACAUUUAGCCUCUGUCAAGACAAAUAGCCAAUCAAAGCUCUGGUUUUUGGUUUGGCACCAAGGGUGGCCAUUUGUUUUCAAAGGGGCCGCCAUCACCCCUGACACUUCUUUGGACACAGCCCUGCUGCGCUGACUCACUUUUUCAAACCUCAGCCCAUUCUGAUAAUUUUCCCAGGAUUCAUUAUAUCCUCUGGCAACAAACUGAAAAACAGCAACUGCGGUGGUUUAUCUCACACAGCUUUUUUAUGUGGUCAAUAUUCUUUUCGCCUCUUCAUAAUGUGAAGAUUAGAAGGAGGCUGUCGACUGAAGUAGCAGAGCUCUAACAAGAUUGCCAAUUUAGAGUGGCUACUGCUGACCACACGAACACACACACACAGAGACACAGAUCCACACACAGACCCACACACUCAAAACUAGACGAGAGAGAUAUGUGUAUGUGUGCGAGAGUGAGGGAGGGAGGGAGAAAGCGAGCGAACAUCAAUCUUGCCCAACAUGAUUUGCUGACUGGAUGAAAGCACUCCAUCUGUCUUACGCUGUUUAUUGAAGGAAAAUUGGUCGAAUUUAGCACAGUCGCCCCACAAAUAGUGAGUGAGAAAAAAAAAGAUUAGGAGAUGUCCUUGAGCACACCUGUGGUGGAGCGAGAUAUUACAGCAAUCGUAGGAAUCAAAGAAAAAACAAAAAUAUUACACCAGAUACAUUAUUACCACCUACAGUGCAGUCUGAGUGUUUGGACGGAGGUCCAUUUUUCUGUUUUCUUGGCUCUUCUGCUGCAGCACAUUGAGUUUGGACCAAUAACAAUGGGGUUAAAGUGCUGACUUUUAGCUUUGAGGGUGUUUGGGAGUUUCACAAAGUGUUUUUUUUUAUGAGGAGCUCUCGGUUUUUGAACAGCACAGCAGGAAAAUGACAGAAUUUAGAUUCAGACAAUGUUUACCACAGAUAUGCAAGAAGUCGACACAUUCAACCUCACAGCCCUUUGUUCAUUUUGGAUCUCAUGCUGGGGUACAGGUCCCAAAAAACUGAAAAUAUAGACCCAAAUACUAAAAGACUCACCAGUGUAAUUACUCACAACCCCCCCAAAGGAUUGCACUCAAAACACACAACAACCAAACAAUAAUUAGCUUAUUAUUGUCUUCUUGGAGUAAAAGUUAAGUGCAAGUAAGGUCAUGUUUUUCAAAUUAGUCUUGCUGAACUUAUUGCAGUUUGCUGUGUCAGCGCUCUCAGAAGAAUUAACAAGACAAAAGGUUGUGCCCUGCCAAAGCCCUAAUCUGCGCCCACACUUCGCCCUCAGCCGUGUGUGUCAGUCCAUGACUGCUAAACGGCAUGCUCAGGGAGAGGCAGAUGUGGCUGGACGCCCCAGCGGCUAAUUGCAGCAGAGCAUGUACUGUACAGUCAUGGUGAAUGGAAUGUCUCAAACAGGGUUACUAAAAGUCUUUCCCAGCAUAGAGUGACUGCGUACAUCUUUACUUUGUUUCAAUCAACAGCCAAAAAGAUGUUCAGAGGAAUAGUUUUGGUUCAUAUGACUCUUGUGCCUUUACAAGCUUUAAAUGUCAUAUGUUUGUGCGUGUGGCCCACAGACUUUAGUAGAUACAUCAUAGGGAAAAGCAAGGUCAACUUGUUACCCCUGUGAUUCUCAGUCUUAAAAGGGUUUUCUGGUGUAAAAUUAAUUUAGGGUCAACACACCGUAACACUGAGUUAGACGCCCCUUCGAGAGAUGAAUGUUGCUAACCGCUUGCUUCUUUAGUUAUACCACCUAUAGUAAUGACCACAGAAUAGCAAUACACAGCGGUCUGAGGAGCGAUAAACAAACCUCAACCGAAACGCCACUCUGUAGCCACAAAUAAUGCCCAGAACAGCACCUAACUUCAUCAACAGUACAUAUAGGGUACCAGCCACAGUACUAGCCACCAAACAUCUUUUUAGCUUUGCCGAAUUUCUUUAGCAGGGAGACUAAACACAACUUACCCACACUCUUCCAGCAGCUGCCUGUUUGUACAAAGACCUUGGGCGAGUCCAUUGAUUGCAGUGGGGUGACGCAGCUCAAGGAAGAACAUUUAUGAUCAUUACUUUAUCAUUUCCUUGAAGUAAUAAUCACCAUAUUAACCGUUUUGCACUGCCGACGCAGUAGUUCUUCUGCCUUAGUGUUUCGGUCUGAUUGCAUUUCCAUGAAGAAAUGAUCAUAAAUGUUCUUCCUUGAGCUGCGUCACCCCACAGCAGUCUGAUAUAGACUGGCCUGAGGUCUCUGUACAAACAAGCGGCUGCUGGAAGAGAGUAGGUGAGUUGUGUUUAGUCUCUUUGCUAAAGAAACCAGGCAAAGUUAAAAAGAUGUUUGUUGGCUAGUGCUAUGGCUAGGACCAUAUAUGUACUGUUGAUGAAGUUAGGUGCUGUCCUGAGCAUUAUUUGUGGCUAUAGAGUGGCGUUUCAGUUAAGGUUUGUGUGUGGCUCUUCAGACUGCUGUGUAUUGCUAUCCUGUGGUCGUGACUAAAGAAGCAAGCGGUCUGCGACAUUCAUCUCUCGAAGGAGCGUCUAACUCAGUGUUACGGUGUGUUUGACUCUAAAUUAAUUUUACGCCUGAAUAUCCCUUUAAAGCCAAGCUGGACUAACUGGGUGCUAGCAAUGCCUGUUAAAUAGUAACGCACUUGUCCAAACCUAGUGAAUUAUUCCUGUGAUAUACAAUAUUGAGAAAUUAGGUUGUAAAGCUGCCAUUUCUGACAAUUCAACUUUACAAUCAGUCACAAAAUUGUGGUUUAUAAAAAAAGGAUUGAAGGUUUAUUUCAGCCUAAAGUGUUGUUAGCACCAAACACCCUCAUUUUGUGACUGUUCUCUCAGGACUCUCGGCUAAAAUCAUUUCUUAGUCCUGUCUUUUUCAUGAACUUUGGUGGUAAAAAGUCAGCAGAUUUGGGAGUUGAUUUUUAAACUUGCAGUUUGGAGCCAGUCCCAGUAUUUGGGUCAUGUAACUCUGCACAUGCAUGGUUAGACCUUGACUGGCUGAUGCAUGACCUCUGUUGUGUGUGAUUAAUCAGAAGUUUUCCUCUGCUUGCAGUUAUAUUGAAAACGAAUUCUAUUUUUUUUUUUUUACAUAAAGUUUGAUGAAACUGACACAAUGAGGAGCAACUUUCACUGCUGCUUUUCUCUUUUUAUUUACUUUGAUCCAAGUGGAUCAAUUUUUAUCUGCUGUGGCGCCUAUGAAAGUCAAACUGAGUAUACACUGUAUCUGCAGAAGAGUCUUUAAAAUUUUUCUUUUUGCAUUUUCUUGAAAAUGUCAUUGCCUCAAAGAUGUUAUAAUGCAUAAGGGGCAUUUUGAACAAUUAUAAGACUUAUUACUAAAAAGAAGCAAAAUUCAAUGCUGCCAAAUAACAGCGAAAGCCAGUGAUCUGAUCUGAAGUCCAAACAGAUGGAAAUUAUUUGAUACUUUCCUUUCUCCACAAAUCCUACCUGUUUUACCAUUUCUACAUGAAAGUAUCAAACAUUAUUUUAUCCCUGAGUACAUGUAUUGUACAUGUAGGACAAGCCAUGGCUGUAGAUAGCUUUGAACCCAGCCUUAGGAUAACUGCAUGAUGCAUUCAUAGAAACAGCUUGGAAAUGGUCCCUCUUUUGGCUGGUGGUCCUAUUUGCUUUAGUUUGAUACAGUCAGGAAUCAAAUCAUCUGGAAUCAACAGUUUUUUUUAAUACUGCCACAAACAAAUAAACAAACAAAUAAAUAAAUACAUAAAUAAACUUUGAAAUAGCUAUAAUCACUUUAGGUAAUUGAAUAAUUUCCAAAUUGUUUCAUCACUAACCCUUAACCUGAAUCCAGACCGAGGACUUUUAUCGCUUGUUCCAUAUUCUGUUACCAAUCCAGUCCUCAGUGUUUGUCCCCCUGAAAGAUUCCCACCCACUGAUUAUGAUCUAGUAUAAUGAUGAUGUGAUUAUGAAUUCUGACAAAAAUCUAAAGCUUCCCUGGACUCGCCUGCUGUCACUCUAUAAGCCUGUGAUCACCCUGGCGUGCUCAGCCUCGCUAAGUUUAGCAGCAUAAUUACAGGUUAAUAAUGCUGCAUUUUGCAUCGCAUGGCAGCUGUUGAGGAAAAAGGAGGACAGCAUUCUGCGAGGAGCCGGUCCAAGUGAUCACAGACCCUGCAAAUGUUUGGCAGGCUGGGUCUGUCUUUCUGCUGCACUCUGUUGGGAUUUUGCUCUGGCAAAGUCUCUGCUCAGUUUCUUUGUGUGGUUUUCUGCUGCUUAGGCAUGUUUACACUGCAGUCGACAUGGUGAUGACUGGCUGUGUUUACUAUACGAGAAGAGACUUAGAUUAUAAUUCCUGCAGGCGUAAUUUAACGCUCUGCUUCAGACAGUCGACCAGAACAACUAGCCACACUGUCAGUCAGACUAAAGGAAGGGGAGUAGUAUUUUUGCCCGGACUUUGUUGUUUCGCUGGAUGUGUGUCAGCAAUCAUCUCUGGUGUUUGUGACAUUGAGGAAAGGAGUUCAUGUAGCUUGGACUAGAUGUCAACCAGGAGAGUGAAGUGAUGAGGUGUGACACAGUUUGAGCCCUCUCCUGAGAAGUGGAAAACAAGUUUUCAUUGCACUUGUCACUUAUUGCAGUUUCUGUCAUAAGAAUGAAGAGUAAUCUUUCUUGUCUGCAAGGGAGACCUUUCUUUGCUCCAUUAGCAGUUGUGACCAAGGCAACAUAAAAACUAUAAAACCUUAUGUUCAGUCUGUUUAUACACCUAAUUUAUUUGUUUUUAAUAUUAACAUUUAUUAUUGAAUUCACUGUGAGGCAAGCUGACUAAUAUUACAUGAGAUAACACAAGAAACUUUCUAUAGAAGAAAAAGUUUAUGCUAAAACUUUGAAUACUACAAAAUCUCAUUAGGAAAAUACUUAAAUGCAAUAUCACUGAAUUAAUUCCAAAAUCCAUACACUAUUAAGGGAAAACACAAGUGCUGUGAACUCUGUCUUAAAAAAAUUGGCUACUGUUGACAUCCAGAACAUGACUGACCAAUUUUCACUUUUUAAUAUAAUCAAUACAACAACAUACAAGUGCAAUGAUACCUAACUUUGACUGAAGAUAUAAUUUGUGAAAGAUGAAUUUGUAAAGUAAUUUUUAUUCACUGGUGGCUGUGACUUAGUGAAUGGAUUUGGAGUGAAUAAAUAACAUCUUCGGCCAGACUGUUCGUUAAACUUGCCUGCAGAUAUUUCCACUUAAAACUGUUUUGAGGAUCAUUAUUAAUAUCGAUUUUGGUGCCUCUGUGCACAAAGAUGUACAUCUCUUCUUUCUCUCGCUUGAUUUCGUCCUGUACGUGCCAGGGUAGUACUCUCUGAAAAAAAUCUUAUCUUGUUUAUUUUUGGCAGUCCAAUAUAUAACUCUUUGUUAAUAUUUGUUUCAUCUGCUCCGAAACUCCCUCACAAAGGCUUUGAGAAUUUCAGUACAGAAAUUUCACUCAAGUUGUUGAUAGUCCUGUUUGCUUUUGCAGAUCAUAAAGAAGCAUUCCAGCUCAUUUCAACCUGUUUCACCAAAACUGAGUAGCUACCUGUCAGGCUGCAGAUAAAAAGUAGAAUAUUUCUGUGGGCAAAAGCUGCUCACUUGUUAACAGUCUUCAUUUUUUUGCAUGAUCUUAAAAAUUAAUUACCAUAAAAAUCAGUGUGCAGUGGCCAGAGAAGUGGUACAAAUAUUGUAAAACGAAAGAAACCGAGCCAAAGCACCUGGCUAGAGUGCCUUAUUCUUCUCCUUAAGCUCUUUUUUCCAACAGUAAUAGAUCACAAUUAGAAACUACUAUCAGUGUGUGAGGGCUGUACUCCAGCAGUCCACACUAGCUCUGACCUUCAUUCAACUGUCUUUUUACCAAUUUUCAAGUCGACUGUGUGAGGUCAAAAGUAGGAAAUAAGAAAAAAGGCUUUCGGAGACACUUUCUAUGCAGAUUUCACUUUUCACUCAUCCAUACGUUUCACAAAAGUCAAAGGUGCUUUCAUGGAGCCAGAAGCUGCCAGUUCUGCAGCCAUUGUUUUGCAUGAAAGAAAGUGAACAUGCCUAGCUAUAUGCUGCUCUCAUGGUUGUUGCUGAAAGUUGUACGCUUGUAACCUACUCAUUAUCCUGAAUAGCACACCUUGAAAUUGGCAAUGAAAAAACAUAGAUCAGAGACAUGAAGAGAUGCAGGAUCAACGUCAAAGUUUGAUCAACAAUUCUUGCUCAAAAUUAACAAUGUACAUGAUAUUUUAGAAUUAGAUUUAGAAUUUAGAAUUAAUUAAGUUAAUUAAGACACAAUUUGAGCAAUGACUGAAGGAGGAUUUAGUGAGUGUGGGAGAAUUUAAUAAAAGAUUGACUUUGUCUAUUAUAUUAGCAGCUGAGAAACAAUACCGAAAAGUAAAUGAUGCACCAAAUAGAAGAGUAUACCAUGUUGGGAUAGCCGUCGCAAGGAUGCCAUUAAGAGAGGCAAUUGGACUUUUACACACAACUAAAAAACACCACACAUUGGAAUAUCUUAUAGAAUACAGAACAGCUCAAGCAGAUAUGAGAAGAGUAAUGAGGAAAGCCAAACAAACCUAUUGGAUACAACAUUGCAACACCAAAGAAGGAGAAACACAAUAAACAGAUAUCUGGGGAACGGUAAGAAGAAUGACAGGAGUCAAGAAAAAGAUUUCAUUUCCAGUUCAAGCAAGUGGUAACAAAACAGCAAUACUGAAAAAGCAGAACUAUUGACAGAAACUCUGGUUAAAGUUCAUGGUCAAUCCAACUUAUCAGAUAAUGCUAAACAAUACACUUGAGGCACCCAGGCAUAAAUGUAAGGAAAACAACAACUGAUUGUAUGGACCUGCCAUUCAGUCUACACAAAGUUAAGAGGGCUAUAGCAAAAACCAAGACAAUUAACACCAGGAAAAGACAGCAUUUGUAUGCACCCCUGGAAGAUUGUGCACUCAGGUAGUUUUGGCAUUAUUCAACAAAAUAUGGAGCAAAGAGGAAACUCCAUCAACCUGGAAACAAUCAGUCACAUCAAUACCCAAGCCAGGUAAAGACCCAUCAGAUCCAUCAAGCUUCAGACCAAUAGCACUUACCUUGAAAUUAGGGAAAACAAUGGAAAAAAUUCAUUUACAUAUUAGUACAUCUCAUCACUCUUGAAUUGGUAAUUCAUUUUGCUCGUUUACUUUCACCUUAUGUAAACUUUUAAAGCACAUUUUAUCCCGCGUUUGUUUGCGUGAUCGUUGGGUAACAUUUCACAACAAAGGCAAAGUAAGUUCAAGCAAACAUAGUCUUCAGUUUCAGUUACUUUUAUCAGGUUUCAGAAUUUAACACUGUAAUUGUUUGUUUGUCCAUACUCACUUUUGUUUGUUCUUUGUCUAGCUCACCAUGUGGUCCUCAGGUUCAAAAAAAGGGGCUGGCCCAGUACUUCCUGGGUUCAUAUGGAUUUGAUGAUGUCAGAGCUGACAUCAUGGGCUUAGACCAACUGUGGGUUUUUUUCCUUUGGUGAAGUGUUUCUCUUUGGUCAUACUUACCAUUUUUAGGGAAUGUAGUGAUAUGAUUUAUUUGUUUGAGGUUUCCUUUAUUUAAGUCAAGUACAGACAGGUAAUAUAGGAGUUUUAUUUCAUAUCUUUGACUUAAGAGAGACCUUAAACUCCCCUUGUGGUACUUUGGUACACUCUCCUGCAGGUUGGGUGUUGAUUGAGCUCCUUUAAAAGUAGAGGGGAGUUUUCCUCUGUGUAAGGGAGGUGAGGCCUAGCUGUCUUGAACAUGUGAUUCCAUUUGAGCUCCAUUUUGUUUGAUUUUGGUGAAAGUUUUGUUGGUUUUGAUGGAGGACGUGUGGAUUGACCUCACUGUAAAUAAAAAAAAAAACUCACCUCAAGGAAAUCCAAAGUUGUGUUUCCUUCCUCCCACCAUCCAUGACACUUGAGCCAAACUACAUUUCAAAUGGUAAGUAAGAGAUAAAUAUUCUAUUAAAAAAGUAAAAAGCUCUACUUUCAUGAUGUCCUUGGAGUCUGAAAUGGGGAUAGCACAAGGAAAUAAAGAAAUGGAUGUUGCUGUAUUUUUAGAUACUGAAAAAGCAUAUGAUAUUUUUAUGAUGAGGGGGUCUUUUGAUUAAGUUAGGUGAGCUAGGAGUUGAAUAUAAGUUAUAUAACUAGGUCAUGGACUUCCUAUUUGUAAAGAAUAUUGAGGUAAGGGUGGGAAUGGAAGAUGUAAAAGUCGAUCACGGUAAUGUGUGCAGUUCUGUAUUGUUUGAUGUAAUGAUUAAUGAUAUAUUUAAACAAAUUGACAGAGGUAUAAUUAAGUCAUUAUGGGGCCUUUUGGAUAGGGGUUGUAAUUUGACAUUUCUCAAAAAUAACAUGCAGGCUGCAGGGAAUAAGGUGGAGGAGUGGGUAGAUCUGUGGGCUUUCAGGUUAUCCAUUGCUCAAUUACACGUAAUCUAUUUUUCAAACUGGCAUUGAGAAAAGACUCUUAAAUUAUAUGAAAAAGUACUCAAACAAGUCACUGUAGUGAGUCUCCGGGGGUAUUAUUUGAUGAAAUGCUGACCUGGAAACACCAUAUAGAUAAAACCAAAGACAGGUGUAAAAAAGUAAAUAACCUCUUAAGAUGCCUGUCAGGAAGAGACCGGGGAGACUCUAGAGGGUCAGUGCUGAAUAUUUAUCAGGCCUUAUGUGGGCCACACAAGAUUAUGGCAGCAUAGUUUUUGCAUCUGCAGCAACAAGUCGCCUGAAGUGAGUUGAUGGAGAACAAAGUCAAGGCCUAAAAACAUGCUGUGGAGCAUUUAAGUCAUCACUAGUAACCGUGCUCCAGGUAGAAACCAGGGAAAUGCCUCCACAAAUGAGGAGAGAAAAACUACUACUGGCACACUGGGUAAACCUGCAGGGGCACCUGGAUUCUCAUCCAGCAAAGGCUGUCUUAAAUGUCUACUGGGAAAAUGGGCAUGGUAGUGAGGGGAAAAGUGGACCUGACUACCCAGGGCCCGAGUAGGGAGAGGGGCUCAUGCAUGAAAAUCCAGAUUUUUAUUUUAUUUUUUUUGCCCACGCGCCUCAUGCACUGGGAUGGAUAGGGGCCCACUGACAUUGAGAGUGUACAGGGCCCAGAAUUUGGUUCGCCCCUGGCUGAGAGCACAGGAAGACCAUAUUAAAAGCUUUGGAUGGGAGGCAAAUAUAGCAGCAGAGAGGGUGGGUCUACAUAAGUUUAACUUCAGUCCAACAGUGCCACUUCCUAAUAUAGCGCCUUUGUUAUUCAACAUACCAUCCGCUGACAUGAGCAUUCAUAGCCAGUUAAAAAGGAAAGAGUAAAUCGAUAAUAAAUGGGGAAAUAACAGUCAACCACAUCAACCAGCCCUACAAUCAGAAGGUAACAAUAUAGACAGCCGGCUCAAAGGACCCUGAGACUGGACGAUCAGGUAGUCUAUGUCCCAAAGCACAAGGCCUUUAGGAAAAAAACCACAGAUCAUAUAUGAAUAUACUUAGCGGUAAUAAUAAUAUAUUUUAUUUAAAAGCGCCUUUCUGGACACCCAAGGACACUGUACAGGGCAUUAAGAACACAGUUAAAACACAGUUAAAAUAAAUAAAAACAACAUACAGGUAUGAAGAUGGACAGUUACAGGGAAUAUGCAAUUUGGAACAGAUGUGUUUUGAGUUUUGAUUUGAAGUGGGGUAGUGAGUCCAUGUUUCUGAGAUCUGGGGCCAUAAUAGUGGCAUUGGAGAGCAUGGACAAACACAAAAUAGGAAAUGCAAUCAUUGCCUCAGAUAGUUAUGUAGUAUUAAGCAUUGAAACAGGACAGUCUUGCAGACAGGAUUUACUGAUAGAAAGUUACAGCAACGUUGGUUUCGCUUGGGGUUCUACCCACGUUGGGGUGGAGGGGAUUGAAGUGGUGGACAAACUAGCCAAGGAGGCCUGAAAAUCACAUUCAGAAAAAAAUCUGAAUUCUGUUCAGGAAGGCAAUUAUAAACAUAGGAUGAUAAAUAAAUGGUGGAGAGAAAAGAACACAGGCAGACAUCUAUACAGCAUUCAAAAACAGGUGGAUUUAGACAGAAGAGUGGGCAGGACCAGAAGGGAGGAAAUGAUAUUGACACGUCUACGAAUAGGACAUAACUGGUUUAAUUAAUUUCCACAUAAAAUUGGAAAACAGCCGACAGGAAGCUGUGAAAUACACGAGGAGCCAGAAACUGUAAAACACAUGCUCAUAUUAUGCAGGGCCUGUGAAGGGAGAAGGUGAGCACUGAUAUCAGCUCUCUAAGCUCAAAAUAUCAGUUUUACCCUAGAAAAUAUCAUCGGAAAAGCAUCGCAGGAAUUAUACGUACAAACAUUUGAGCAAGUAUUUGAAGGAGACAGGGCUAAUUGGCAGGAUUGUUUUUUUUAUAUUUUAUCUUUCAAUUUUAUGUUUUUUCCCUCACAUCUAAUGUUUCACAUGCCUGCCCGGUAGGUAGCAGUAAUGCUCCUUCAUGCUGGCUGCCAACUGCCAAAUAAAUCACAAGAAAAAGAAGAAAAAACAUCUUUUGUCCAAAGUCAAUGAGAUACCUAAAUCAAACAAAUGGGCUGUAUGUGAUGUAAAGUGGAUCCAAAUAAAAAAGACUGGUAAUUUGACUUUGGAGGUCUACAACCUUUUGUCGUAUGGCUGUGUUCAUCAGACUUAUGGCCUGUAAAGAAAAAAUCACCAUCAUCCUCACUACUUGGUUAAAUGGUGCUGGUUUGCUAAAUAUGACUAAAGCUUUCAAGUUGUUGACCUUUGUGACUCUAAAGCUGCUUCUAACUUUUGUUAUACAGAAAAAUGAAAACAAAGAGCUGAUUGAAAACAGAUCACGCUUCACCAGCUGUGCCAUGCAGUCAAAGCACUGCCUGCAAAACCACAGGUGGAGUUAAAGCAAAACGAGCGUGAAAGAAGCAUAACACCAAAACUGCACUUAAAAAUAAAACUACAUUUUACUGAGUAAAUCAUAGUUUAGUUGCCUUGUUUUAGAAAAUGAUGUUACCUGUCAUGUACUUUUUGUUUCCAAAAAGUAGUUUAAUUGACCUUGUGACCUCAUCACCACUUUUUUAACCUUGUUGACCCACAUCUAAAAAAACGUAUUAGGAUGUAUCACACAGGAUGAUGAGCAAGAACAAAGUAGUUCCAUUUAAAACUACUUUUAAUAACUUGAAUAAUCUACAUUAAUGAAAGUACUGCUUUGCUGUUUUCUGCUCAAGUUUUUCAGUGUUGUGAAUCCUGAUUUUUCAGGGCCCAGAGUUUUGGAACCUGAGGUAUAGGCAUCUUCAAAUGUUACCAGAGGGCAUGGGAGUGUUGUGAUACAAUGCUGCUUGCUGUUAAAAAUACAGAAAACCCAUGAGAACCUAUGGAACAGAUGGCAUAAGAGCUUGUGCUGCACAAUAGAUUAAAGCUGUUUUUGAGAUGAAUUAUUUGAGCUUAUAGCCUUUCUCUGACAAAAAAAAUAUAUAUUUUGAAAAAGGAGGAGGUGACAUGCAGCAAAUCCCGACAGAAACAGGAAUUAGUUGUAAAUGACCAGUACUACAGGACUACAGCAUCCAUACAUGCUAUGGUUUUUUUACACACAGAGCCAAACCAGGGCCCUAUAAACUGCAGUUUUGUCAUUAGUUUUUGUCAUCACCAGGUGUAAUGGUCAGGCUUUAACAUCAUGAAUGCAGCAAGAUGACGCCCAAGUUAGCAUCAGCUACCCUCACAUUUAUUAGUAGCAAUUUAGUGGUGAAAAACCUGCUCCUUUCACAUUCAGGGGGAAUAGGUUGCAAACAUGGAUGUUGAAGGUACAAAUAAAAGCAGAUAGACAUAAUAACUGUAACUUAGAACUGAACAACUUGUCUGAAGGCCCCUUGAACCCUUUGCUCCUUUCAGUCUCGUUGUAUUUUCGUGUGCUUUAUCCAGAUCUCCUGAGAGUGCAGUUCACUUGAAAAUCUUCUUACUGUAACAUCCUGAACUACACAGUAGCCCUCAUACCCCUGCCAAGCUGUUUUUCAUGGUCAGACAUAAAGUGGGCAUGCAUGAGACAAUCUGCUCUGUACUAACAUGGCUACAUCUGUUCCUCUCCUCCUACAGGGAGAACAUGGAGUCCACCAACAUCCAUCUUUACAGGAUGCAGCAGAGCGCAGGGCAGCUAAUGGUUCUGAGGAGGAGCAAAGGUCACAGUGAAGCCAGAUCAGCCACAAGGUAAAGACAUUUUUCCAAGUCUUGCUGUUUGCUCUGUUUCCCUUUUCUUUUCUGACUUAUUUCUUAGUGUUUAUUUAUAUAUAAAAUUCAAAAAAUGGUAUAGCUCUUUCACCUGCUUGUGCAACUUCUGUUCCGAUUUCAAACGGGGGUUGUUGCAUGCCUGCAAGCUCCAUACAGAGAAGAGAACAAAUCAUUUUGUACAAGUGAAGCUGCAAAUCUUUUGCCUCGAGUUGAAAAAUAGGUGGUCAGUAAAUAUACUUGGUUACCUGCUCAGUUGUGGCAUUGGCAGGUGAUGGCGGUGUACUCAAAAACUCAAUAAGACAAGAUAUCAUCAUGCUCUAAUGAUACCUGCAUCAAUGCACUUGUCACAGAUAACAGCCACAAAUGCUGUGAGUGCAGUUUGACGCAACAACUUCUUUGCAUUUGUUUUGAGUUUAAAGUCCCACUCUGAUUGUUUUUUUUUUUCUACUUAAAGUGUUCUCAGUGGUCUUCGCACUGUGAUCAUAAAGUUUUUAGCCAAAAUCAUGUUACCUGUGUCAUUUUCAAGGGCUUGUCUUCUGCAGAGCUCCAGUAGCUCAUUAGCAAUUCACCUCUGAGUCGUGGGCAGAGACAGCGCUGCUCUGCACACUCCUCAAGUUAGCUUGCAGCCGAACAUUGCUGGUGUAGUAAAAGGAGCAGGUAACAUAGGAGCUAUUCAGCUCUCGGACACUUUUGUCAUUAAGGGCAUGAUGAAAGCUAAUGCCAUAAUUAGUUUUCUUACGAGCGUUUCAAUUUGCUAACGCAGGCGCUUGUUUCGCUAUCGUCCUCUCUGUUUCUCUGAGCCUUGCUUGCUUGGCGGGGCCCCGGGGGCGGAGCUUGGAUUGGUUACGUACAAAAUCUCACUGUAUUUGAUCCUGCCGUUUGGGUCUGCCAGAGCUUCACAGUAAUUUGAAUGGAGAAAUGCUCAGAAAAGCAAUUUCGCACUUCUUUUCUUAAAGAUAUGUCUUGUAGAAAAAUGCCAUAUGAACAUGCAGACAACAAGAAAAACAUGAUUUUCAUUGGAGUGGGUCUUUAAGGACCUUAAACCAACCUUUGCUCGACUCACUACAUUUGUUUUUAGUUGUGUACUGUGAUGUUUUGUGGUACAUAUUGCAUCAUGAGGCUGAGUAACAAAAUCCAGACCCUAGCUGGUGAUGUGCUUGCUGUGGCUUUAUCUAGGGGGUGUGGUCACUAGUGCACCAGGUGGAAGAUGCAUAUCAUGAAAGGGAAUGACAUUCAGCUCCUAAUGGGAGGAAAAUACUUCUGCACAAGUCCCAAAUCUCAAGCCUACUUUUGGGCUUUCAUCCUUACGAAGUCUUGAGUCGUGUUUGUGUGUGACUAGAGUCCAAGUCCUACAUCUCUGGUUGCACACACAUGUGCUUAGAAAAUGAAAUUCCAGCUCUGUUCAUAACUUGGGAAAUGUAUCUUAAUAGAAGAACAUGAGCUUCAUGACACUUCGGCUAAUGCUGCUGGUGAAGAUGAUUGACAACCUCCGGCUGGAUGCCCUCUGGCUGUAGAAGCCGUUUUCCUCAUUUUACUGAAACAGAAAUUUUGUCUGUCAAGCACCUCAACCACUCUGACACUUUCACUAAAAAUACUUUCUGCAGUAGAUUUAAAAUAACUUUUUUUUUUCUGGGUUGAAAUUAAAAUUAAAGCUCCAAAAAUUGUCAGAGGUGAUAGUGGAAAUGAGGGUGGAGGUUAAGAGAGAUGCACCUGAAUCCCUGCCUGCCAUCAUGUUCCACCCUAUGUCGGCAUUUAGUUUUUGCCAUUUCAGUAAUAUGGCUGAAUCAAAGUGCGGACACGUUUCUGUAUUGCUGUGUGUGUGUGUGUGUGUGUGUGUGAGUGAGUGAGUGUGUGUGUGUGAGUGUGUGUGUGUGUGUGUGUGUGUGUGUGUGUGUGUGUGUGUGUGAGUGAGUGAGUGUGUGUGUGUGAGUGUGUGCGCUGUAAUCGAGUGUUUGGGUCUAUCUCCUCCUGCAGCUCAGGACUCCCAAGGGGACACAGGGAAGAAGUCAUUUGAUGGAUUUCCAGACCCCUGAGGACUAGCAAGGCCCUUUUCUCUCCCUAUUUUACUUUUAUUCAGGGAUGAAAACACAGAAAUGCAGCCGAUCUAUCCACUCAGUAUCAUUUUUUUUUUUUUUAACCUGACUGCUCCGUCUCUCUACCGCUGAGAAAAAUGAUCGCUUUUUGAGAGAGUUUGCUCUUUUGUGCCGAACUGGUAGGUCUAACAAAUAAACAAAUCAGAUUUUAUUUCCGUUACAUUGGCCACUUAUCUGAACAACGAAACUAACACAAAGAGAUUCAAUGGGCGCGCUGAUUCCUCCCUCUUAAUUACACAGCCCAGUUAAGAGGCAAAGUGAUCCUAAACAAAAGUCUUUAAAGAGAAAAAUGCAAAUGAAUGUGGAGACUAAGAGAGGGGGAAAUGAUGUUAUUAUUGUGGAGAGGAGUGAAAGCAGAGAUUAUUAGCUUUACUUGUCCAGGCCUCAAACUGUGUUCCUCCAACAACGAAGACUAGCUGUGUAGCUCCAUGUCUUUGCAUUCAUUUUCAUGGCUAUCUGUAAGCAUAACAGAGAGGGGGCGAGCUCUCCCCUUGGUCAAACACGGGGGCUUCAUGCUCCUGCAUAAUUCACUGUUGUGUGUAGUAAUCCACAGAGAAGGCAGAGUGGAACCGCAGAGCUUUUAAUGGUUAGAGGAGCUGCGAGCUGAGGGUCAUUGUGUCACUAAUGACUGAGAGAAACAAAGUGGACAGGGACCAGAGUCUGUGCCUCCUAUAUUAGUGAAAACCAUCUGUAUAAUUAACUGUACAUACACAAUUCAUCAUCGAAACUCUGCAGUUGGCGAGAGGACUGUUUGGAACAGUGCACCCACAAAGUCGUCCCGUACUUGAGUGUGACAUGCUAAUCUGAGGUGGCAUGUGCUGGAACAGUUUAAGAUGAUGCAAAAAUUCUGCUCGUAUCUUUCGAGAAAAUUUGCAAUACAUAAAUAUCUUCUUUCUGGGAAAAUAAAAGAAGACUGAUGCUGAAUAAAUGCUCGUGUGUCAUACAUGCUGUAGGCUACAUUGUAAUAUUCAUGCAGCUCCGUGAAAAUGUUUUGCCACUGUUGAAAUAUCAUGUUUGGAGCACAAAAACUGUGAUUUGCCAGUAUUGGCUGCUUCCAAGUGAGCACUAACCAUUCAUUUCUGCCCCCAUUCAGCUUUCCUUAUUGGAACUUUACAACUUACAUACUUAAAACAUAAAUUGGGUACAUGCCACAGCUUAGACUUUAUUACUAUUAGCACAAAUGCUUAUAGUUUAAGACCCUUUGCAGUGACCAACACUCUCCACCUCUGUUGCUGUUCGCUGGUCAGACUUUUGUGAACCCUUUUCCAAUCUGCCAUUGUUAGGGUCCUGAGACUGCUCUUAUCUGUGUACAAUGUUAGCUUAAUUUGAAUGCUGAUUGCAGUUAGCUUUUUUUUGCCACAUCAAGUUGUAGUUUUGGUUUACAGUGAGCAGCCAGCAUCACUUAACAUUGUCCCCAAUGUUUAUUCCUUUACACCACAUUGUUAGAAGUAUCUGGACUCUGAAAAGACUGUACAGACAGCUGAGGUGUGUGGUACCUCCCUUUAAAACUUUAGUAUUUUAAUUGAAUAAAAGGUAAUGAGUCAUGUGGCUGAUAAAGAAAACAAAUAAACAAGAAACCAAUGUUAACCCUUAUUACCUGCCAUCCCCCGUCCCCUGUUUAAGUUCUUUGUGAUUUUUUUCUGGACAAAAACUCUGAUUUACUUAGAUUCACAUUUGAGUAAUGCUUGAUAGGCAUGAUCCUUCAUCUGUUAUGUUUUUACAACACAAAUUCAUCUAAGCACAACAUUAACAACCAAUCUCACUUGUUCCUCUCUGUUCUCCAACCAGUAAUGAAAUGCAUGUGGUUAUUGGUAGUUUGUCCAUUUUGAGCUACUGUAGGAAACAACAUGGUGCAACAUGUCAGCCUCUGAAGAGAGGACCCUCGGCUUGUAUAAUAUAAUAUUUUUUUUCUAAGUCAUCAGAAACGAGACAAGAAACAACAACAAAAAAAAAAAGUAGACUUUGAGAUUGAAGUCGUUAAUUUGCGAAAAUAAAGUCAUUACUAACAAGAAUAAAGUCGUAAUAAAGUAAUUACUCACUGCGUUACGACUUUAUUCUUGCAAGUAAUUACUCCAUUACGACUUUAUUCUUGUCAUUAAUUACUCUAUUACAACUUUAUUCUCUUAGGUAAUUACCUUAUUACGACUUUAUUCUUUGAAGUAAUUACUCCAUUACAACUUUAUUCUUGUAAGUAAUUACUUUAUCAUGACUUUAUUUUUGUUAGUAAGUACUUUAUUACGACUUUAUUCUUUUAAGUAAUUACUUUACUAUGACUUUAUUCUUUUAAGUAAUUACUCCAUUACGACUUUAUUCUUGUAAGUAAUUACUUUCAAUUGUUUUUAGUCUUGUUUGUAACUAUUUUAUUAUGACUUUAUUCUUGUUAGUAAUUACUUUAUUCUCUGAAGUUAACGACUUUAAUCUUGAAGUUUUAAUUUUUUUUUCUUUAUGUGGCCCUAAUACUCUGUCAUAUAUUUCUGAUUGUAAACACAAACUGAUUAUAACACAGCCUGGUGAUAAUUACAGAUAAAAGAGAGGGCUUACACUGUACUUUGAUCAAAUAACAUUGUACAUCUUGAUCAUCAGAGGAGCAGCAGAGUGCAAGGAUGAGGUGUCUCUCUGUGUGCCUCUACCUUAUCAGCUCUCUGUGAGCUGAGGUGUCGGGUGAGAGUUUGCACUGCUGAGUCAAAGGAAUUCUGGGUUCAUCAUAAUUUUCUUCAGAGAAAGCGUCUGUUCUUUCACCCUCAAACCACCUCAAGAGUGGGAAAAACUGCAGUGACGAACAUGUGAUAUCACAAACUGGGAUAGUGACAAAUAUAACACAUAUGCCUCUUUGUGAGAUUUCUCUGUCUUAAAAUACAGAGAACGUCUGUUUUUGCAUUUGGCUGACAGCAACCGUGUUAACACCGACUUAUUUCUGAGACGCAGGUUGUCUAAAAUAACUGAAAUGUAUUUCUGUGGCCAUUAAAUAAAAAUAAAAAUAAAAAACAUACAGCUUUUUACUUGUCAAAUACUGAUAUUAUGUGAAAACUGGGUGCAAACAUCAUCAGUCAAGGGUAUCAAAACAAAUGCAAGCCAAUAGCAGAAUGACAGUUGGUCUGCUGGAUAUGCCAUGCUAUAAUUAUGGGCUGAAUCCAUGACAGAUAUGUCUUAUUGGCUUGCAAUUUUGAAAAUCAUGGCAAUUUUUUGAAGCUUUUUGUUGGAAAGAUUAGAGUGUUCUUCUAUAAUGAUGAGACACCAAAGCAGUGUAGUGACAUAUUUUCAGAUACGUGUUUAUAUAUUUACAUUUGCUGCCUCUUCACCUUGCAGUGGGAAGAUUGAACAGACUGUUUUCUGGCAUGUAGGUAAAACCUGUGGAAACACUUGUGGUUAAUGCUUCUCAGAAUAAAAACAAAGCUAGAGCACUUACAGCAUCCAAGCUCCUGUCUUACUUUCAGAUAACAAACAAGGCCAGAGCAGCAAAACUCCCAAGUAGCUAUUUACGUGGAGGUAAAGGCCUGCCUUCGGAAGUUUGACUGCAAGUUAGGUCAAGUCAGCAUUAUUAAUAUGGAGACCACCAUCAAUGAGCUUCAAAACUCUGCAAUGUGCUUCUGCAUCAUCUUCUCAAGCCUGGAACUCGCCGCUUGUAAUCAAUAAAUCAUGAAAGCGCCUCAUAGUGCCUUUAACCCAAGUCUGUGCCCCCAUCUGUAAAUGUUGCAUGUAAAUUUAGCAAAGAUUUCGAUGUUUUUUCUCUUUAUAAAUAUGUAGAGCUCACUGUACGACUGUAAGAAUCAAAUCUUUUGAGUGAACGUAAACCGAAUCAUUUCCUCAAGUGAUUUGUUCCCUCCUCUUAUCACGCAGUGAACUACACUCUCGAGAAUCAUUUUGUCUGAGGGUUACACUUUAAUGGCGACUGUUGUUCCCCGUUGUUUUAACAGAUUCAGUAUCCAGUUAAUCCAACUUAAAACAUUAGGCUGGUAGUAAGAAGAAGAGAGUGAGACCCACCAGCUGUAGCAAGCUCUUGACAGGAGCGAAGGAGGGAGAUGUGUUGUGUUCAAGUGUACCUCAGAGAAAACUAACUUUUUUUUUUAACUCCACUAAAUUGCCACCACAACAGCUUGCUUACAGCAGGACACAACAUGUAACAAAUAGUGUAUAAAACCCACAGUUUGAGAAAUGCGUGACUGCCUGAGCCUAUCAUUGUGGCGAUUUGCGAGGGAACAGUGCAUGUUCAGUGUGAAUUCUUCACUGAGUGUACUGUCGGGUACACGUUCAGUAAACGAAUCACCCACUGAGCCCAAUUUACCGUGUAGACCAGAUAAAUAGCACACUAUUGGACAGUACACCUAAAACAUCAUGGUUUUGAAACAAGUUCAUUGUUAGAAACCUGUUUGUCAAAGCAACACAGCCUCCUGGUCCCAGAGGCUAUGAUCUGAAUUAAAUCCUGAACCGUUCAGCUGUUUCGGUGAACGAAUCUUUUGAACAAAUCUUUUAGUAAACUGAUUCUAGUGAUUCAGUACAUCUGAAAGAACUGUCAUGCCCACCACUAGCUUGGUACAUUAAAAAGAACCUGGGUACAGAAAAAUAACUUGUUUUGAGGAAGAAAGAACCAGCCAAAAUGUCCCUUCUUUAAAAUAUCUCUUCACUCUGAAGGUCUAAAGCUGUAGUCCUCACAAAGAAAGAAAAACAAGCUCGCACACGUGCGCACACACACACACACACACACACACACACACACACACACACACACACACACACACACACACACACACACACACACACACGCGCACACACAAAGGGGUGUAGGAAUUGAAGUAUCUAGGCCUUGCUGUCAGAGAGGGAAUCAUUACUUUCUUCUGGUUUGAACUUUAUGUAGACACUGUGACUCACACUCCCUCACCUUCUCUCCAAUUUUGUCCCUCUCUCUCACACUCACACACACAUUUCCCUUCACACACUGCGCUCAUGCCCAUAUGUGUGUGUGCUUAGAGGGACAGAGUAGACAUAAGUGUUUCAGAACGAUACAAAUAGGAGAUUCCUUGUGUCUGCUUGUGUGGGUGACAAGAGUUCAGCCCAACCAACUGCUCUCUCCUCCUUCUCUGAAAGUGUGUCCCUCUUUCUCUCCGUCUCUCUCUCUCUCUGCUUGGCCAUGUGUUAGCCUGUCAUUUCCUCUGGCUGGUUCCUGCAGGAGUCUGGCUGUCUGCUCCUUAAAUAGGCUUGACCUCAGCGCAGACUGAGGCUGCUUCAGUCUUUAACUCUGCACAAGCUUCUACAUUUACAUUACAGUGUGGUGUAGUGGAGGCGGCUCAUUUUCAUACAGGAGCCAAACGCACUGCAGGCAUGCGUGGCAUGGAUUGUUAUGCUUCCAGACUGCUACAUAUUUUAUUUGAUAUCAUUUUUUCCCCUGAAGUGCUUAUGUUGCAUUCAAUCAUGACUUCAGAGACAAUAGAGGUUGACGUUCAACAACGGAUCCACUUCAUACCAUAUCUCUCACUCACUGGGGAACAUUAAAUAAUGCAUAAUGGAUUCAGAGGAGUGACAAAAACACACAAAUAAUAAUGAAAAUGGUAAUGGCAUGAAAACAAAACAAACCUCUGUCACUAAAGUCCUUGACUGCAAGCGCAGAUUUUUUAUUACACCCAGAAAUGCCCCAUGGGAUGAAACGCAGCUUGAGACCAGAAUGUACAGACGUGUACCUGCACGUCUAUUAGGUAUUAUGAAAACUAGUACUUUCUUUGAACAACACUGUGCAGUGUCUGUGUGAUUCAUGACAUUAAAAAUCUAAAUCAUUCACUGUGAAUAUGCUGCCAGGAGCUGAAUGAUAUUAAUUCAACCUUUAUUGGAAGGAAGAGCCAACAGGCCUUCAAGUCUCAGUGAGGCUUUAGUUAUGCACAAGAUGCUUUGAGCUGUAUGCUAAUAUUGGUAUCCUGACAUGUUGGAACUACAAUGCAUACCUGUUGGCAUCACGCAGGUACAGUGCUUACUGCAAAAUAAAAAAUAAAAAAAACAACAAAGUCUGAGGAAAUGAGUUAGUGCUGUUGAUGCAAAAAAAAGUUUGUGAUAUUGUGAGAACAAGUGUGGAGGAAGAGCCGAGGCCACUGAGAGAGAGGCCUUCAGGCCCUCCUUGAAUCUGGGCUGAGGAUGCUUGGCUUAUUAGAGGAAGCAAAGAGGAAGAGAAAUAAGUAAUCUUUUCUUCAGCUUGUUUUCUUUCUUUGACCUUUUUUUUAAUUCUUUUUUAAAAUAAAAAAUAAAGUUGAAAAAUGGAUUUCUGAUUUAAAGCAGUGUAGUGAGUUUCCGUGCAAUUCCUGGAGGACAACUUCAGAUGGAAGUAAGAAGAUGACAAUGACAAAAGUGAUAAAAAAGACGUGAAAAAAAUAGAAGAACAAAGAAGAAAACCACAGCGGAAGAAAGGAUAAUAGUAGAAAAUGACAAAGACAAUAAAAUAUAAAAAGAUGAAGACUUUGAAAAUGUUAAAUGACAACGAACGCAAUUAAGAAAAAGAAGGUGAAGAAUAAGAGGAAAACAAAGGGGGAGGAUGAAAGGAAACGAGGAAGACAAAGAUGGCAAAGACAAUGGAGAAGAUGAUGAAGAAAUUUAUGAAGACAAAGAAGAAAAAGAUAAAAAACAGGAAGGUGAGGUUUCAAGAAUUACAAGAAGAAAGCAGGAGAAGAUGAUGAAAAUGACAACAAAGAAGGUAACAAUAUAGAAGACAGAGAUGAAGACAAAGACGAUGAUGAAGACAUUUACCAAAUCGAUGAAAAAAGAGGUUAAAGAUAAGAUGAUAAAGAAUAGAACAAAGAAGAAGAAGAAAAAGAGAAGAUGAAGAAGACAAUGCCAAAAGGAAACUAAAACAAAGAAGAGAAGAAUGAAAGGAGAGGAGGUAAAGAAUGAGGAUGAAAACUGUCGUUUACAAUGACGACAAAGGAGACGAAACACAGACGACAAGGGAGAUGGCCAUGAACAAAAAGAAGACAAAGAAUAUAAAAUGAAAAAGAGGGAAAAAAAACAAAGACAGAGAAGUGAUACAGUAAAACUGUUUUAAGGAUCUUCCACUGAGCUUCAAAAAGGUAACUUUUGAUUUCAGGAGCAUCAAACAUGAGUUUCAUUCUUGCCUUUUUUUUAUGUGGCAACAUGAUGUGACUUCCCCAAAAUCUGUCCUGAUGAUCAAUCCCUCCCUGUUGGAUUCAUUGGCAUUCAGAAAAAGUACGAGAGAAAAUUUCAGCACUCAUGGCACAAACUGCCUGACCCAUUUUCCUUCUCCAAAAUAAAAACGAUUUUACAUCAAAGCCCAAGUUUCCAUCAGCUUAGUUCAUCUGGUAAUUUCCUGUAAAAUAGUUAAUGAGCGUUAAAGCCUUAUUUGCCUGUCAGGGUUACCUUAGCCCUGAUUUACAGCAUGUCAAGCGGUGAAAAUAUUGAUUUCGGUAGGUCCAGAAGUUAUAUAAUAACUGACUUUAAAAGUUCUUGAAAGCGCCUUAAACACUUGAUAAGUGUCUGAUUUUCUUUUCCAUCUACAUGGCUCAAAUGGACUAAAACUGUCCGAAGUGUUCUGAACAUGCUCCAGUGUUUACACGCUGGGCUCUGAGCUGGUGACUGAACAGCAAGGAUGCGUUGCUAGGAAGCUGGUAGUAAGCAAAACCUCGACGUCAUCAUCAUCAUCAUCAUCAUCAAUGAAGAUUGGUGUUUUGUGAUGAAUAUUCCAGAUAAUUUUAAAGAUACACAAUUUUUUUCAAUAAGGACGAAUCUAACUGAGUUUUAGUGUACACAGCUUUAAGACAUAUGUUUGUGUCGAUGUACAGUAAAAGAUGAAGAAGCAGCUUGAAAAUAUCAUCUCCCAAAUCCAUCAUCCAUCCAGUAGUGUUGGGCGGUAUGAACAAAAUCUUUCAUCACGGUUUGAGUAAUUUCAUAUCAUGGUAACGGUAUAUAUCAUGAUAUGUUUUUUCUCUCCCUGUAAAUUCAAUUAAUGGCUUAAAAAUAACAACACUGAUGCAUUUGUUCAUUUUCCUUUUAUUUUUUAACUCGGGUUUGUAUACAAAUGCAAACAAAAUGCAAACACGUGCCCUUUUUCGGAAUGAGUUUCUCCUCCUCUUUCUCAUGUUAGGUGGGUGGGGCAGUCUCCAUUUGCUAGGUACUGCCACUAAUCUCCAAGUCAGCCAUGACCACCACCAGUGAAGCUGUUUCUUCUUCGUCUAAACUAUGCCAAGCAGUCUGCUGGACACCGCUGGUGAUUAUAGGGUGCGCACCCAAACCUGACCAAUCAAAGAAAGAUGCAGCAGACAUCUGCUCUCUCUCUCCGGUAUAAAGGGUACAGCAAAAUUUCUAUCGGUAGACACAUUUAUACCGUCACACGGUAUAUACCGUCAUACCGCCCAACACUACCAUCCAGCGUCUAUUACGAUCCAGACUACAGCCUCUGCACAUGGGCUCCCUGUUCCACCAGCUGAGCUAAACCAACACUGUCGUUAAUGCUAAAUUGUUGGGGCACAAUUAACAUGGUCACAUGAAACUGCAAAGGAAAUGGACACAAAAUGGUCCCUUCCCUUUCCAAUGGAUGGGAAAUUGCAGGAUAAAGUAUGUAAUAAAAGGUUUUACCUUUAAAAGCCUGAAUCAUCGUAUCACUGAAACAGCAUUAUAGUCCUUUUACCCUAAGUUCACCCUGAAAGCUUAUUUUACCAUUUGUUACAUCACUCAAGCUCAAACAAGAGCUGGACGGAGCAUUUAUCCAAAGUCUCCUCAUUGUCUCAAACCUGUUGUGAUGGUCCAAGCAGAAUGAAGCCAUGAGAAUCUUUAAAUUUAGCUUAAUUCCUGUCCUGCCGUGGUUUUCAUGCAGAAUUUGUGUAAAACUUUAGCAGACAACAACACAGAGCUCUUAAGGCUCCACCUGUUCAGAAAUGCAUCAGCAUUACAGUUAUUUACUCUUCAAACCAGGGAGUUAGACUUCAGCUCAUUUACAUGUGUGUAAGAGAGGAAGUAAGAGUGGUUAAAAAAGUGUUUACUUCAUGAAUUGUAAAUUCUGUUGAAAUGACUGGACAUAAGCUUUGCUAAGACAUAUCCUGUUAGGCAUCCUCCAGUGAGGUGAAUCAAAAAGUUAGCUCAUGAGCUACAUCUGCUCCCUAAGCCUAUCACAGCUUCUGGGGAUUGUCAUAGAAUUAUAUGCAAGACACAAUGUUUACUUCAGCUGUGUCACAUUGAUAAGGCAGAGGAUGGAAGCACUGGAGAGAAACUAAAAGCUCAGGAGAAAGUAAUAGUUUGUGGAGCAGCAGAAAAAACACAUGGCUGCAGUCUGGGACCACCAUUACAAAUGAUUCAGAGCAAAGCUGUGGACCCAAACCCAGCGGCAGAGAGGGAGCUGAAUGAUCACACUGUAUAAUAAUGAGUCAAAAUAAAAUAUGUACGUGUCAAAUAGUAAGGCCUUAAUAUAAAACCAAACAAAGUUUCUGGGGGUAAUUGAAGAAGUUCGGACACAGUGUGUCCUGAAUAUCUGAGCAGAAAUAGUCUCGGAAAGAAACUAAAUGACUCUGAUAUUUAAAGGGAGAAAUGAGAGAGGUAUACUCAGGUCAUUUAUACUCGAGGUCUUGUCAGAGACAAGACACCUUUAGUCACAAGCUCUACCUCAAAGUCAAGAACAAGAAGUAAAAGUGAGAAUGAAAAGGAAAUGAAAAUGGAAAGGAAUGGUAGCGUCCAAGGGUUCAUAAGAUUUGUUAGAAUAUUUUAGGAUAAAAAAAACACCCUGACAAAAUGUGUAGGAAGAUCAUACGACUGAAAUUUGUCAAAGUAAAAAUUAAUCUUUUAACUACACUUUUGAUCAGUUUUAUCUACAACAAUAUGGUAAAAUUAGUGAGUCCAUCCAAAUUUUAGUUUGUAAAAACUAAUGAGUGACCAGUGAAUUACAAUGGGAUACAAAGUGGCUCGGAACAAUACGGUACGAUACAACACCACAUGACACAGUUAGGAUAAGAUACAGUAUAACAUGAUACAAUACUUUAUGAUUAACAUGAAAUAAUGCAGUCGGAUACCACAUGAUACUGCAUGGUAUGGUAUUAUAUCAUACAACAUAAUACAAUAGGACUCAUUACAACACAAUAUGACAUACAGUACAUUAAUAUCUGCAUAUGCACAUACACAUACAAUCCUCUGCAUUGUCCCAAUAGGAACAAUUUGUUGGACUCUACUCAACGUGCUCAAUAUGGGACAUAUGUGUCCGUGUAUAAAACAUUUGUCUGUAGAUAUGUAUUGAUAUAAAUUAGAUAUAUGUCUUUUCUAUUCUAUUAUUUCUUUAAUUUUUCUGUUGUAUACUACAUCUCACUAUACUAAUACUACAUCCUUUAUAACUGCUGAUACUGUGUUAUGCAGUGGUGUCUAAUUAUUUUUUUUAUCUUGAAUCUUCCUGCUGUUUAGCAGUGAGUCAUACUACUUACGAGUCUUUGCUUUCGAAAAUGCAAACAGGAUGUUGUGGUGUGCUGUAACUCACUUCAUUUGACAUCUAUUCCCAGCAGUGCCAUUAAAAAUAAGUAUAUAGAAAUAUUCUAUGACAUCACUGGCGGUCUUUUCGUUUUUGUAGGUCACAUAGAAACAGCAGUAUUCAUUUCAUCCUGUUGUAUAAACAGCUUAAAAACCGUCAUGGCAGCUUUGGUAUUGACAAGAUAUUUUCAAUUUUCUAUUUCAACCACAUUUUCCUAAAUAUAAGUUGGUAUUCUAUAUAAAUUGCAAUGAUUGAAAAAAAAUUUCAAAAUUUGAUGCCACUUUUUAGGGUAUUAUAGAAUGUGUUAUGGAGACGGAUGAAGUGACAGAGGGUAGAUGACACAAAUGCAACAAAUGAUCUCCAGAUAGACGUUAAUCUGAGACCUCGCCUUUGUUUCCUGAUCCCUAUACUCUUGGCUUUAAGGCGCCACAGGAUUAAGUUUUUAUUUAUUUAUUAUUAUUUUUUUAAUCAAAACAAUUACAUUCAUCUCUGUUUUAUCUCAUAAGUUUCGAUCUGGGUGUCCUGAAUGAGUCUGGGAAAAACAUUCACUAACAUCAUGUUUAGUUGUUUCACCAUGAGUGUGCAAUAGGCACCACAUGAAUGACUCACUGACUUAAUGGUUAUCUUAAGGCCAUUUAAAGCACUUAGAUUAGGUUCUAGACAGAUUAGUUUCUUGGCCUAACAUUAAAAGAGUCAGGGGUUUGUUGUUUUUACUUAAUGUUAUGACUCCACACAGGAUACAGAAUGAGUCUCUGGAGUCAGAUUCAGCACUGACAGAAGACACUUUCCUUCUUAAAGUGGAAAUAGGAUGGCAGUAACGAUUAUUGUCAAAUAAUAUAGAUAAAUAAAAACUAGUUAAGUCUAUAUUUAAGAGGCAGCGUAGGAUGAUAGGUCACGUAUGCCACUCGCAGUUACCUUUUUAUGGAGAGAUUUUGUAGGUGAUAGUCUCGAGAGAAAAUAACCACGAUUACACACUCAGUUUUCUCUUUUGCUGUUCUGCUGACAGAAAAUGUCUCACAAGCAAUUUCACAUUCAGUCUCGAUGGUUAAUUACAUUUCCAAGGUGUUGCUUGGUACCUGGGGAGACGUUUGUUCAGUGAAACCUGGAGAAGGAGGUGACUUUCCCUCCCUCGGGCAUGGACGGCGCUCUGAAAUGGAACAUGGGUCCUGAAAGGUGGCAUUAGCGGCCCACUGAAAUGAAAUGGUGUCAGCCUUUGUCUUACCACAUGAAUGAAUUUAAUUUGUGUGAUCUCCAUGUUCUCAAACCAGCGGAGCAAUAAAAGGUACUUCUGAUGAGACUCAAGGGCAUCCAAGAGAGCUCUCAUGAACUGUGAGCGGGUAUAUUCAGAAUAAAAAGCAGGAUUGAAGGUUUUCUCAUCAAAAAUAAAUUGCAAAUAUCUAAAUACAACAGUGAUAAAUCAAUAAGGUCAACAUGUGUGAUCACGUAGGGUUUCUUUUAACCACAAAGACCAGCAAAAAGCCUAGAUCUCUAUACGUUUCAAGAGUGAUCCGGUAAAGAGGUAGUUUGGGUCUAUGGACCCCUCUGCUGUGAAGUCAGCACAGACAGAAUAGCCAUACUUCAUUUAAAUUAUGCAUCAGGGCCAUGGGGCAGGUCACAUAAGAAGUCCAUGAUAAAAACACAUUUGAAUGUCACACCCUUGCCCAAGGAGGCCACGGUAUGCUGAUCCCUGCCACAUUAACUGUCUUGACCAUAGACUGUAUGUAGAGUGGACAGCGUCUGCCUCCUCGCUGGGUACAGCCACCCUGAGAACAGCACCCUCUGGUGACGGGCUGCAGUAUAGGUCAUAAAUCCCGCCUCACUGGCAAAGCUUAUGGUGCUGUGGACAAACUUUAGAAAUUUAUUACAAAGACUAUAAAUUUCUCUCCCCCAUGAUUUCGAUGUUGACAUGUAGUUAUUGUAAGACUGGUUUGUGCUCAAGUCCUCUUUUUUCUGUGAAGCUCCGUUUUUGAAAGUUAUUAGGGGGUUCAUGUUUUCUAUGAUUGACACUUGAUACAGCCUAUGGGCGUACGAAGAUUGCGUAGCUCACCCAAGGGAUAUGCUGUUUGAGCCGAGAGUCAUCACCUCGACUUUAGGCUACUCUCCCGCCAAAUGUGUACAAUACUACCGCGCAAAUGGUGGAGUGCGUACAACACUACUGCACAAUGCUGGUUUCGGGAAGUGGAGUAAAAAUGUGGAAUUACCGAGAGCUUUUCGGCUUCGAAUACGUAUACUGGCGGAGGGCAGAACCAAGUUGUCCAUAGUAUAUACAGUCUUUGGUCUUGAAGUUAUAGUGCGCUAUCCCUUCAGCUUGCGGUCUAGCUAAAGACAAAAGUGAGAACCUGGUUGGUUCUGUUUUCCCUCAGUGGAGUGAAAGACUAGUAGAGCUCGGUAGAUACAAAUUUCAUUGUGUUGAAUCUUGUCAGUGGGUUUGAAUUUGAAAAUUUUUCAGAACUGGGGCUGUGAUAUUAUAACAUCGACCUUACUUCCAUACGGGGUUAUUAUCUGGUAGCUUUGGAAAUAGCCCUGUAGUUUCCCACAAUAACAAGUAGUUAAUGUUAGUGCUGCUGAGUAUGACUCUUUUCACAGUUACCUACUUUUCAGAUCCAUUAGCCAAUUUCUUUCAACUCAAUCAAAAAGGAACACUAGGAAAAUUACAGGGGACCCAUAAAUGCUUUUGAGAGCCCAGCUUAGGCAGAAACUCUGGCUGUGUCUUUUUACUGUUACCAGGCAACUGCAACAUCAGCUGCUGUCAGUCAUCUGUGUAACAGAACUGAUGACAUGAGCUCAUGACCCUUAUGGCUUCAUGUGCCAACAACCAUUUCAGUCACUAGACUUAGAGUCUGGAGGUAACGCCGGGUUUGAUAGUGGACCCUAACCAGAUAGAGACUGGCCUUUCUCUGGACAUCUUUUAGAUGAGCAGCAGAGACAGAGAAAAGUGGAUGUAGAUGUUUCUUAUUACUCCCUUGCAAAGAUAUAAGACAAGACUAAAGUUACCAUUCCCAAAGCACGCUAUGCUGCUAUAGAUUAUACUAGAUCAGAAUGUGUUUGAAGAUACGCACACCACUUUCAUGAUAGCUUGUAUUUCUGGUGUUCAACAACGACAACAUUUCAAGAUAAAGUUUCUCAGUUCAGAAAAAACUAAUCAUGGUACAGGAUGAUAAAAAAGCAAGGAUGCUUACAAAGACCGUCACAGUUUGAACAGAAAGUACAAAUAAAAGAGUUCUGUUUUUCAAGAAAAACACAAAAAGAUAUUUUUAAAGGAUAAUUAAAAAGCAAUUAAGAGGAUGUGGAAAAGAUGAGAUAAUGCCGACUUAGAUACGUUUAAUCAAAUUGUAACAGAAUUGCAAUAAGUUUCAAUUAUUUUCAAGUUGCCUCGACUACAACAAAGGAAACAAAACAUGCAGUAAUGAAAGAAACUAAUCAGCAGCUUGGAAGAAAAAUAGAGUAACAUCCUCCAUUAGAAGCUGCACUUGGCUGAGAAAACUUCAAUUGUGAUGAGGUCGGAAAAAAAACACCUACUUUUCUGUUGAUAUUUUCAAAGAACAAUAUGAAGUUUAGUUGUACUGAACAAAAUAGUGGAAUGAAAAUGAUUAAGAGCAUGUAUUCAUUUAUUUAAAGCUUACCACAGGAGUAAAAGUAAUGCUUAUAGUUAGCUUAGAGCUAUGUGAUGUACGUAUAAACACACAUGACUGUAUUCAAGACUUUGUAAAGAAUCUUUUGAGUGUGUCUGUGCUUGAGUUUUAGUGAUGAAUCCGCUACCUGAGACAUAAAAACAAAGGUUCAAAGUAGGGCUGUCACAAGGAACUGCCAUUGACAAUAAGUGUAUUGACAAUUGAACCAAAAAUUAACAUACAGUGAUACCAUACAACUGCUUUUUUCAUAGUAUGGGGAGGUAGGGGUUCUCUGGUUGCUAUCCACCUUAAAAAAAAAGAGGGAGGAUGAGAAGGCAGCACUAGCAGCAAUGUAGCAAGCGAGCUAGCUGUAGCAUAAAGACGCUUAGACUUUACUUGAACUGGUGUUUCAUGAUUUCAUGUGAAUCUAAUUGACAGCGUUUCUUGUAUCGCUAUUUACCACAAGAUUGUUAUUAUUUUUUCUUUAGUGGUUUGAGCCUUUUUUCCCUUCCUUUCUCUGAGCUGGAUGAGAAGUUCGGGAUGAGUGAUACUGCUCCCAUUUCCAAUUAUAUUCAUCCACUUUUUCCAGCAAUUUGGAAGUGUCUGAUAACUGUGCAAGGGCAGCCAGCAGACCAAGAGAGGUGUGCCACAGGGUAGGUGCUGGUGCAGUGCAAGGUUAUAAUAGUUGGAUUUUUCAUUAUAGUUUGGUUUUAUUUCAUUUGGACUUUUUUUCUCUAAUUCAGUUAGUUUUAAUUUGUUUUUAGAGCAGGUUUGUUCAUUUUUAUUAGUCUUUUAUUUUUUUUCUAAACGAUUAGUUUUAGUUUUAGUUUUUCAUACAUGGCAAUGAAACGCUAAACUUUUCGAAGGCAUUCAACUUACACAGUCUUGUCGACACACCAGUCUCAAUAAACGUACGAGUGCAUCUUCCCACUUGUGGUGUUCCUGCGUGUUUACUAACUGGCAGCUCUUUGGUCGUCGGUAAAAACAGUCCAUUGUAGUUGUCUCCUGCUUUCUGUUGCUAUCUCCUGGCCGAGAUGUUGCUUCUUUUUAAUGGGAGCUACUCAAAGAGGCCACUUUGCCAUGGUACUUGUGAUUAGCGUUCUUGUGUGAGCUUCUUAAAUGGACUUUCAGAUUUGUGAGUUUUUUUCCCUUGAGAAGUAUUCCAAAUACUUUUUUGCCAGUGUUCAAGGCACUUGCUUUUGUCUUUCUUGCUGUCGUAUGUAAAGAAAUUUCAUAUAGGACUCUGUUUCUUUCUCCCAAGUUUUGUUGUCAUUUUUUAAACAAGAAGUGAUGAACUGGGAGGUGCCAUACAGUGCUACUAACUCACAUAAAAUUUCACGAGCGAAAUAAAACUAUGACAUAUCAAUCUGAAAUUGACAAAAAUGAAAACAAAGGGAUUUUUAUCUAUAAUUUGAAUUAAUUUUAUUUAAUUUUGCAAACACACAAUACAGUUUUAUUUAUUAAUUUUUUAUUUUAAUUAUAGUUUUUAUUUAUUUCAGUAAACGAAAAUGUUUUUUCAACUUAAGUUUACGUCAUUUUGUUAGUUUUAAUUAACUAUAAUAACCCUGGUACAGUGAAGGAUCUCCAUUGCUGAGAAGUUUCCCACCUUAUAUGAAGACAGUCUGCCAGUGGUAGAGGUAGAUCACUCAAAGUAGCUGACCUAAGAGAAAUAGGGUGGGAGUGAAAGAGGUGUCCUGGCUAAUAACUUUAUCUACAGUAGUAUGUAUAGUCAGCCAGAACUCCUGAACUUUAGGGCAACUCCAAAGCAGAUGCAUGAGGGUACUAUCUUUGUUGAGACACCUCCACUACUCAAGGCUGUCAAUAACACCCACUGUGUGCAACCUGGGUAAUAUCCAGUACACCCUGUUUGUGACUUCAGAUUGGAUCAGUCUUCUUCACAGAUCUCCUUCUUAGAAUCAUUUCCUACUCUGCUCUCCAAGUGACGCCUUUAAAUCAUCCUCCCAUGUCUAAUGAAAGCGCUGUAUAUCUGUGGUUCUUGGGAUCAUAGACGAAUAAACAGAUGCUUCAUGACCCCAUCCACUCUUCUGUUCUGUAAUGAAAAAUGUAAUGUUACAUAUUCUUAUAGACAACAGCUGAUAUCUCGUACUGCCCAUGGAGAACAUGCUUGGCCAUUGGCUCAUGUUUUUUAAUUACUGAUUGAAAAAAACAAGACUCUCAGUUUUAGUCCUGACCAGGUUAUGUUCAGUGUAAGUUUCUAUAGUGAACCGAUCAGGUUUAAAGAGAGCUAGUUUGGUGAUACUGAAAACUUUAGGUUUAGCCUAAACAGACCUGGUUUACCCUCUAAACCUUGCUUCGCGGUGAACCCCCUACGUUUAAAACACACACACACGCACACACACACACAUAAAACAAACAAACAAACAAACAAACAAAAACAACUUUUUUGUUUAAAACUCUCUGAAAAUGAGAGCUGCAGGGGGUGACUGUAUUUAUAUCAUAGUUUGUUGUUUUCUUUGAGCUGUUAACACCCCGGGUAGACAGGAAAAUUACAAAUACCACAAUCUAUCACAAGCAGGUCUAUGUAAAUAGUAAUUUUUGCAUUCAGAUGUUUUUUUUUUUUUUGUGCAGAAUGAAAAUAAACAGCCAUAUAACGAUCAAGUAAAUCACCAAUUCGCCUCUCAAGGGAAAAUGAGUACCUUUCCUUGCAACCGUCUUUUCUCAGCUUCAAUGGCUAUUGUGUUUGACUAUAAAAACAAGGUUGUGUGUAAAGCAAAGUGGGACAGUGAGGGAUGCUUUGGUGUUAAAAAAAGCCGGAAACUGUUGAAAGAUAGCAGACAGGUUAAGUAAGAAGUUUUCUUCCUGUUUUCAAAAAGCACACAGCCAACAUUUGAAAAGCAGAGCCAGAGAGGGAGCAUUAAAUUUCAAAAGAACAAACGUUACCUUGGUUGGGAUCCCACUCAGCUGCUCCACUUUCUGACAGGUCUGGUUCUGUGUUUCUACAAAUGGUACAAACGCACAAACUGGAUAAAAACUUCAACAGUUUGCAGCGGUAAAUGGGACCACUCACUCUGACAGCUGAUCCCAGGGCUGAUCUUUAGCGGGGAAGGUAAAAGUAAAAACGCAAAAUUCAGGAAGUCAAGCUUGAUGUUAAAUGGUGCAGACAACUGUGGAAAAACAAGGCACCCUGUCGAACAGCUAAGUGCUCUCUCUGGGUUAUGUUUGGGGCCUUAUUUGCUGAGAAGAAUGACAAAUUUCAUCCACAACUGGUAUGUAACCCAUAAACUAAUGGUACACCUUGCUCUGUUGGUUGCCUGUAUGCUAUAAAAUGUGAUUAUAGUGUUGUGUUUCCUUGAGACAGAGCUCCUGUGUUUCCUGAGGUUGUCUACAACACUUUAUGUCAAGCUGGACCUCCCAGAUUUUGUUUUUGUGUAAACUUGGAGGAGAAUCACCCUGACCCCUCAGAGGUCCCACAGCAAGUAGAUUUGGACCACAAGGGGAUGUCCACCUCAUAGGGUCUUAAAAGUGCCUAUAAUUAAUCCUUCCUCUCAUAAUCAGAUUGUAGAGUUUACAUAACACCUAAAAAUACAGUUUAAAGAUUUAAAAAGCCCCCAGAGAAAGAAUAAACUUAAUUAAAUCCAAAUAUCCACCCUACUGAUUUCAACGUUAUACUGGUGAUAAAUUAGUCAUUAAAAGGAACUGUUGUUUUAGUGUUACCUGCAGAGAGGGGGAGCAAUCUAAAACCAGACCUACAGUUUGUUCGGUAUCUUUGUGGGGAAAAAAAUACACAAAAUAAUAUUUAAAAAAAGAAACAUUUAAUUAAACAUGUAUCAAAAAUAAUGGAAUUUACUAAAUUUUUAUACUUGAAACUAUAGGGUGAAUGAGCAUGUUGUAACUAGAUAAUAUAACUCAAGGUCUCAGAUUUACAGUUAAAUGUUCGUCAUUGUGUCGGUUUGAUAGCGAUAAACAGAAUGGGGCAGAAACUAUGACUGCUGGUAUAGACAGACAGACAGACAGACGGAUGGAUAUUCAGUGAUUUUUACUGAACCCUUUUUUACAUUGUAUUUAUUCAUUCCAUGAUGUCUGUCAUGAGUAUUUUUUAUAUAAAGUAUGUCAUUUUGUGCUGUGUAUUAAGUAAGUGUGAUACACUUUAUGUUUAAUGGGCCAAUUUUGAGUCUGAAUCCCCACUCUGCAGUAAAACUGAGUAAAGUCCCGAUUCCUUUUAUGUCUCCAGAGAUUGUCCUGCUAGACUUUCCUGAGGUGGGAAGUAGAAGUAAUUUUAUAUCCCUUAAUCUUGGAAGGACAAUGCAUCCAGACUCAUUUAAAAAUUCAACUAUAAACAACUUCAAUACUCUGGUAGACACUGAUGGUAUUCUUGACAUGUAGGAGUUUGUAUUUGCUUUCUUGCUAAAAGUGAGAUGAGAAGAUUCCCAUCUUCUGCUGAUAUGAAGCUGCAUUGAUCAGGGAGCUUAGCAUAAUGUAAUGAUUUACCUCUUCCCCAUUAAAACAAACAUAAAUGAUGUUGUAUUCUCAAGGGUUGCUGGUGUAUGGAUUUCAUACGUUCUCUCAGGGCCAGGCCACUAAUUUUCUCCUGCUUAGGUAGUCCUCAUGUUUGCUAAGCUAGCUCGUACUUUUGCUCACCUUUAACACAGUAUUAUUGCCAACUCUGGUAUCAUCAAAAUGUCAAACACCAAAAGCUUUGUUCUUAAAAUAUUGAUGCAGUUUUAAAUAUACUACUUGGAAAGUUAGCUUAGAACUCAAAUCACAUCAUUUUUUGGGCUCUAUGUUUCUUUUGUGAUUCAGAAGAGGAACCCUUUAUGAGAAAACAGCUGUCAUGACUUUAUUCCUCUAUCAACCAGCUCUAAAAGCCAAUGUCUGUCAAGUCUGAGUCAAAUCUCAGACACUUCACAAUGUUAGCUUCUACAAGUCACCAUAUUUUUUCAAGGUACUUCAUCAUCCUGACAGCUGCUGUCAACAUUUUGCGAGCAAUUCUUUACUUGGGAUUUAGAAUAAUAUGUUUUUAAGGCAGCACCCAGAGUUAACUUUCAAUACGGUGUCAUUUAACCUCCCGCUUAUGCACUUUUUUCAGUGAGGUGAAAAAAAAAAACACAAAGUUGGAUUAAAGCAACCGACGUCUUUUGUAAGGGUUUACGGUGACAGAAUCCCCGGGCUACAGCAAAGAAGUCCCAAUGAAGAAGGUCACGUCUAUCUAUCCUCCACUCCUGGGAAAAGAAAGUGUCUCUCCAGUUUUUUUGAGAGGUGUCCACAUGGGGUCCGUGUGACGGAAAUGGAUUUCCUUCAUGUGCUCAGUUGAAUAUUUGCAUCAAAGGAAGCUUACAGCGCUGUUGGGGGGGAGGGCAGUGAUGUCUGUUAAUGCCGUCUCUAAGGCAAUCACCCGUGACAAAUUCUCUGCAGACCGAGGAAGUCACAGAUGCAGAGAAACUUUCAGGCUGAUUCUGGGAACUUGUCAACCCUAGCUGUCACCAGUGCUGACAAGGUCCACGCCACACAAUGACUCUGUCUACACCAGCUGGUACCAGAGUGUCAGUGCCAGGAGGAACUGAUGGGUAAUUUCUGCAGAUAUUUCAAGACAGUUACUCAGUGCAUUCCUGUUUUUGCAGGAGUGAGAAAAACACAUCACAUAUUCAGUUUGACCUCUGAAUAUUGCUGUCCUCAUGAUGUCUGGACAAUGAUGUUUUUUUGUUUUUUUUGGCUCUGCUCCAGCACAUUGUUUUUAGAGAGUGACAAUAAGAGUGAAGUGAGGAUACAGAGUUUUAGAGUUCACAUCCAAAUACAGACACUGCACCUGAAUUUACUGUUACUGUAACAUUUGGUGAAACCUAAAAAUAUCUAAUCGUGAUGCUAGGUCAAGAUUAGAGUCAAGUACAGACCAAACUGUGGCAUGCUGUUGCAUUCAUCGAAUACCAAAUUAGCCACCAAUAUCAACUAGUUUUCAUAACUUUUCACUAAUAGUAACUUUGUGGAUACAGUUAAUCUAAUACAUAACUCUGUUAACAGUUACUUUGUGAGCAAAGAUGUUAAAGGCACUAUAAGUGAUUUAGAAACAGACUGAAACUAGCUGCAUUUACAUUGGCACAAAUAAUCGGAAUAAAGGCCUGAUCAGAAAAAAAUAUGCGUCAUGUUUUGAUCGGAAAAUUCUGAUCCAAUUCGACUCAAUUGGAAAGAAAUUGUAUUCUGAUCGAGAGGGGUGGUUUAUGCCGAUCGUUAUUCAGAAACACGUUCAUGUAAACACUUAUUCUGAGCGUGACUCUCUAACCUGACUUGGUCUUCACUCUUUGGCCUUUGACUUAUUUGUUGAGGCCAGUACAGGAGGUUUCAUUAUUAACACUGGCAUAAAACACAUCCGCAGGUGCCGUGUCUGCUCCUCCGGUAACAUAACAAGGUGAACAUCCAGCGCAAUGAUGUCAAAUCUGCAAGCACAGUGCAACCUUUGACAGAACAGUAGAAUAAGUAUGCAAGGGUGCUAUCUAGUGACAACAUUCUGACAAAUGCUGAAUUGGAUAUGUUUGUUGGUUUGUACAUGUUUGUUGGUUUGUUGACAGUACAGGCGUCAAUCCAACUCUUUUUCUGCGGUUGUUUUAGCAAAAUCAGACAACCCUGCGCUUGUCCAAAUGCUUCUGAUCUGAAUAAAACUUGGUGCAUGUAUACGCACGUCAUCAUCGGAUCAUUUGAUUUUGCACCCAUAUAAACAGUGGAUUCAGAUCAUCCGAUCCAUCAAAUUUUUAAUCAGAUCAAGAAAUUUUGCACAUUUAAAUGUGGCUACUGACUGAUGCUUCUUUUUGAGGUUCAGAAGUAAACUAGACCAUCAGAAAUAAGGCUGGCUAUUUCUCUGUUGUAACUUUUAAUGCCUUAUAUAAUUGUGAGGAGGAGGGUGGACUGACACCCUGCUGCAGAAAAAGCCCCUUUUCCCCAUAGCAAUUACUAAGCGAGUGAAACAGUCUCAAUCUAAAGAAAAGAGGAUGAAGUGUAUGUCUGAAAACACCACUUCCUCAUACAUAGAACAAGAGGGAGUUUCUCUCUGCAGCUUCUAUUUUGGUGACAAUUUUCUGCCUGUGUUGAUUUUGGUACCCCCUGUGGACAAAGUAGGAACCAUUAUGUCAGUGCUGCUUUUGUUUUGUCAGUGAGAAAGAGGUGUUAAUUGACAGAAGACUCCUCUUGUUGUCGUCUUUUUAUGGCAAAUUGUCUUGUUUUUUUUUCAUAACCCAUCAAAAAGUCCUCACAGGAGCUUUAAAGGAUCCUUUCUCAAACUGUCCCCUCUCCACUUUCAGUACGAUACAGAGUGCACUCUGCAGAUUUUAAAGAGAUAUGUUCUAACUCUGUGCCAUAGCAAAAUAAAGAUCAGAAGCAAAGGGCAGUUACAUAAACUGAUUUUUUCAUUAUCUUUCUAAUAUGCAUUUUUCAUGUUAACACUGUAAAAAAAGUAACAGUCUCAAGCAGAACCCAAACUUUGGCAUCUGGAGUCAAAAAUUUCCCUUGCAAUUCUUACCAUCCACUCAAAUCUAUGUGCAGAAAAGUUCCCUCUAUAUCUACUCCAGGUAGCAAUGACCUUUGCCACCCAAACUGUGCAGAGAAACACAAUUCAGCAAUAAGUCAAAGUAAUCUCUGGAAGAUAGGGUUGCAUAUUUGUUGAAAACUUUAGGACCCAUAAGUCUUAGGUAGAUGACACCCUCCUUUGGGAAGGAGGACUCUGGGCUAAAAUAUAAAACAUGACAACCGAGGAGAGUUGAUAUAAUGUUCUUGAUGGGUCAAGUUAGUCCCCUGACCUCAGUCUACCUGUGUGUGUAACUCACAAACUAGAGAACGAUGCUGAAUACAGAGAAGCUUCAGCUGUAAACAGCCCCGCCAGAAAUGAACUGCGGAAAGUGUUGGCAGGGUGAGGUGAGAGACGCAGAAAGUCAGGCGCAAGGACUUUGAAAUACAAUGCUUUAUUCAGUGUCUUAGACGCUGACUACUUUAACGCAUUAAGUGUGACAAAACAAGAGCCAUUAGGGAAACUAGAAACACCAAAGGACCAUCAUUUACAAUCAAAACACACAUGACUUGGCUGAGGGCAUGGUAGUUAAAUCCUGUAGCACCUUUUAUAACAGUUACGACUUCUUUGACACAUUUUUUUUCUUCACUUUGCUCUCUGUGUGUUUCUACGUUGUCUUCAAGACACAUCCCAGGAUGCACGGGCUGAGAGAACAAUUCAUGGUGUGUGGGGGUGAAGUAAGGUCACCAAAGACUCAAACUGCAAAAAGUUUGAGAAGAAACUUGCACAGUUUGUCAACAAGACCCCUACUAAUAUUGUUUUCGACGACAGUUUUGCUGUCUUUACCCAUGUCAGAUUUACCCAACAUCAGAAAUUUGCAAGGACAAUAUUCCAUCGGUAAAAACUGAAUGAUUCAUACCCUGAUAUGCUUGCACCUCAGCUACAGCACAAGGUAAAAUCGACUAUAUUCUUGCGACAGGGAGAUGGUGUCAGUACCUCAAUUUCAUUCUCAGCAGAUCUUGAAUAUGUAGACAGUGCAAGCUAGAAAUGUGGCAAAAUUAAGUGUUCUUGAAUGAUUGCAUUAGAAACUGCGAUGACAUAGCUCAAGGAAAUACCCGAAGAAACCAAAAAAUAAGCAAAUGACACACAGAAAAACAUUUUACUAGAUCUUUGUGACUUUCUAAUAAUUUCGACAAUUAUAAACCUUUUUAAUGUGUUUUUGCUGACUUUAGUUUAAUAGUUUGUUAUUGGUGUGAGAGUAAUAAGUGACCACUGAAGAUCAUGAGUCAUAGAUUAUAUACUGAGCUGCCAUGCUGUCCAUUUUCACAUCGAUUAUGAUUCUCAAGAAUGACCCAGAUAGUCACUGAUUAUGAAGUGACGCUAAACAUAAAAUAUAAUGAGCUGCUGCGAAUAAAGGAGCAGACAUUCCUUUGCUCUUCAUCUUGGGCCGAUGCAGAAACUUUCACAUUGAAGUGAGGAGUCAGCACUUUAUACUCAUUGAGGAAGUUUGAUUUGAAAUCCGAAGCUCUGGAGCAAGGAGCCAAAACAAUGAAAAAUGCACUUCUUUCCUAAUACUUUCUGACCAUACAGUACAGCCUGACGAUAAAACUGAAAAUAUGAUGACCCAAACAGCCGCGGCCUAUACACAAAUAUGAUCUGUGUUAUACAGUUGCUCCCUGCAUAUCCUUCCUUUGGGAAAUUUGCAUUUAGAGUGUAAGGUGUGCACUGCAGCCCACAUUAACCGCCCUGCUAUAGAGCAAUGCAGCGUGCCGACUGUAAAUGAUGCCAGUAGCAGAUUAAUGACAGCCAUCAGGAUGAACUAAUUAGCAACACUACAGUGGGGCAGCCUAUAUAGACGCUAUUGACCCUCUCUCUGUCUUUGGCGGGGGGGGGAGAGAGAGAGAGAGAGAGAGAGACAGAGAGAGAGACAGAGAGAGAGAGAGAGAGAGGCUGCCUCAGUCUGAUUAACGAACAGGAGGAAUAUCAAAGCCUUAUCUCUGAAAGAAGUCAUCAUGAAAAAUGUUGAUAGCAGCAUUCGUGUGAGGAAUUCUGAGUGGGAGCUGCCUGAAAAAGCAGGACACAAACAAACGGCAGGAAAUAGAAAUAUUUGCUGAAGGGUGCUGGCUACCCUGAUAGGAUUCUGUUUGGCUACAUCAGCUAACGCCAUCCUGCUUAUUACCUGGCGUCCAAGUUAAUAUAUAAACAAGUCAACACUCGGUAUCCAUGUAAAGAUAAUUUUAAUAACUUGAUGAUUUGUUUGUUCAAACACCCAAUAAAAGUUAUUGCUCUUGUGUUGCAAUAACAUUGGACUAAACACAUACAUAAUUUAGUGAAAAAAAAUGUGAAGGAGCAUUGCUGUAACAAGAAAAUGUUCAAAGUACAUAGAGUGAAAUACUUUGAAAAAGUGACACAGGCUUUUGUCCUGUCACACCUUAAGCACUGCCCUGCCAUUUAGUCAUCUGCUUCAAAGAAAAACCUGCAAAAAUGUCAAAGAACUCAAAAUAAGGCUGCAAGAUUAAUUUUCCUGUGCUCUAUGCCCACAUAUACCACAGAAAUGCACAGAGAGCUCUCAUGGCUUCCUGUGGAUAAUAGAUUACAUUCUCGUAUGAUCACUUUUCUCCAUAGUGUUUUAAUGGACAAGAGACCACAGCAUUUAUAUGAUAGAGUUAAAUAUACACAAAAUAUACAAAACCACAUGACUAGACAAGCCAGUUCUGGAUACACUGAACCAUCGAAACCGAGAACAGAGCUACUUAAAUCUACUUUUACCUAUCGAGCCAUAACAGGAUGGAACUCAAUGCCUAAUUAUUUAAAAAAUUCAAGCACAAAAUUGGUUUCAAGAAAAACUUAUAACAACACUUGAUGAGAUUAACCCUGUACAACACCCUUUUCCUGUUUUUAUUUAAUUGUUUUGUAAAUGAAUGAUUAUAUUGUAUAAUCAUGGAUGGAUGUUUAUGUGAUGUUUUAUUUUCUGUUUUGGACCCCAGGAAGAUUAGCUUUGUCUUGACAAAAGCUAAUGGGGAUCCUAAUAAACAAUAACAAGUUUACCAUAAAGUACUGUAGUUGAAACAUUUGAACAGUUGCCAGCCUUGGCUUUGAGUUAAUAACAACAUUAGGAAUCACAAUGAGGCGAUGUGGUUUUACUUAGAAUGUAUAUGUACAGAAAGGCCUACAUCUCCACAAACACACUGUUUAAUCCCUGAUCCCUGCUUUAUGAGAUGCAGCCACAGCAGCUUGUCUAAAACACCAUAACACAUGGUAACUACCUACAGUGAGGCUCACAGCGUGAAAUACUGUAUGCAUGAAUAUCCAGUAAAUCUGCUCUGUUUAAAUGUUUAGCUUCCAAAGUGCAAACACAAGGUUGAAAAUGUGAAGAUGGCGAGUGAGUCAGACAUGGCUGUUAAUAAAUAAGUUGAAACAAUAGGCAGUGCUGUGGUACCGGAGCCUCGUCUCAAGAUGUUUAUUCCGUUACCUUGGGUUUUCUUGGUGUCUCCAUCUCGUGGGUGUCACGACUGACUUGUUUCAGUCUCAGCAGCCGUGCUUUAAUAUUGCAGUCUGUUCCCGAUUCUGUUUGUACCUUAAUGUUUGACAUUCAGCACUGUGCUGAAAUAGCUGCUUUGAAGUGAGGCAGUAUUUUUCUCUGUUUUGAGAUUGUCUCUUUUGGUUGAGAUGCUAAAGGGCUCUGACUUGGACUAACAGAGGAUCUGAGCAUUUCCCAUCUUAAUUGUCAUUUAAUUCAUCAUUAACUUUCUCAUUCGAUAACAAGGGCAUUUGGAAAACUUAGGCAGUGUAAAAGACACCCGGGUCAGAGAAUCCAUUUAGCAGAUAUUGUUUAUUUGUAAUGCAGGCAUGCAUCAGAGUGCAUAUCACCCACAGCCACUGCUGUAAUUUCAGCAAACAAGGAACAUAUGGUGUUCUCAGUCAGCUUUCUAAUUAAAAUAUAUAUCAUGAUAUAUUAAUCUUCCCUGUGAACACAAACUGAGAGCUCUCUCCUGUGAUGAGCACAUGUGUUCUGACAGAUAACAGAUGGAAAUGCUCGCAGAGACUGUUUACAUUUUGUAAUCCUGCAUAUCAACAUAAUGCUGUAGCUGUAUUAGCUGGUUUGAAUCUUUUGGAGGUACCAACGGUUUUUCAAGAAUUUAUGAAAGAAGCACCUGCUAGAGAAAUGAUACAGACAUUGUAUUAGACUUAUGUUGAGUUUUAUUCCUCAAGGCCUCUUCAUGUUCAGCUCUUGGGAUUAUAUUAAAAAUCUGGUAUUUAUGGUCCACAGAUGAGAAAUCUACUGAUUCUGAUAAUACACUGGUUCUGUGCCUUGGUAUAACACAGUCUGCUUUUUAUUGUGAAAUAUUGGUAUUGUACGAAAAAGGCAUAAAUAUUGCUAAAGGUAAUUGGUUCUAGUAGCAGUCCUUUACCCCUUGGUGUAGGCGUCGCCACUUUCUACGAAUAUUAACAAUCUGAUACAAGAUUCCUUUAUUCCUUUUCCUUUGUUCCUUUAUGCUGUGCUGUUACCUUCAGACAGAGUUAGCAGUUCAAAGUCCUGUUGGGGUCCACAUGGAUCAGGGAUUGACCAUAACCAGGAAGUAUUUCUCAACCAAACGAACUGAUACACAGUUGGGAGUUUGCAAAUGGCGUUUCAUUGUGAAAUACUGGAUGACAUGCACAGUUUUGGUGUUUGACUUCCUGUCUAGAAUGACCUUCUCUGUGUGGAUUGACGCGUAUUGGAAACGUAGAGCAGCAAAAAUAGACUGGUCGCAUAUCUUAAGCAUUGCUCCUCUCGAGACGCUUCUGCGCUCGAUACGAUGCUGUGAUGGAGCUGAUACCCGUCCUGUAUGCGAUGCUGCAUUGAUUAGAAUGGCAACCUAUUUGUUGCUUGAUAUGUGACGCUGUCGAUACGCACUAAAUAUGGAUCCUGUAUGUUUUAGCCUUUAUGGAACCUAUUAAGACAAAAAUAAGCAGUACCCUUAUGUCAAGACCCCUCACCGUUUUGUCGUAGCCUUCAGGUCCCUUAAACGAGAUUCCAAGUGUCAAUAGUGGUAUUUUGCAGUACCUUUAGACAUCCACAAAUGGAACAACCGAUGUCCUCUUGAUUAAACAAUGCAUGACUGUUGAGAGGAUGCUCAAGUCCCAGUCGAGCAGCACUCUAUGAAAAACACUUUCACUUUCAGACCAACAUGUUUGGGCAUUCAUCCAUUUAAAUCACCGGCAACAAGAAAGAAUAAUUUACAAAACCUGCUGCCAGUAUUUCAGAAACUUUAAUCUGGUCACGAACAACUUACAACAGAGAGUUGACACACACCCACACUCAGAGGCUUGUUGAAAGUCAUUUCAGCUCUAAGCAGGAAAUCACUGACUGAAGUGGAAAGAGGUGAGGUAGGUAGAGUGAAAGUGGGUGCAACAAAACAGAGAAUUACAGCAGCACUUCAUCACAGGAAUAAAAACCUCCUAGAAUACACUGAACAUCAUAAAUCAGAGAGGGAGUAUCCAAGAGAAAAUCCAGGCUUUUCUGAAGUUAACUGCCAUUCAUCAACAGCAUGUAGGGAUGAAUUUUAGCUGUCAGUAUGGCCAAAAAUCAAACCCAAGGGAUGAGUUUUGAAAUGAGGCAAAGAGGAAAGUUCACAGCCAAACAAAAGAGUGAUUACUGGGAGAAAUUAUGUUGAAGGAUUACUGCUGCUUCAAAUCAACCUACGCUGGUUUUUAGUCCUCUUUUACUGGCUUGUAAAGGAAGCAGCUAGUUUGAUGAAUGGCGGUGUGCUGCUUUGACCUUUUCCUUGUAACUGCUGCUGGCUUAUAAUGGAUAAGUUGUCAAACACCAGUUCAACAUCAUUACUGGUCACAUGACAACACGGCUGUCAGGAUGACUGCGUUCGACAGCAGAGAGCAAAGAGGAUAUCAGGGACGUCUCUGACACUAUUGAUUAUCUGGUUGAUGGAAACAUGUUGGCUUCCUUGAACACAUGUCAACGUCUUCGGGUGUGAGCUGAGGCUCUCACAUGGUAGAGUCUAUCGCCUGUCACUCUUUCGGUUCAGCAGGGGGAUGUAUAACCUUUCCCUUACAGAUGAGGUUGAUCAAAGAUGGAGAUGUGACAUUAGUUGGCUGUUAGGACCAACAAUGGAGCAACAUAUCUCUGGAAAUAAACCUUGACUAUGCUUAAAAAAAAAAUUGAGGGUGGGGUUAUGCAACCUUUGAAAAUCCAAUGACCUAUUUUUGAAUCUCCUGUUUUCUUUAUCAUGGCAAGUGUGUCUUUAAUUUUACAAAUGGCCCCUGUUUGGAACUGAUUUUUAAGAUAUUCAUUGGUCCCAAAAUUAAAUUCUGAAUCUGUCCCUCAAACAUCACUGAGUCGCACAGGUUACUCAUAAAUAUACUGCUAUUUGUGCUUUAGCGUUUUUUUUUUCAUUGUCAAGUCAAUCACAAAUAGUAAGCAAAUACAUAUUCACAGGAUGGAGUCAAAUAAGUAACUCAAUCAAAUCAAAAAUAUACAAUGUUUUGGUAGCAGUACAAACUGUAUUGGGAAUUCCAUAUGAAACCAUUCAAAUUACACUUUGAUAGAGCCAAAUAUGGCGAUAUGGCCUCAAAUCAAUUUCAUGAUGUAUUGACCAGUUCAUCUCAAUAACGAUAAAUGGACGAUAACUACUCCUCAAGCUGUGCACCCCCUCCCACAUUAACUUGGUCUACAUCAGCCGCUACAACUUUUGAACUGUCCUCCAUCUCUUCACCGGUCUUUCCCCUUUGUUACGGACUGGAUGGGGUGGAGUCAUGUCUUUGACCUAGGGCAAAGUCUUAAAGGGACCGGUAAAUUUUCAGUUUAUCACCCAGCCAGAUGGAGGAACAAACUUUUGUAAUUCAAAACUCCUUGUUUUUAGAUUCAAAUUUUAAAUAACUUCUACACGCUCACAUAUUACUUAAACCUGAUCACUGACACAAAACUUACCUGUCAGCUUGUGGAUGUGAGUAAACAUGGGUCCUUUUUUAAAACCUCAGAUGAUGUGAUCUCAGUCUUUUCUCCCUGUAGAUCCCAGUUUGAAGGUUGAAGUGUCAGCAGUUAUUGUGGUUAGAGCCACUUCCUUGGACUGGCCAAUUCCCAUUGCAUUUGAUUUGAGAGAUUGCAGGCUCAGCAAUAGUGUUCUUGACUUUAUCUAUUUUAGCCUCCAGUGAAGCAAGGCUUGUUUUUAAUCCAGCCACUGAAGAUAGCACGUGUUCUUGCAGUAUGCCUGUCAGUGCAGCAAUGCUGUAUUUUUAUUUUUAGAGUGGUAAAAUCAUUUUCAUAUUGAGUGUGCAACCUUUCCAUUUCCAAGAAAACCUGUGAAACAUCUUGAUCCUCACUCUUUACUUUUUCUCUUCCUAUAUCACUUUGCUGUGUCUAUAUUAUUAUUCUGUAUUUUGAACAAUUUAUUUAAAUUAUAGAGUCACUUUUGUUCAGCGUGGGACCCAGCAAUGCAGUUGGUAUAAGUCUAUUUCUCUGAAGUAGUCAUUUACUUGAGAGAAGUGUCCCUCUUUCACACAGCUGUAGGAUUUUCAUUUAUAUUUUCAAGUUGAAGGACCACUUUAGCUGCUAUUUGUGUCUGCAUGUUUUACUUUCAAAAAUCCAAUAUCUUCCGUUCUUAGAGUGCUUACUGAGAAAGAGAGUUUUAUCGUUUGAGUCAAAUGUGAUAAAAAUAUACGUAGACAGUAUGAUUUUUGUGUUUUGCUCCUCAGAGAAAAAACUUGCCGUUAACAUACAGGCUGAAGCCAGAGGUUACUUCAGGAUCGUACUUUCCCACUCAAUCUGCACAGUUUCAGGUUCAGUGCCUGCUGUUUACAGGUCAGUAAUAUGUGGCAGCGGUUCACAAACACAUCGCUUCACUUCAUCAGAGGUUUACUUUACCUUUAGAAAAGCCUUGAAACAACAAUUUUCUGCCUUUGAGACAACAACUGUGUCCCACAGUUAAAACAAACAGAAUUUAUUCAUUCAAAGUUUGGAGGUGUUUAUAUUUCUUUUACGUAUUUGAAGUAUCUGUGUUUCAUAAAAAGGAGCAGACCCCCAACAGAGUGAUGAACAGACAGCCUCAAAAAAAUUAAACUCACUUGGUUAAAGAAAUGAGUUGUGCCAAGAUUAGGUUUUUAUUUAUAUGAAAAAUAACAAAGAAAAGCCUUUAAAAAAAAAAGAAAAUAAGGACAAAUAAAAAAAAUAAUCAGCCACAUUACUAUUCUUUUAAAAUGUAUUUGUACAUUUAAACAGAGACGGAGACAGCUACAAAAGUUGUUUUUAGAGGGUUGGCAUUACGAUCCUCUAAAAACGAUCGUAUUGUUUCUUUUACUGCAUCGAGUAUUACAAAAUGAAAAAGGAUUGUGAAUAUUAAUGCGUAACAGUUUGGCCUACCUUUGACAGGAAGUCUGUCUAAUGUGAUGAAAGAGACAUAUUUUCUUUACUGACAGGAACCAUGCAUCACUUCUUUAUAUCACUUUAGGAGCGUUGGCUUAAUUUUGAUAAUAAUAUUGAAUAAAUCAAACACUGUAUUGCACUUGUAGUAAAAUAUUUUGACACUGUCAUAAAGAGUUGAAAGAUUUGAGCUCUGUUGUUGCUUAGAUUUUAUCACAAGUGACAAAUCAGUCUUUUUAAGCCUUUCUAUAACGCCCUUUUAAACGUCAACACUUGGGCUUAAACCCAGCAGUCGUCUGCCUGUUAUCGCUGCUGCCUCUCUUCCGUCAUGCUCUUCCUGUCCCUUGGCUUUUCAGACUCACCCAGAUACUGACACCUGCUUCCUUCAUAUCCUCUCCCUGCUCUCCUCUCUCCACCUGUGGCUGCCUGACAAUUUGUACUGUUUUUUUUAACAUGUGUUGAAGAUACAGCGGUCCACCAUUAACCUAAGCGGCACUCUCCGUUCAACAUAUUGGCAUAAAGGGGGCAGAACAGCAGGCUGCACAACAGCUCUCAGUGUCAAUUGUCAUAUUUUUAUAAAACCUUUAGGGCCAUAAUUAUAAUGGAAAUGAACAGAAAUUGUGACCACUGCUGCAGGACUCAACAAGAUUGACAAAAUGAAAGAGUUUCAAAAAUCAACACCCACCAGUAUUUUCACACAGGAGCUUUUAGUGAUGAAGGCUUAUGCACGUACAGAUGUAUAAAAACACAAUUUAAAACUGGAGCCAUGGGUUCAAACAUUUAUGAUCUUGGUGACAGUAAAUUAAAUCUUUCUCUGAUGCAUAUUGUACACUUGAAUAUUUUGACUGUCCUCCUUAAAUACACACACAGCAUGCAGCUCACUGCUCUCUGGAUUGCAAAACAUCUAAGCUUUCAAGUUGGCUCAUACAGACUCUCUGUACUGGCCACAAGCACUCUCAGACUCCUUGCUUCCACCUUGCUGAUUUUUCUUCCUCUCCUCCACAUACACACACAUGCACCUCAUUCCCAGCUCUGUAUCCCCUGCAGUGCUCCACGCGGCCUGCUGUCACUCUAUCCCUUUUCCCUCACCACAGAGCAGCACUCCCUCUCUGGCUGCCUGGCCCUGCAGCGCUGAGUGCCCAAGCUUUCAUUCCUGCCUGUCAGAGGGGGUGAGAAUGGAGACGCCGGGGCAGUAAUGGAGGCAAAGUAACCAGCUCUCACUCUGAGGCUGACACCAGCGUACAUGACCAGUGUGUGGGACUGUCCCUGGAGCUCUCGAGCCUCAUGUUUAUGCAGCUCGUGCACUUGUUUGUAGGAUUUUGUAUAUUAAAAGCAUUGUUGGAGGACCCUCCUGUUGGACACACAAAGACACAAACAAAACACUCAUUUAAUGUUGCAGUUCCAUCAGAAAAUACUGAAUAGGUAGAUUCAGUUUCCCCUGUAUGCGAUCAUAUGCCGCUUCAACUUCAAAUUGAAUCCUUUCUUUGUUGAAAAAACAAGUUUUAAAAGCAUUAUAAAGGCCAUCAAAUGAGUCACUGCUGUAGUUUUGCUCUGCAGUGAUUUCAGGCAUACAGCAUGAUUACUUCUGAAGUGGGAGAGCUUCACACAUCAGCCACAACAGCAGAGACCCUCCCAGGAGAGGCCAGCUCAGAGCUUCCAGCGCUCUCUGAAGGACUUUUGAAGCAGUGGCCACUCCAUGUAUCUGCUGCUCUGUAAACCUACUAAUAAUAUCACUAUACGCAGUGAAGGAGUUAUUUCACCACAGAGCCUAUAGAUUCUAUGUGGCCUGAGCACAAAGAGCGUUUAGCCUACAGUCUGAAAGAGAUGAGCAUGUAGAACAUAUUGAAUUUCUCUUUUUUUCAGGGCAGAAUAAUUUUGUUUUCUGCUGGAGUCUGAGCACACUAGCUUUAUAUUUGACUGUUUUUAAUAUACAGACUUACUUUGACUACUGUUUCUUCAUGAAGUGAAUCACGUUUAUCACAUCCUCCAAAAGAGAAUUACUUGUUUUAUGCCCUGAUACCAAACUGUAUUACACAAUAUAUUCAAGUCAUGUGAUUGUGAUGCAUGCUUAAACAAAUUCACUUCCACAUCUAAUAUCUGAUGAAAAUUGUGUUCACAGGUUUAUGUAAAUUUAUAGAACCUUAUCUGCAUCUCCAUAGUAAUCUCCUCCUGCCCUGUCUCAUAUUUUUGUCUGUUCAGUCAUGAAUUAAAGCGCCUAAGGUGUCAAAUAAAUCUUGAUUUAUAAAUUAUAAACAAUGCUGUAAAAAUAGUACUUCACACCAUAGCUUGUAAGUGACAGGAACAAAAUAGAAUCGCAUACCAAAAAGAAUGUCAUAUACACUCAAUGGCCACUUUAUUAGGUACACCUGUACAGUUGCUUGUCAACACAAAUUGCUAAUUAACCAAUCACAUGGCAGCAACUCAAUUUAUUUAGGAAAAUAGAUGUGGGCAAGAUGACUUGCUGAAGUUCAAACCGAGCAUCAGAAGAUUUAAAGGGAUAUUCAGAAGUAAAAUCAAUUUAGGGUCAAACACACCGUAACACCGAGUUGAACAGCCCCUUGAGAGAUGAAUGUUGCCGACUGUUUGCUUUUCUAGUUAUACCAACUUUAGUAACGACCACACGAUAGCAAUACACAGCAGUCUGAGGAGCCAUGCGCACACCUCAACCAAAACGCCACUCUAUAGCCACAAAUAAUACUCAGAACAGCACCUAACUUCAGUAACAGUAAAUAUAGGGUCCCAGCCACAGCACUAGCCAUCAAACAUCUUUUUUAACUUUGCCUGAUUUCUUUAGCAAAGAGACUAAACACAACUCACCUACUCUCUUCCAGCGGCUUGAUGCAGCUCAAGGAAGAACAUUUAUGAUCAUUACUUUAUCAUUUCCUUGAAGUAAUAAUCAUCAUAUUAAUCAUUUUGCACUGCAGAUGCGGUAGUUCUUCUGCCUUUGCGUCUCGGUCUGAUUGCAUUUCCAUGAAGAAAUGAUCAUAAAUAUCAAUGCAGCCUCAAGUCGUUGGGGAGGUUUUGGACCACUUUGGGAUUCCAUCUGCUGAAAGGUUGAUUGGGAUUUCCUCUUUCGGCAGGAUCUAGCACCUGCCCACAGCGCCAAAACUACCAGAAACUGGUUUGCUGACCUUGGCGUUACUCUACUUUGCUCAAAAGAAAUAUUAGAAACACCGGAACACACAGUACAGAUGAGCUGAAGGAGCUAUAAAAGCAACCAAAGCUUCGUAACUCCUUAGCAGUCACACACUGACUGAGCCCAUGCCAUGUUGCAUGGAGUCAGUAGUUUUCCAGAAGGUAAACACAUUUAUUAUAAAUCUUUGUUUUUGGAUUGGUAUUUUGUGAUAGUCUAAUGUUUCAAGAAAGUGGAUUUUGUAUAUUUUUUGUGAGCAACAAUCAAAAAAAUUCAAGCAAGAAAUGGAAGUUUAACUUUUUGAAUUAAAUUAGGGGAAAAGUAAACUUUGAGUACCCUACCAGGCAUGAACAGCUACACUGGUAAGAGAAGACAUGGCGACCGUUGGGAUUAGACCUCUAAAUCUGAGGUUCCAUUGUUGUUGUCCACUCCAAAGAGCAGCAGCAGCAGCAGCAGCACAGUGAGGCCUGCAGAGUUUAAAAGCCUGUAAAAACCCUCAGCGUGUUGUAAGAAUUUGGCGUGCAGAGCCACGUCUUGAUUGCUCUUUCUCAUUUAAGGGUUACAACCCAUUCAGCCGUGUGGUGUACAUUCAAGGCUGCAGCUGCAGCUCUUUUGAGCUUUUCCUGAAUUACUGUAUAAUGCAGACAUUUUUAAUCAUCAAUAAAUGUUUUUUUUUUUUUAAUUUUUCAUCAAUCUAGCUGGUAUAAAGCACCUCCUUCAAGUCUGAUUGAACCUUUAGCUCAGAGGAAUCCUCUCAAUACUACAGCUUUUGGAAGUAUUUGUGCAGUAUCCUCGCACAGUAAGUGCAAAGUUACUGAGAAAAACAGGAUUGAACAAAUACUUGGCCCUUAAACUCUAUAAAGAGAUACUGGUGUGUUCGACAUCAACAGCAUAAUUACAUCUCACGCAGUGCAGCCAGUGAUGAUGGAGGUGCUAAGAUAUAUCUGAGGCGAUGAGGUGAGCACGUAAUAAUGGCAUAUUAUAGAGAGACAGCUGAAAAAGGACUGGCUUGCAGACAGCAUGUUUACUUAGGAUACAUACAUUGCAAAAUCUCUUCAAACAGAUUUAAGUGAUUCAGAAAGUCUUUCCCCUCAAAAAAUCUUUGUUUUAGCGUCAAUGAGGAGCACAAAGAGACGUUGCUGCACUUAGAAGCUCGCUGUUUCAAUUCUGUACGUCUCUCAGCUUAGAUAAACACAUUAUUAGAGACAGAACAGGUGUGUCUCCAACUGUGGACAAAAACGUGCUGUAGAGUGUAAUUUGUGGGUGUGGAAAGAGAAAAGUUUCACAAUUUCAUGCAACUUCUCUCUCUUUAGCCAAUGAUUUCACCCACUCAAGCACAAAGAUUCCACGCAAGACACGCCCGUUGUAAUCCUGUAGAUAAAGCGUGAAUAAUUAUACCAAUAGACAAGACUUGUGUCUACAUUUUAAAGUUUAAAUGGGGUCUCUAGGUGAAAGUAUGCUGAUUCUUGCCAAAGUAGUAGAUGUUUGGAAAACUCCAAUAAUUGCCCUCUUUUUUUGUUGCCUGUACCUUUGACCUCAAUUUUAAAAAAUGUUACCAGAUUUUUGCGACAAAUGUUGCAAAAAAUUCUUGUAAAAUUGAGAAAAGUAAUAGCACACAUUCCUGAUCAAACCAGACAUUUUGAUAUAUAAUUUGUCAUACAACUCUUCAAGAUGUAGGACGAGUAGCGAAUCAAAAUUUGUACAGAUGAGGAAUAAGAAACAAAUCCCCAAUACUUUUGUACAGGAGCCUGUGCCUCGGUGCAUUUGCCCCAUGGUCCUAAAGCCUAGCUUAUGUUUGACGCAGUCACUAGUGCGCGAGGCUCAUGCACCACAAAUGACGUAAAUGCGCACCUUGCAACAGCGUUGUAUGCUGGCGCAUUGUGCUGUCGCGCACCUCCAGAAUUUUGAAACUUGGCGAGCGCCACUCAAGUGUCGCUCAGUUCUAAAUGGAUGAAUUUGAGGGAAGACUGGCAGAGCUAGUUCUUCUUCUCUGUUUUUUGGUUGCGUAUGCUACUAACUAAUGUAUUUUUUCUCUACCGCCCCCUGUCUUUGCUGCGAAUAUUGCAAUGGAGAACGUGUCAAGCAUAGACGCCUGUGCGCAGACGCCCGUGCGCUCUGCCGAGGUGCACGCGCCAUCCUCAAAUGGAGCCAGGCAAAAGUAUAUCCAGGGCUUAAUAGUAGUAGUAGUAGUAGUAGUAGUAGUAGUAGUAGUAGUAGUAGUAGAAGCAGCUGUGGCUGUGAAAUAGCAUGUAUAAUCGCCAAGGUGUGGGAGCCUCUAAAGUGACUCUGUGUACGACAGACAAACUCUCAGAAUAUGAGUUUGCAGGUAUUUUUGAUGUUUACCUGCAUUGAUCCCUCCACAGUAGGAAUGUGAAGUGUAUUUCUCAUUAAGGAGAGCAACAUUCAUGCACCAAACACCAUGAUGUAACUUCAGUCUCCAGACAUGCUGACAGGAUCAGUCAAAAUCUGAUGUCAAUAAAUGAAAUCUGUUUUCUGCUCAUCCAAAAUGUCCCCCACAGUCAGUCCAGCUUUAGUGAAUCGUUUGAAGUGAAGCAGGAGUCUUCUUUGUUAUAGAUAACAGGGACUUGACUCAGAUUCUUCUUUGGUAACUGGGAUUUGAGGUGCUGAAUGCAAAAUACCUGUAUUUUAAGGAGAACAGCCCAGAGCAAAUUGGUCCUGAUUGAAAUGUCAUCUGUGCUCUGACUAGAAUAAUCAGGUUUAAAUGUAAAUUUCCCUUUCAGUAGAAACAUUUCUUUCUUGUCUCACUUAUAAAGAACAAUGUGGGGGCGCAGCCACUGAAACACUUCUGUAAAAAAACACCCCUAAAGCAUCAUGCAUCACCUGAAUUUGCAUGAAACUUACUUCAUCAUUCCCCCCUUGCCUGGUGUAUGAGAACAGUCGUGAUUGGUCUAACGUUGUGUGUAACAUGAAGGAGAGUGUAUGACAAAACCUGCUGCAGAGCUGUUGCUGGUGGCGGAGUGUCAACACUGACAAUGAUGCUUAAAGCAGAAACGUGGGCACGAGCCCAGAUCCAGCAGAGGAGAAGAUUAAACCCCUAUUCAGGUGGGAUUUGUUUCAAGGACAAUGUGCGAAAAUAAGCGCUAACAAAGGACAUCCGCAUCUGUAGAAUUUACGUGGAGAAAGACAUCGGUGUAAACAUUAAAACAGACGGUUGUUUCUGCUCCAUUUAAAGAAAGCAUGAAUGUGAUUGCUGGAAGAAAAUAACUUUUAUAUUUCGACCACCUGACAAGGAGGACAUCAGACUGAAAUAAUUCUGAAUGUAUACCCUACCUAUAGAGUGAGACUGGGACUGUCCUGUUUUGAAACUACCUGUCCUGAGUCCAAUCAAAUAUCUAUGAAACACUUUGAAAUGAUUCCCUCUUAAAAUACAGUCUUAAUCCACUCACAGAGACAUGCCUCACCGAGCCCAUAGUGUGUAUGUGGCUAAGUGACAAAUAUCAGCCACUGACAUCUCCUACUCAACCUUUCUAAUGAUAAUUAUCCCUCCAUAUCAGGGGAGAUGGAGUUGGUGUGAUUGUGCGCAGACUGGUGUGAGCUCAGGGUCUUGCUGGUGAAUAAUGGCUUUCUAAUGGCAAUAUUAACCUCCUGAACAGAAAGAAGUGCUUAAUGCCGGCUAUGAUUAAGCCCAGAGAGCUGUAGUGUCAGAGGUCAGAUGCUCUGAGCAAUGAGAAAAAUUAUCAAGACAAUGUGCCUGUGAUAAUCUAAACCAGGAGACGCUCAGCCAAUGAAUAAUGUGCUGAUAUUUAGAAACUGCAGGGUGACUUUCCUUCCUUGACUUUGACUCACUGUCUUGGUUCACAGUCAGAGCUCCAGUGUUUGUUUUGACAUCCUGUAACCUUAAGGACCAAAGGAAAAGUUGAGUUCAACUUAAAUCUCCUUUGAGGGUUUUCCCCAUAGACUGUAUAUAGAGUGGACGCCGUCUGCCUCCUCGCUGGGUGAAGCCACCCUGAGAACAGCACCCUCUGGUGACGGGCUGCAGUAUAGGUCAUAAAUGCCGUCUCCUUCAGCCAUCCUUAUGGAGUUGUGGACAAAUUUUAGAAAUGUAUUACUCCAAAUGCCUGCCAGGUUGUUGUUGUUCUGGUUUGUGCUCGAGUCCUCUUUUUUCUGUACAGCUCCCUUUUUCUCGGUUAUUAGUGGGUUCUUGUUUUCUUUGAGUUGCUGUGAUAAUGCCGAGCAUUAUCACAGCAACUCUUGGCGACUCUCCCGCCGAAUGCGUACAAUGCUACUGCGCAAGUGGUGGAGUGCGUACAAUGCUCCUGCGCAUUGUUGUUUUCAGGAAGUGGAGAAAAAUUGCGGAAAUACAGAGAGCUUUUCGGCUUCAAAUCUGUAUACUGGCGGAAGGUGAAACCAAGUUGUCCAUAGUAUAUACAGUCUGGUUUUUUUUUUAUGUUAAUGAAAGUGACUGACAUUCACAUAAUAACUUUUUCAUAGUAUAUUUUAUGGUAUAGCGUUAAUGACAUUUUUCUAUGCCUCUCAUGCAAGUUCAAGAUAAAGUAAAUAGCUGCUGCAUGGCUUGACGUUUUCAACAGAAUUCAAGAUAGAGCAGGACAUGCAAAAAGCUUAAUGGAAAUCUAGUGUUGUGUUAACAUUAAUUAAGUAGAAAACAGAUAAUAAAAAAUGCCAAUGACGCCAAUGUGUAAUAUUUGUAAAAGCUGCAGCCAACAGCUUCACCUGUAAACAACGUUUUAGCUAAAUCAACCUAAAAGGUAGUGAUGUACAAAAUUCACAAAACUGAGAGUUUAAUUGAUUAUAAAGCUAGUUAGAAAUUAAGAAUAAUCCUAAUAGCAAACACAAAUAAAAAAAGCUAUCAGAGCAAGUGAGAAACAGUGUGAUUUAUGAGCACAAAUUACAUAUAAAAAGAUAUAAACAUAUUGCUCACAAUCACUGGUAACAAAGUUGACCAGUGUCUACAAUCAUAUGAACACCAAACACAGAUUGUCUAGAUGUAGCUGACAUUUGCUGAUUCUCCAGCAACAUAUUUCUGCUCCUCGCUGCUGAGGCUGCUGUCAGAGAAGAGGAGUGUAAACGCUGAUGUUUGCUGCGUAACUGACUGACAGGACCUUGAUCAAAACAACAUCAACAGCAACACUAAAAUAGCUCAAACAUCAGUGAUCAGCAGGUGGAUGUAGGUGCUAACCACAUAUACAGUAUAUAUAUGUAUAGAGAAAGAGAGACAGAGAGACAGAGAGAGAGUUUUGCAUUGGUACAAAAAAGUUCUUUUAACAACUCUGUUAAUGUUUGGCAACCAAGGAGAAUGUCUGAAGGUGAAAUGCUGUUUAAUCUGUAUUUUUGAAGUGGGGUUGUACAGGUUACAUGUCACUGUCAAGUGUCUCGGUCACAGUUGAUGCUGGUCAGCUUGUCACUGUGGCCUUAAAACAGGCUUUGUGCCAAGUUAGGAUGGCCUCAGCUGCGACGAGCUGAAAGAGAACUUUAACUUUUCUUUCAAGGACAACAGGCCUCUUUGGGGAUUAUAUUUGGAUGUGUCAGAAUGAAUUAUGCCUGUGACAUAAACAAAUGUGAAUCAGAUUUUGAAAAGCCCCUUACUGCCGCAGGGCAUCUCUUUCAGUUUUUAAACUGCCAAUAAAACAGACAACAAAGGGAAUUGUGAUGCAUAAAUAAGAACACAUAACACGCAGCAGUCUGAGAACAACCAGAACUGACACUGCUCAGUCUGCUCCUCUACCAUGGUGUCCAACAUUGAUGAAUGUCUGCAAUUUUUCAUCGGAGUAUAAACAUUAAAUGAGGCAUUUGCAGCUCCUUUUACAUCUCUCAUAAGAAUCAGACAGGGUGACAAAUUUGAUGUUUUUUUUCACGUUUCCCAAACGCACCUCUUAUUGACUUCAAGUGUCACUAUGACUGUCUAGUACCUUCCCUCUUACAAAGAUAUCAGGAUGCAGUGAGAUGAAAGAAAUAAUUCUGCAGAGGCAAUUUCUUCUGUGCGCAGCCUUUUGAAAAUCACUUCACAGGUCAAGAAUGUGCUGCUUUGUAAAAAUUUAAUGUAAGGUUGUGAAAGGAUGCCCACUUUAGAUUCAUGAGAGAAAAGUACAAUCAGUUCCUCUCUGUUGUGAAGCGGUGAGAAGAUGUGUGAAGCCAAAGAUGACAUUUUACAUAAACAAAUAAAUUGAAUUUCUUCCACGGUGCGUCUAUCUGUUUUUCUUAGAGAAAAAGACACAUUUCCUCUGAUGCACAAAUGUCAAUGGAAAAAUAAUAUUCAAUCUGAAAGACUUACAGCCAACAAAAGGAUUCAUUGUGUUCCAGCUCAGACACACCCCAGGAAGCGGCGGAUAUGAGAAUCUGGCUGCUUGAGAUGCAGAAAGGCGGCUUCAUUGUACUGAUUCACUAUUUCCCUCACAUGAGGCAUACAAUACAGUUAACACUGUCACUGAUCAGAAACUCAGAGUAACACAAAGCAGGGAGCUCCACAAUAUCAGCCCACUGACUUGCUCUUUUGACUCUCAGUAGCAUUGUAGUUGCUAUUUUUGAGGGGAAGCUGAACCAUAGCCAUGCUCGAAGGAGGCCCAUUGUGCUUCUUUUCACCUUUUAUUAUGACAGUUUGGGACCCUAUAGAGUACAUCUGAGAAAACUCUGAAUUCAUCUCAUACUAUUGUCUGUGGUAAAGCGUGUUUUAGCUCUAAUCAGCCUCUUUCUGAAACACUUUUUUUGUUGUUAUUUUUCUACUGAUAUUAACUCAUUCAGUGCCAGGUUCACUAUGCAAUUUUCACCCAGUGCCACCAUUGACCGCAAUAGAAAUUUCCAUAUCUCAUAGGGUCUCUAACCCACUCCUGUUUGUAGUUAUUGCCUGCUCGAUGCAGCGUGGUCAUAUCAUCUUUGCCGAUCUGGAAAAAGAAGCCUCGGAAAAACACAUUUUUACAAAGGAGAGACGUUCAAGCAGAAUGUUGAUCGUCUAUUUCAUUUCACUUCAAACUACUUUACUGGUGGAAUCAAAGCCCUCCCUCCUUGGACACCACUCCUUAUCUGAUUGUGAUGGGUCACUUUGUGAGUCGUAUUGGCCCUGACGCUGCGACGUAAACUACACGGACUGCGGGACUGUCGCUGAAUUCUGGCUCACCAGGCGGCACAACGACAUGCCGACAAACUGUUUCUUGAUUGUCUGCUGACGAUCUGAAGGUCCAGUACCGAGAUCUCCACUGGAUCCAGAGACAGUAGCACCGCGCCCAUGGAGCUUAUGUGCGGAGGCCGUUAGCUAUUGGCUAAUGACUUUGGCAUUUUCCUACUCCCUUCAUAGAGAAACAACGCUCCAUAACGGGGCUAAUUGGCACACUUGAUGGCACACUUGUCACUGGCGAGUUCUUGUUUUUGUUAUUUUAACAUGGUUAUGAUGUAUUUGUCAGCUUUUCUGCGUUCAGAACGACCCCAAACUUAGUUGCAUGUUGGGGAGGAGCGCCCUAUGGCGGAAAACAAAAAAAACUGAAUAAUUUGUCAAAAUUUGUCAAUGGCACUCCGGGCAAAUAAAAAAAUCUGUCCAAAUCCAUCGUUGGCACUGAAUGAGUUAAGUUAGACACAGCUUUUGGGUGUUACUUUACACACAGUUUUGUUUUCAUAAAACAACCUCAAUGUUAUGUCUUUACAGAUAAUGUCGAAGACUAGCUGCUAGCAGAAAAACUUCCCACUGUUUCCUGGUGUCUUCCUGUUUUUAGGUAUAGAAAAUAGCCGUCACUUUACUUCACAACUAAAAGGGAACUUGCGUGAAAAUUUCUAAGACUGAAUCAACAAAGUGCACAGUGACGAAAAGUAGGGCAGUGAAAAUUGACUUUCUGCAAGUGGGCAUGUCCUCAACAGAGUUGUUGAAUGGACCCAAGCAGCAACCUCCAGUCUUGAGACAUAAAGCUGAUGAUGCAUCCUGAGCGCUUGUUUGAGGCUGGCUGCAGAAGAAACCUUAGUUCACACUAAAAAAAAGUUCAGUUGAAUCAGCAUUACUAACUUUGUACGUUGUCAUGAUGGGAAUAUACAUCCGCAUGACUCUUUCCUUUACAAAAGCAAAUCACAGGUGGCAAAAAGUAAUGAUAGCUGGUAUUACACCUGGUCAGAGGAGCAGCAUUGGUGGAGAAUCACUUUUGGAGAGUCUAACAACUUGCUCCCACUCCACACUUGGAGGUUUUCAAUGGCACUUGAUGUGGCUGAUCCUCCACAUGAAUGUGCAGCGGGAAAAUGUGGGGAUAUGGUCACUCUCUCCCCCCAAAAUUUAUCACAAAAGGCUGCAGAAAUCAUUCUUGCCUGUGGCCAUCAAAAUGUACAACCUUUCCCCACAAGUGCCUCAAACUCAGAGAGGAUAGAGUGAGAUAUUUCAACUCUAAAGCUUAAAAUCUUCCACAAAAUCACAUAUAAUGUAUUAUCACAUAAAUGUACAGUCUGAUUCAAACAUGACUUACUGUUAAAGACUCUGAUUUUCCACUUGAUCCGAUUUGUUCUUCUAUCUCUAUUCUCAUUUCUAGAUAGUGUAUAAGGACUACUGAGAUGACUACAUUUCUUAGUGAUACAAAUCAUUUUUCUCAUUCAUAUCCUCAAGUGUCUGUCUUUGAGACAGGUGAAAUAAAAUGUCUCCAGAACAUGAGCUCAGUUCAGUAAGGCUGCGGCUCUCAAAUCAUCUCUGAGCACACACUAAAUCUGAAUGACCAGCACAAGCGCACUUCUCUGAAGAUUUAAUCUUGACACAAGUCAGGAAACAAAAUUAAAUUGAUUUUUUGGCCACAGUUUCCUGACUCCCCCGACCCACCUCAAUAACAAACAUAAAAAGGGGCAAAAUGAAAUGUCUUUCCUGAAACAUAAUAACACACACUGACACAUAUAGAAGCUAAUAAUAGAAGCUUCUGUUGCCGAGCAUUUCAGUGAGGAGACCCGGCCAUGUGUUUCAAAACGAUUUUUCUUGGAAAGCAUCCUGCUAUAGUAAUCUUGUCCUGAUUGCAUCGAUCACAAUCACACAGCUUGAAAUGACACAACUGGAAUUUACUCUUGGGAUCCAGAGAUUUAUGGCUGGGAUAUCAGAAAUAAGACAAAGUGUAUGGUCACUCUAAGUAGUGCAGGUCAGCUUUUGGUAGAUUUCUCUGACAUGAAGUAACUAGCAUGCUCUGAAAAAUAACAAUUCAUAGACAGAAAGCCAAGCAAGGGUGCAAAAAAUUUGCAUUAAUUCACAUUAAUCAAGUUAUAGUAAUAUUACUUAUGUAAAGUGCACUUAUGUUCUUAGUUUAAAACUCCAAUAAAAAAUCCCUGAUUAAAACUGUGGCUCAACUUUUUGCUCCUUAAACAGCAACUUAUAUGAAACUAUUCCAACUCUCAAAUAAUAAACUGCACCAACAAGCAAUUAUGACCGAACCAGCAAUAAAUCCCACUUCAGUUUGCAGCCUGUGCAUAUAAAUGUAUCAAAUUAACCAGAAAAUAGGAUGGGACUCAGACAAUUAGACAAAGAUGGCUGCUGAUAAAUAAAAAUGAGUGGACACCGUAUUGGUUUCAACAAGAAAUAUUCAGCCAUCAAUUAAAGAGCCUGUCACUUUAACAGCAGAGGAAACUUCAUCAGGGCAGACAGCCCUGGGGAGGAAACUGUGGACCAGCUCCUUGAACUUGUUUGUCUCACUGUGCAGCUGCCUAUUUCCAACUUUUACUUCAGUGUUUAUGAAAGUGAACUUUACAAAGUCUGCAUCUAAAUUUGGUGACAUGCAGAUGUAAUGUACUGCAUCAUUUUAUGUGGUAUAGACUCAAGUUUCUUUGCCUGCGUGUUCAAGUCUGCAGCAACUUUGCCUUGUGUGGCUCAGUUACCCUCAGCUGGCCUGAGGAUUGUUGGUCUAAUGUCCAAUGUACAAAAAAUAGCCUUCCAUGUUUAAAUAUACAAUACCCAGCUUGUUCUCUACUGUGGCCCCUGGACACGCUUUCCUUUGUUUCAAAAAGUUUAUGAAGACCUUGGUGCAAUCUGAAAUAAAGCCAAGUGAAAUGCUCAGAGUACUAUAAGUAUUUUACUUGUAUGCAGGAAGAAUCUGAAAAUGGUAAUGUCUUGCAUUUAUGGAGGAACUUUCAUUAAAUGUGGCACAGAAGUAGUGUAUGAAUUGAGGGCUGAAACCUCAGCUGACUUGUUUAAUGACAAUAUUGAAGGAUGAAUUGAUUCCUGUUGCCAUCUUGGACAGAAACAGAUAAUGGCAUCAAGCCCAAUGAAAUUUGUCAAACGAUGAGAUGCAAAAGCAGCUAUUGUGAAUCCGCCAUAAAGGUUUGACGCAGCCCCAUUGACUCAAUGACAUGGACGAAAUCUCAUUGACUCUACUUACUGUUUUUUUGAAAAGCCCAGUGAUGGUGGUUGCCAUCUUGGAAAUGCAGAUUCAACCUAUGUAGAGUCAAUGAGCCGCUGUGAACCAGUCAUAUUUUUGCACCAGGCUGUAAACAUGUUUAAAUCUGUAGUAUAAAUCGAUUUUUUACCAUUGGUGUUCAUUGGUAUUUCUUCUCUGUUAAAGGUGGGGUAGGCAGGAUUUCACUAAAGAGGCAUCUUUUUUUGUGGUGUAUAUACAAAAAGCUUUUAAGAUCAGUCAAUAGCUAUUAGUCAUUGAUGAUAUUUGGUAAUAUAAUGAUAUUGCUGUGUUUUGUUAUGUCUGUGUAGUCAACAUUGUAGUCUAACAAAGCCACUCUCCGCCUCCCCCCACCUGAUUGGUUGUGAGGCUCCUUAGUGCUGAUUGGUAGUGAGGCAGACGCUGCUCCCCCGUGUUGUGAUGCACGUUCCAUAUCCUCGAAUAAUGUGCACGAGUCCAAACAAAGUUAGAGUGCUACAACAUUGGACAGUAGAAACCAACAAGAAAGUACUGAAAACACAAGCAAGAAAACAAAGUAAAUGGUGGAGUAACAGGUGCUUAAAACAGAGGAAGAACUAAGAAGCCGGGUCAACAUCAGCAUAAAUAAUGGGGGACGCUUCGCGACCUUAACAACCCUGUAAUCUUUCUGCUGGACAGGUACACCGCUUUAACAAAGUGAGCCAAGUGUCUGUAACAAUAGUGAUUCUUGUCAAACGGGACCUGCCGCGUAUUUUAGCGCCGCUAAACUGUUAACAUCGGGUCCUGGACUAUGUCACUUUAUCCUAGCUGUAGAAGUCCUGCAAACAUUGUGUUUGCUGGUAGUCUGUUGGCAUCUACUGUAGCACUAAUGCUUUUUACUUUCAUGUUGACUGGGCCCCAUUUGUAAUUAUUUGAAGUAUUUAUCUGCAUUAUAUCUGAAUUCAAUUGAAAUGAUUCGAGCGAGCAGGAGCGUCUGUUUGUGGGCGGGGCUUGCUGGAGCAGAGAGGGAGGGGAGAGGAGGAGCUGAGGGGAAAACUGGUUGGAAGGGGUAGUGUUUACAUUCAAGAUUCCUCCCAAAAACUGGCACUUCCUCAGAUCCUACCUACCCCACCUUUAAAGCCUGCCUCAUGUGGUCAGUCAAAGAACUGCAGUUAGUAUCAUUUUUCAUCACCUGUUACUGUCACUUACACAUAGCAUCCCUUUAUUUUUGUACUUAACAGUGGUUUAACUGUAUUUAGAAAUAAUAAAAAAAAACAUAUCAAGUAAGUUUAUAAUCAAGACUUUGGUUAGUUGCUCUCCAAGAUUCUGAUUGGUUGUUGUAAAUUCUUUGAAUCCAUGCACAAAAUAUUAGUGAGCUUGCUACAGAUUUUUAUGAGUUUAAUUUCACCCCUAAAGCAAGAAAUGCUCUAUACACUGAUGAAUGGUGGUGUGUUCAGGCGUCUGGUAUUGACAUGAAGUCAGCUCAGCCACAGUGCAGGAAAAAUGGAAAAUAAGGCGGUGGGGGUGAGUGGGGGGGUCAAUGAAUUAUUAAUGUUCAGGUCUGCCCACUAUAUGGCCUAUGUGUCAUGUUGAUGGCUCGCCUUUACAAUUCCUGUUUCACACUGUAGCCUGCUCCCUGAAGCCUUUUACAGUAUAGCUUUCUUUCUUUCUUUCUCUCUUCCUUCCUUCCUAUUUUAUAUUUACAUUUCCCUUUAAGGUCACUUUGUUUUUUCUCUCCAAAAAAUUAGCCCAUUUUGAGCACAUCUAAGAACCACCAAGCUGCCAAAGCAAUGACCUUUCCUGUGCUGAAUUACUUUAAUUCAAUUUUCCAGUCAGUCAAUCAUGACAAGACAAAAAAAGGAAUGUGCUCACUCAUAUGCUUUACAUCACCUCCACCUACAGAUAUUAAUGGAAAUAAAGACACAUUUUAAAUACAGAAUUUAUUAGCAUUUUUACCAUUCAAUCUUGAUGCAAGGAGUUUAGAGUAGACUUGACAAACAUACUUUGGAAACAAACAGCAACCUCAGAUGUUGAAUUAGGAGUCAAUGUGGAGGUGCAAGCAACAAACACUUCAAGACCAGAGCUACGUUUUAGGUAAUAACGCAUCUUGACUGCAAGACAGAAAAAAAUGCUAAAAUAAAAGCAUCCAAAAAAACGUUUCCUUGGAUAAUGUCCUCUCCAAAGCAGUUUUAGUUACACAGCCAGUGAAUUGUAUAAAUCAUAAAUUUGAACAUAAUGAGAAAUGUAUGAUGACAUUUAAGUUUUUGAUCAUAUCAAUACUGAAAAUAAUGCAUAUUCCAGCAUAUUUCAAGCUAUGGUUGAAUGAUGUGUGAGUUAGUUGUAGCUUCUUGCAAGGCAGAAGGCUGUGGCCUCAGCUGAGCCUCUUUGCUGGUUUCUUGAGUAGUCGUUACUUAGUUGUAGUCCACAUUUCCAAUAUGGCAACCACCAUCUUCUGGCCCCUUAACGCCGCUUCAGAAACCAACGGUUGAUGUUACUGAGAUAAUGUCCAUGACGGAAAUUCCAGGCAACUAUCAAGGCCGUGGAUGUUUGUUUUCUAUGCUGGUACAGUACAAUCCUCACGAGGCAUCUCUGUAUUUUCACAAGAACAGGAGGCUGUGAGUGAGUGUGUGUGGGUAAGGUAUAGCUUACAAAUCAAAGAAACAUCGUGAACACUAUUCUGAAAUGACACAGACAUCCUUUAAACAUGAGCUGUGGUCUAGGUAAUAGGUAAUAAGACAGGUGAAUGCUCCCCAAUAGCUGUGGUCAGAGCCUGUGAACUGUGGGCCUCACUAAAUGGAUGUAAAUAGGAGUUUAGCCGAGUGUAAUCACAGAGUCGCAGGAAGGUGAGGAUGAAUAAUUCACAUGCUCUCCGCACCUCAUAUUUUCAUUCUCUGCAGGCAAUUUUCUGUGAUGUACAAACUCAUAAACACUCACAUAAAUACACACACACAGAAAAGUAGAAUUGUGCUGCCUUACCUCGGUCCAUCAGCUCUUGAUAAGGGUUAUUUCUCUGUCAGACUUAGACAUGUUCAAAAUGCUCUCUGGGUGCUGAACAGGCCUGUCUCCUCUGUGUCACAUGUUGGGAAAAAAGGUAUUUCUUCAGCCACUUCUGUUACACUCGACAAUGAUCUAAACAAAGCAACACUCAAGGUUUCUCAUAAAAAAGGGAAAAGCUUAUGCCGUAGAUAUUUUCAAGAGAGCUCAAGCUGAUCUUGAAGUGAAAAAAAAAAUGAAGUGGCUUUUGAGUCUUUCCAUCAUGAGAGGUUAUUGUGACUAGUGAUAGCUGUAAAUUUGUAUUGUAAUUGCCACUAAACAAAUGGAAAAUUGCUUUUUAUUAAUUCAAGUGAUUUGUGUUUUUUUUCCACCAGCAAUUAUAUAACUAACCUAUUUUCGCCUUGAUAAAAGCUCUGCAGGUGGCAGGCAGAAAGACUACAUGCUGUUUCACAGCUUUGGUCAAAAAAUGUCAUAGCAAUCAGUAGAUGGCUUGCUGUUAAAGUCAGUACAUCUUUUCGUGCCAAUACAACUGAAUCUUUAUUUUAACUAGUAUAUUUUUAUUACUAAGGACAGCAAAGGAGAGUUAUGAACUGUGGGGAGUCGAGAAUGAGGGAUGAUGUACAACAAAAGGGCGUUGAGAGUCAAACAACUUUUUAUCUUUCUUUUUUUUAUGGCCAACAAUAUCCUUUUCAUGCACUCACCACCUUACUGAUAACUCCUUGGUAAACAGCAGCCAGUUCAAGCUGGAUAUACUGUAUGUCUAAAUGUCAACACAGUGACCUUGGAUUAAUCCACCAGCAUAGACCCUGCAUAAGACCACCACCACAAGUUGUCAGUAACAUAACAGCAGCUAUAUAGCUAACUUAAGUUUUUUUGUAUUGUGACUACAAAGCUGUGUAAAAAGCAACACCCACUCACUGUGCCUAACUUUAUCACAAGAAAAGUAAUUGAAUUGAAAGUCAGGGAUUUUACUUUUUUUUUUUAAACUGCAAAUAGUGCAACACUUUUCAUAACAAUAAGUGAAUAUGAAUCUAAUAGGUCCCCUUUAACACAGUUUUCAGUCAGUGUGUAAAGUGCUCCAAGACAAACAUUUGGAGAAUAAAUAGUUGCAUAAAAGGCAGGAAAAUGUUUCUAAAUUACAGAAAUGUUUGUCUAAGAAUAAUCAUGCAACGCAAGCAGGACAUUCUCCUUCUCUCAUCUCUACUGACUAUUUCAUUGCAGCUCUAAAACACUAGCCUCUCCUCUUUAAUCGUCUUUGUGUCAGAGUGUCAGUGAGACGUUCUCACUGACAGUUACUACAGUUUGUAAUAAUGCAUUCAAAGUCCUCAUAGUGUAAUCUUGUACAAACGCAGUUGCCAAUUCUUAUGUAUGAUUGUUUAAACACCAGCAAUAUUUAACUUCAGAAUAAGACAAAGACUGUGGGUCCUUAUUUAAAAUUACUAUUUGGAAGAGCUGACUCAAGUCAGUAAGCUCUUGUACCUUAAAGGUGUUAAACAUAUUUUUCAAUAGAGGGUGGUUGAGCUUGCAAUCUUUAAUUUUCUUGUCAUUAUACAAUUUGGUUUGGUGCUUUGAAAAUGUCAGCAUGCUCCUGUGAGAAACUCACAAUCACAAAGCAAAACCAAUACUUAAAAUUACCUGAACUAAUACUUUAAUUUACCACCAAUGAUGACCUGAGAAGAAAAGUUAAGAGAGCAGCAAUUUAGAAAACCAACACUAAGGACCUGAAUUAUAAAAGAAUUGUGCUUUUGCAGCCACUUACCAUGAAAUAAAACUAAAACAGAGCAUCUAAAUUGCAAAGCACAGGCUAAAGUAUAAAAGCACGGCAAAUGAUGCUUUAGAGGAAACAGCAGCUCUGCUUUUUUGUUGUUUGCACAUGUUUAAAUUGGUCAUUAUCCAUAUGUGCGGGACAGCUUUUAAGCCUUUAUAUGCAAAUGAGCCCCACUAUUAUAAAUGUCCAACUCACAAACACCAGCCCUAAUAGCCACUCUGAGUACAAAUGAAAUUAACAACAUCUGCAGAGUUGGUGGUAACUGUUGCAUAGUGAAAGAGGCGUAUCAGCAGGUGUGAUCCAUUCUUCAUGAAUUCACCCUGAAAUGAACACUCACUUGUGCCCCACCUCUGUGGACUAAAGAAGAGAAAAGGCCAUCACCCAAUUCAUCUAUUUCUUCCCUCUGAGGACGAACAACGUCUGGACAGUUACAAAAUAACAUGCUGUGAAGCACAAGUUGCUAACUCCUUACUGCUGAUAGAGGUGGGAGUUUGGAUAAACUUGUCUAAUCUAUUGAACAGCUCUUUCUAUCAUCCUUAUCAGCAUAAUUACAGUUUGUCAAACUAAUAAAUAACACACAUGGAUCUCUAUUUAUUUAGGCCCAAACCAUGCUCUCUUUUAAAUCCAAAUUUUUAUCCAAGUAUAACUAACCAUAAUUAGCAUGGUUACAAUGGCUCUACCAGAAUACUUUGAUGUAAAUAAGCACAGAUGACAGAUGAGCUCUUGUCCUGUGGUGCAGUUUGGCUUUUCUUGAGAGCCAAACUUAAGAUGGGAAAGAUUUGACCCAUCCCAUCCAACAUGAGGGACUGUACAAAGAAAAACGUCUUUUAAUAGGCAGAAACCUUGAGCAGGGCCAGACUCAUGUCAGACAGCUAUCUGACACUGCUGAGUUAGGGCAAACACCAGAAUAUAAAAUCGUAUUAAAACGACAAAAGGAGCAAUAAGGAUUUCUCCUUAAGAAAGUGGUACAACAUUUCUUUUUUUUUUUUUUUUAUUCAAGUCAAUCAAUACCUCCAUUCAAGUCUUGAAAUGUUUUGGUAGUUUGAAAACUGGCAUUAAAAUGUCACAUUUCAGUUUUGCUGAUUAAGUCAGGCAGAAGAUUGUACACAUUUGAAGGAAUAUUUUCGUCAGCCUCAUUUUCAGUAUAGCAAAAAAACAUAUACAUCAACAGAAUAUUCACUAAAAAUCAGGGCAUAUUCUUGUUUAGGUGAGCAUCCAUCAAUACCAACAAAGUGGUUGCACUUGAAAUUAAAUUUAGUUGUAUCCUGCAGACGAAAAAACUUGUGAGAAAAACCAAGGAAAUUUUUGCAAAGCAAUUUCAAACUCCAACAAAUCAGGAACAUCAGCUGUGAGAAAGUGGUGCAAGUUUUUCCUGAAAUGUUGGUUGUCAACAGGAAGGUCUGGAGGAAGGUCAUUCACUCACUGUGAUGGGGCCAUGAGGGAGACAGGCUGAGACUAUAUGGAGAGAUAACCAGGGAAGAGGACAGCUAAGUGGCCUCUGAAGGCAGAGCAUGGAGAAGUGUGGGGGUUUUAUAGGAGCAGAGUGUGUAGGACACUUAAUGACGGCUGAAAUGAGAAGCUGCAUUCUGGAUGAGUUAUUUGUGUGGAGGGGAAUCUUUUUGUGAGAAUGUCAAAGAAAGUUUUGUAAAGGUUCUGGCAAUGAUGAUGAUGUGCUUGAAAACAAGCUGAGAGGAAUUCUCGAGUCGACAGAUGUUUUUCAGAAAUUACUUAUUUGUCUGGAUUCCAACUCUUGUGAAGAAAUGUCAAAAAAAUAAGAAAAAGUUUGUUAAAUCUUCAACUUUUUAGGAGUUUUAAGAAACACAAGACAUCAAUAAACAGUGACAAGACCCCAGAGUUUAAUUAAACUUUACUGUAAAGAUUGAUGCCAAACUGUCAGGAGUUUUUUCUCUGAGGUAAAUGAGACGAUGAUGUGAGUAGCAACCUCAUACAACAGAUUACAUUAAAAUCUCAAUAUUGCAGCCAAGUAAGCUUUUAACCAACUGAAGCUGAAUCCAGGGUGAAGUAAUGUAAGGCCAUACCGAUGUCUUCAAGGCCAAUUUUACAUGUACAGUCUGUGCCAAUGAGUCUGUAAGCACACUAGAUUUGGAUCCCUUUACACUUUUAAAACAAAGACGCUUGUAUUUCAUAACCAGUAGAUGAUAAAACAGGGAAUAUGAGGAGUAUAGAGUGGCGGGUGACAUGCAGCAUCCUUGCUUUAAGGUUCUUUUCUGUUUUAUACACAGACUUGUUAAAAAUAAACCAGCAAAGUACAAACCAUGACCAUUUUGAAGUAUUCUGACAUGUAUGUAAUCGAUCACAACAAUGUUUGUUCCUCUGUGAAUUAGGGAUGUAACAAUAUGAAAAUUUCACAUCACGAUUAUUGUAACCAAAAUGAUCAUGGUUAUCAAUAUUAUCACGGUAUUGUUGAAAUAUGUUCAAGAUAUUUAAAAAGUACACACAAACAGGACUAACAUACACAGUUUUCACGAUUCCCUAAGCCCCCACAUCAUGCAUUUAUUUCAAGAUAACUUACCUUUAACUCGCUGUACAGUCUCUGGUGGUUGUCUUGUAGAUGGGACAUCAUAUUGGAAGUGUUUCCACCCUUUGCUAUGAUUAUUAUUUUGGCAUUUUCGGCAAACUGAUUGGCCGUCCUCAAUCAGUGCUCCUUCCGCAUCUUUGUAGAAGCCGAAAUACGCCCAGACUUCAGACUUUGUUUUCUUUGACGGCAGAAAAAUCUCUGCAACAUGGUUGGCAGAACUGCCUGCUGAACUACCCUCUGCCAUGUUUACAAGUUGUGUACCGCGGUGUAUCAUUUUACCGGUAAUCGUUACAUCUCUACUGUGAAUGCACCUGAACUGAAAAGUGGUUUAAGCAGCUAAGAGAAGGGAUGCUAUCUGACCUCAGGGGUUGGACUGCAGGUUGUAUUUACUCCGUGCUGUCUUCUGUCUUUACUCCUCAUGGCCACAGAAGUGGUCACAUUUUGUCAGACAGAAUCAAGCCUGACUGCAGUUUUAUUAUGAUGAAGGUGUAGGAUGUCCAAACCUGCACCUGUUGAGAGAAUCAGGGAAUGAGGGAGAUGAUGUUUACACAGUCCAGGGAGGAGUCCUGGACAAGGAGGAAAACACCUGCUGGUGUUGUGCUGUCCAUCACAAAUAAGUAAACCUUUGAUAACCUUUUUUUAAGUAGUCUUGACAGGUAUUAGAAUCAAACAGUUCCUCUUACCACGAGUACAGACAGAGAACAAAAAGUAGAGCGCAAUGAAGUGUGGACAGUUGCCAGACUUGACAGCUGAAUAAAACUGGCAACACAAUUAGGAGCCCAUCAGCCAAUUGUCUCUCUGCAAUGAUGUAAUUUUACACUCGACAAGUACUGAGUGACCCAGAAGCUUAUUAGAAGCGUCCAAAGUUUGAGUAGGAUCUUAACCCCACUUUCAAACAUCAUCUUUGAUGAAAGAUUUCACUGCUUAGAUUUUCUGAAGAUGAAUUUAACUCCAUCUGCUUCUGUCUCUUCCUCUGUGCUGAUCUAUUUGUAAUUUACUUCAAUCCAAAGUGAUAAAAGCUACCACUGCUGGCAAUUUUACAAAGCUGUCGUAGAAAAUACAGAGCCAGACAGACAAAGAAGGAUGAUCAAAUGUGCUCUCGGCACUGUGAGCUUGAAAUAUCAUUACAACCAGUAAUGUCAAGCACGCCAAAAAACACGAUGAAAUGUCAAAGUCUCACUCUUGCUUUUUAUGCCUCCUCAUGUGCUUUUGAUUAGGGAGAUCUCAUAGAUUCAUAAAAAGAGAAACAUAUGUCUUGAAGAAACUAUCACAAACCAUCAUCUAAUUCUAUCUGUUUCUUUGGCUUUGCACAUUUUAAAUGCUGAAAGUGACUUUAAUUUGUACUCCACUGUUUUGUUCGGAAUUUGAAUAGAAGAGAUUGUUUUUGUUUUGGCUCCAAGCAGUGCAAUCUAGCUGUUGGAAAAGGUCAACUCUUCAGUUCUUAUGUAAAUUUCAAAGACCUAAUCAGUGCACAGCUCUGAUAUUUCAAUUGAGUGUUUUAGCAUCCAUUUGACAAAGGUGGAUCAUAUUAUCAGUGGAGAUUGGUUCAAAGCCUCUGAUGUGAAUUUGAUUAAAGACUAUUGAGUUUGAUUUUUCUGCUUCUAUUUAAUUUUCUUGUUGAGGUUGAUAAAGUUGCUGAAACUUCAAUUAGAUUAGGAAGAAAACAGCAUCAAAGAUAUGGUCCCUGUGCAGUAUAAUCUUUAAUUUAUGUAGGAGGGGGAUGUUUGGAUUGUUUAUAUCAGUCAUUCUACCACUAGGACAACAGAGGAGAAGAGCUGAGUCUCUAUCGUUUUCUCAAAGAAAGGAUCUCUGUGGAUCUGAAGGGGUUUGGUUAUUCAUUCCACCACAGAGAGACAACAGAGGAGAAGAGUCUGGCCAGUGAUUUAGGUCUUGUUGUGAUGAGAGCAUAAUGAGCAGGAGGGAGUGUUGACUGUACAUGCAGGGAGGAGUAGUCAGUGCGUGAUAUUACAGGAGCUGUUUUGAGUGCGCUGUCUGAUCCUCCUGAUCUUAUAGAGGGUGAAUCCGCAGGAUUCAGCAUCAAGGCCACACGAACCUGAAAUGUCAGUUAGUCAUCAAUCAUAACUUAAAUGAUCAGUAUUGUUAAUUUUCAAUUGUAUACUAAGACACAUUAAGUCUGUGGAGUAUAGUAAUAUGAAAACUUUUAGUUGUGAAGAGUUCAGUGCCUCCAAUGACUGUUUUUGUCUGGGUAGCAACGACAAACAGAAGUCAAUAAAGGAGUUAUACAGACACCAAACAGCAUGAUGAGAACCAAUGGAAAACCGUAUUUAGGAAAAUGUUCAUGGUUGUGUUGUGAUGUUGAAGUUUGGCCAGAAGAAGCUCGACUCUAUGACCAGCUUAGUCCAGUCAGUAGGGGGAGCUCUUCACCUUUUGGCGUCACGUUGAGUAACCUGUCAUGUCAUUCUUUUUUAUACACUGAGGUUUCACCUGCUGCGUUUUACUGAAGAAAUGCUCCUUCUUUUUGUGCAUGAAUAUGCAGACAGAGUGUGAGAGUAAACUUGAGCAAUUAAUGAUCUCAACAAGAGUACACAGUGCAAAAACUAGGUGCAGAGUAGGUCUAGCUUAUUGGAGGAAACAGAACAUUUCCUGAACCAGAUGUCUCUCUGCAGGAGUUCAUUAGCAGAUACAUGGACUCACACAUCAGCAGAACCCAGCGCCCUCCUAUAGUUUUUGCUGGACUGAUUCGAGCAGCCUGUGUGGAAUUCGGGAGCACAAUGCUGGAAAUUUCAGCCUUUAAAUGAAUCAAAAAUGACACUACACAAUUAUCUUUUCUUCUACACACAGGUGCUACUUUUUCUUGACAGGCAUUACAGUGAACGUUUCUGAGAACUUGCAGAUAGCUUCAAAUCAAUGACAAAUUAUUACGUCUUAAAAAAAGAAACCAUUUUAAAUCAUCAACAGCUUUUAUAUUGAGAGUUUUCAACAUCGCUUGGUGUGGAGAUAAUAAAAACUAUUUUAAGAUUGUAUGCUGAUCUUUUAAAGAACAAGAGGAUAACUUUUCUCAGUAACCAGCAUGCAAUAUAUCAUCAUCAAGAGGAAAAUAUUUUGAUCAUAAGCGUAAAAUCACCUUCAGCUUGCUCACAACAUUGUCUCUGCUGGUAGAUAAGGUCAUCAUCAGUCAUGGAUAGCCUGAGAUGAAGAUAGCAUGUCUAGCCUCCUCUUCAGAUAAACCACACUUCAAGGGCUUAUUUUCAGAAAGUACAUUUAAUGUAAAGCGUAAAGCAUGUUUAUUACUCUAUCUGAAGAGUAAAUAUAUAUAUUGAAGUGUUGAUAUUUGUAUGAAGAGUGUAUCUGUAUAAUGUACUUGAUGUAUGGUAUAAGCGGUAGGUCUUUAUAAGCAUUGCUUCUGCCUACACCCUUUUGGUCAUAUUAUACUGAAACAAAUCCAAAGAUUACUGGUUUCAGGGUAUUAAAAAGUGCUUUUAUCAAAGUAAUGUUAAUUUGAAGUGGUUGUAGUCAUUGUCCUCAGCUUUAAUUCUGCAAAAAAGUAACUUUUCAAACUAUCCCUAAAGCAUUACUUUAACCUGGAGAGGAGACUGUGAUGUAUAUCCUGAUGUCAUGAUAACAUGAGGAAGCGGCUGCAGCUGCUUUAGUGGGUAUUGGCAUAAAUGAAGGAUACUGAAUUCAAAGCUGCAUCCAUUUCUGAGUCAAUGCAGACAUUGAUUGUGCAUCUCUACUAUUCAAACAUGAAAUGUUUUCGCUGUCCAGCAGGACAAAAUGAGCACAAUCUAUCAGUGAUGGUCAACUGGGUUGUUUAUCAGUAAGAAUAGCCAGGUGUUUUAAUUUCCAGCUAUUAAAAAUUCACUUUACAACCAACAGUGGAUCCUGAAAGGCCCCAAACUGUUUGCCAGUAACAGGAUUAACAAAAGCACUGUUACUGUGCAUUGUCUGCUUUGUCUGACACCUGUGUGUAAACUCUGCACAUUAUUUAUCCUUUUUUUUUGUUUCUAUUGUUCAAAUGCAAAUAUGUUAGCUAUGAAUGCUGUGCUUACAAAUUGUUGUCGAAAGAGCAGCUGACCAUUUGUUUGGAGAAAAGUAGAAUUGGCCCCUUUCAAGUGAAAAUCAAAAUAAAUGGCUCUACAAACCACUGAAAGGAUACCAGGACAUAACCCUCAAGGAGGAUGAUUUCAGAGAGCGACACUGCUGAAGGUUUAUUUGGUUACAUAAAAUAAAACAAAAGGUCCAGCUGAGAUUUUCUGCAGCACAGUUAGGGAAUCUGUCUUCAUCAAAACACAGAAAACCAAGAUCUCUGAAGCUUGAGUCCCUGGGGAAAGGCAUGUAACAGAGCAGAGCAGGCUUGAGAAUAGGGCUUAAAUCUCAGCCUUGUCAUAUAUUCAAAUGAAUGGAUUAUUUUUCUACCUCUUGAUUGGAUGGGGUCCUCAAUUAUUAUUACAAUGUGAAUUAACAUUGAAAAAAAAUUUUCAGUUAUCUACUGUGCCUUCACCGACGGUAAUUUUCAUUGACAGGAUCACAUGGUGCAUGAGGGAAGAGGAGGUUUCCAGUUAGGGAGCCUCAAAAUUUAGUCUCUGCUUUUUGCAGAUGAUGUGGUUCUUUUGGCUUCUUCAGACUAGGACUCUCAAGGGGCAUUAGGGGAGUUUGCUGGUGGGUGCGAAGUGACUAGGAUGAGAGUCGGCGCUUCCAAAUCCCAGGCUGGAACAGUGUUGUUCUCUCAGGGUAGGGAGUUAGUCUUUGCCUUAAGUAAAGUAGUUUAGGUACUGUAUAUUGGGGUCUUGUUCACAAGGGAGGGCAAAAUAGAUAGUGAAACUAAUAGGCAGAUUGGUGCAGUGUCAACAGAUUCCUUUGCAUUGAAAGGAGUCUAGGAUUUACACAUAUCACCUGGCCUGGGGAUCCCAAGGCCUGGAGUUUGUUCCCUUCUAGAGAUCACUUGCAGUGGCGUAAACAUCACAAAGCAUCCUCAUAGUUGCAGCUCUAGUUGACUGUGAGGAAGAUAACUGGAGGAAGAGUUUCCCUAGAGGGCUCUUCUUGAGGAAACAUGAUUAAAUUUCCUCUGGGUAUCGCUAAUAGCGCAGAAAGUACAAAAAGAACCCUCCAUGGUAGUCGUCCUGUGGAUAAAAUAUCAAAAAGUCCCAAUCAGGAUGCCCUGCUGGUGUAAAAAUGUAGUGAUGCUCAUCCACUGGAGUGAAAUGUGACCAACUAACCAACUAAAAAAAUGCUUUCGAUGGUGUCCCAAAUCCACCAUGUUUGUGUAGCUGCUGACCUUUAACCUUGUAUCUAAUGCUUCUUUCAUAUUUUUGCCAGUGCCCCUCAGCCUGCCCUAGUCUUCCACUGUUACAUAUUCAUGAUUAGUUGGAUUGGUAUUUGGUGCAUGCCAGUUUUUCUGUCAAUAUAUGCCCAAAGUUUCAGCACAGCCAGAGACAAAUAAUCAGUUUCAGCCAGUCAGUGCAGAAAAAAAGAUGUAUUGUAAUAUUAAAAAUACUGUGCAAAGAACAAACUGUGAGAUGCCCAUGACUGAUGACCCUACUGUGUCAGUUGCAGAAGACAUAUGACCACAAGAAAUUUGUUGGCAUUGAAACAAGAAACAACACAGCAGACACUGGAUGAUAACAUAUAGCAGCUCUGAUCCGAGCUCCUGCUGCUUCAGGCUGAUAAGAAGUCAGGCGGUAAAGAAAAAAAUAAACAUUUGACUGUAUACAUCCAUCAUAAAGUCUAAUAGUAAAAACUGUUGGCUGUGAUUUGUGAGUAAAGUUCGUAUUUGGACAUCUUGUUGACAGUGGUCCCUGCAAAUUAAAUCCUGUUAUUGGAAAUGUCUUGGUGCAUCAGCUCAUGUUGGAUACAAUAUUGCUAUGCUAAAGAAAUAAAACAAUAAUAAUCCCAUAUAUGGUCCUCACCUUUUUGCUAGUAGAAAACUUUUAAAAUUGAUUUUAUGUGGAUUUGGUGGUAUUGACCAAGAAAAAUAAGUAAUUCACAAACAAUACCUUUGGCUUAAAGGGAUAUUCUGGCAUGAAAUUGAGUAAGGGUCAAACACACCGUAACACUGAGUUCGACACCCCCUCGAGAGAUAAAUGUUGCUGACUGCUUGCUUCUCUGGUUAUAUCAACUUUAGUAAUGACCGCACGAUAGCAAUACACAACGGUCUGUAUCUCCACAUGCAAACCUCAACCAAAACGCCACUCUAUAGCCACAUAUAAUGCUCAGAACAGCACCGAACUUCAUUAACAGUACAUAUAGGGUACUAGCCAUAGCACUAGCCACCAAACAUCUUUUAAGCUUUGCCUAAUUACUUUAGUAAAGAGACUAAACACUUGUUUAGGAGGAGGAGCCCAGAUGAGUCCAUCACUGACUGCAGCGGAUCAUUGAUGCAGUGAUGGACUCAAUGUUUGGUGGCUAGUGCUGGAAGAGAAGGUAAAAAUGGAGUUUCUUCAAAGAGUCAGCACAUUGGCUCGAAUGGUACUGGUUAAAUGGUGGUUUUGUGGUGAUAAAAUAGAUUAGAUUAGAAAAUAUCCUAAAUAGCUUCACAUAAUUUUCAGAUAAAAAAAACCCCUCAAAUUCCUCUCAGAGGUGUGUUAAAAUACCAAUAUUUCAGCCUCUACAAUGGUUUAUUUUACCUGCUGUCUCUUUUAGGCCAGGUUUGAGCAGUUUACAUCUAUUUUCUAAGAUUAUUUAUGGACAUUACCUUGUGAUUUGAAACUUUGCAUACAUUGCAACUUUGUGUUUUUUGUUGUAAACUUGAAAAAGUUUACAACAAUACAUAGGAAAUGGUGAAAUAUUCCAUGUAUAAAUCACAGUCAUUUCUGUUGUUGAAAUGGGACAUUGUGAUUGUUUUUUGUACUCUGUAGAGCAGGAAUUAGGACGUUUUACUACUUAGAUUAAAUGUAACAAAUAUAUGAAGACUGUCCCCUAAGACCACCACAAUAAAAUGGUCCAUCCAAGCCUCUGUUGACUAUCGAUGCUUGAUUUUUGCAUCUAAUCCCCUGUCUUACUUUUAAUGCUUCACUACUUACCAGGACACACAGGUGUAACCUGGGGCUUUCAAAGCAAUUACUCCUCAUCAAUACCCUCAAUCAAUUCUUCAGAAAAUAGCAUCUCCACCUGCAGUUCAUAAAGUUUAGUGUGAGGACUGUGAAAGGAUUUAGACAAAAACAUAGUGGUCCAGGUACAUCAGACUUGAUCUACUUUAAAAAAUACAAGAAGUCUGCUCUUUAAAAAACCUCAACAUGUGUUAUUUGUCUCACAUUAAAAUUCAGCCAAUCAUCCGUCUGCCUGGCACCUCAAGUAGGCUUGACAGCUUUCGUACGGCGUCACCUGAUUGUAUUGCCACAUUAAAAUAAUAAUCUAGAGGAAUCUAGAGACAGAUUGGAAACACUGUAAAAUUAUAGGUCAUCAUAUUAUGAAAAAUGGUUGAGUAAAGUUUAAGUCGUCAUCAGUCCUCUUUUCUCUUUGCUCUGAGGGAAUUGGCAGUCGCUAUCUGAUACACUGACAGUGUUUUCUUUCACUUGGCGGACACAGUCAAAUGAGUCCCUGCUCAAAUAACAGUUAUUUGUGAAAUAUGACAAUACUUCACUUUGCCCGGUCACUCUGUUUCUCUGUUUUUGUCCAUCUUGAAUGGUUGCACUGAAGACCAUUAUGGACUACUUGUGACAACUUCUCAAACGUGGUUGUGCUCAGGUCACAUAAAGACAUGUUGGAGUUAUCAUUUAAAAAUACUGUGGAGAUGAAUAAACAGUCACUUUUCUUUCUAUGUUCCUUUUACACAUCCUUUAUGAUACCCUCAACAAGAACCACUGUUGUUUUACCAUGUUUUUACAUCAAUUUUUGAUGGUAAAUGUUAAUUCAUAUGAAAUUACUUUUGUAUUUAUGAUUUCAGUUUCAUUAGAAAGUUUUUUUUUUAUUAUUUCUUGUUUUACAAGAGAAAGGAGCUCAAAGGAGCUGACUAACUGUUCUUGUUGAUUUUUCCUCUUUAGAUAAGGACCAAACAGCCUUUCUUCGGUAACCUUCUGAGACUUGAAACAGAGCUACAGGUAAGCCAAUCGCACACUGUUCUUUGUGUAUAAAUGAAAAGGUAGUUCAAUAGAUAUGUAAGCAGCAUACCUCUCCACAUGCCUCCGUCAGAAUUACUCAUUUGGCUUCAGUGCUUUUGGCCAAAUCAAUCAUUAUGUUAAUCUGUGCUUCAGGAGCAAAACAUCUGAGCUGAUCCUUUAUGAAAAUAAAUUAAUUUAACAGAUCCAAUUAAUACACACUCAGAGUCUUGCCUUGAGAUAUUAUUUGGAGUUGUGGCAAAGAUACAAGAGGAGAGCAAGAAUCUCUCUGAGAAUUAUUUGUGACUUUGGCACUUCAUCCUGUAACCAGCUAAAUUAAUUGUUGAGGGGCUCAAGUGAACAUUUUCCCAUAAUGCCAUAGUGUAGUUAAGCACUAUUAAAAAAAAAACUACCGCCUGUUGGAGCUAACAUGUACAGCAGAGUAAAUGCAGAACGGGAGGAUGUUGUAUAUGGUUAAGCAUAUGCUCCAUAAGUCUCCAGAACAAGAAUUAAAAGCUGUAAAGACUAUGCAAGCCACUAUCCAUAUGUUGAGGGGAUUUUCUUUGAUUAAAAGUUGGUGGUUCUUGGCUCUUUCUCUGCUGUCAAAACUUUGUAAGUCUUAUUUUAAAUCACAACAGCAGGUGUAUAAUAUGUAUAGCAUCAAACACCCUAGAACACAAAGCUUUUAAAAUCAAAUACACCAAAACUCCACAAUAAAGAGGAAUAAAAAAAUAUCUUCCAAAAGUCUGAAAAAGAAUGUCAACAGUACUGUCAAUGCUGAACUUCCAUGUAUUAACUACAAGCCAAUCUCAGCUGCCAUCAUGCCAGAGGUGGGCAGUUUCCCUGUCAAUCGCAGGGCUAACACAGAAAGACACAACCGCACACACCUACAAGCAAUCUAGAGUGACCAGUUAACCUGACAAUCAUGUCUUUGGGGUGUAGGAAGGAGUUCGAGUAUCCAGUUGAAGCCUCACACAUAUGAAUAGAAAGUUUUUCACUCCUGCAAGAUCACUGGCUUAAUACAUAAUGUCGCCUAAUGGUUGGCUGAUUGCACUUUCAAAGUCUUAACUCUGGCAUUUCACCAGAACCUCUCUUUUACUGCCAGAACCAACCAUUUUAGGCCAAAGCAUGAUGAGAAUGAAUUGGUUGUGAAAGUUUUUAAUGCUAACAGUCUUUUUAGGUGAGUAAUUCGUUGGAGGUUACAUAAUGUUUUUCACAGUGUAAAUAUCUAUUUGUGUCGCUAGCUGGCUUGAGUUAUUUAUUUGGACUGGCUGAUAGAGGAUGUGGAUCGUAGUGGAGUUCCUGUGAGCUUGCCCAUGUCUUCUGUGACUCUGUUAUUAAAUUGGGCGUUUUGACGUUUGGCCAAAUGUAGAUCGAGUUGCUUUUGGAACUGGCCUCGGGGAACUGCAGCUUUGGCACCUCUAUGUUGGCUUCGUUUCUCAGCUGUUGAAGUUGCUGAUUAGUUAGAUCCAAUCUCAAAAUCCAUCAGUUUUUGUCUCACAACCAUAUUGCCUAUGGAAGUAGUAGCCAAUUUUUAAGGGUGGAAGCUUCUGGUGUUACCAGAAAUUAGCAGUAAAAGACCUGAGAUGGGAAACAAUGAAAAAACAGACAAUGAGCUGCAUCUAGAUACAUGUAUUUAUUUAUGCAGGGUGGCCAGAGCUAUACCUUCAUUAUAUAACCCCUUAUGGGUUCUAGGAUUGUACUAUAACAGAUUUAAUCCACCUAUUUAUUCUCCACUCUUGACUGUUUUCUAGGGUGCAGUUAAAGCUGAUUGAAUGGUGCACUACAGACGAAAAAAAAAUUGCAUUUUUACAGUUAAUGUGAUUUAAAAAUUUAACAUUGCACAUUAGAUAUUCCUGUUUGCAUUAAAAGCAUGCAGCGCCACUGUGAAUCUGUUUGAAAAAAACAAGAUGAACCUCAUUGAAAUUUCAAAUGUAUUCAGAAAAAUCUGAGGUGCAGUACACAUUUCCUACAUUCAUAUGGGAGCAAACAAACAAAAAUACACACCCACUCUCCAACAUAAAGAGGGGGUGUUGUGCUUUUUUCAGACUAUACUUCCUUAUUGCUACCUCUUUGAUAGCCGUUCAUGAUUUUCAGUUAUAAAAAAGCCUUGCAUUUCUCACUUCAGUGUAUUAAAUUUCAUUAUUUCAGCCUCCACCUGAAAUGCUUCGUUUUAGCUGCUGUCUCUCUAAGGCCUCUUCAGUUGUAUUUCUCUGCCUGGAUGAUGAACCUUUGUUGAAAUACUGUCACCUGAGACCUGUUAAAAAAAAAGAAAAACACAUUUGGUCUUAAAAGGCCUUUUAAGGAUUAAGACUCAGUGAAACACAUGUCUACCCUUGGCCUUACUCCUUAUUAUCAGUGACUCUACAUUAAGUUAAAUAUCUCAAAUGGUUUCGUCAGCUGUAAUCUUUGCACUAUUAACACUGCUAUGAUGUUUCUGCAUUGAAAAUGUCUGAAAUAUUUGGUGUAAGAGCCACUGAGAGUAUGUCACACCAUGAACCGGCCUUGUGGGAGGUCUCAGGCGUUAUUUACUACCCAGCAGUGGCACUGUACAGAGCUGCUGUUAUUGUGUUAUUCAUGCUGUUUUCUUCACACACAGCGUCUGUUUAAUGUUGGCGCUGUUAACACCCACAUUUGUUUGCACAUUUUCAUUGCACAAUUAACAUUUUAGAAGACUGCACAGAUGGAGAUAUAUGAAAACAGUGAGUUAAGUUCAACCCAAACAUCACUCAUUCCUCUUCAUGUCAUCACUUGUGGGUUCACAGGUGAGGGUUGCAUUAAUGAUUAACAACUUUCUCUCCGCACGUCCCGGUGUUAUUGUCUCAUCAGCCUUUGAAUCUCUCUUGACAACAUGUUGGAUAAACUGUGGGAGGGUUAACGGGAUCAGAUGCUACUUUUGUCCUUUGAGGCCCUCCUCUAAUCUCCCCCCCACCUUUCCAAACAAAAGCUUGCAUCAGUCCUGCUUGCAACACACAUUCUUCCGAGACAAAAAUCAAACAUGCAGUUUAGCAUUUUAAGCACAGAAAUGCUGUUUAGAAUGUGAAAGUGGAGCGUUGGCUGCAUUUGCACCCUGCUCAGCACAUUUCUGCGAGGGCUUUAUCUUUUUCUUAAUCUUUUCAUGCUGGAAACUCACAAACAGAAAUCUCAUCACUCAAAAUACUGGCUGUCAUCUCUUGCAUUCAUAUUAUUUCUGUCCUCACUGCCUAGUUCUCUCCAGGAUAAAGUGGCACUCUCAGGUUAAUUUAUCCAGAAAUGCUAUUUCAUCAUUAUUAAUAAGGAACAAAAAUACAAUAGUCGAAACAGAAACAAGACCUGUCCUGUCCUGCACUUCUGUAUGUAGCCUUUUAUUAUAAACUAUCAACACUUUCAUAUAUAAUUGUACACAUUUGAUCAAGUGUACAGUUAAACUCACCAUAGAAAUAUAAGGAGUUGGAAACGUAUAAAAUUUGGCUCCUACAGUCACAACUGCAUGGUGUGUGCAGUUUUUCUAAGUUUUAACACAAUGGCCUGACUUUCACACUGUUCUAAUGCAGUCAAGUACAUCCAAGUUGGCAGCAUCUCUCUGUUUUUAUUGAUGCAAAUUAACUGAGUAUAAAAAUACUUAUUGUUUGUGAUUUUGAAGGAACCUGACACAACAAUUUCAUGUAAAACAAAAACAGCAGCUCGGUAUGGAAACAGUAAUUGAUGACUAAUGUGCACUCAUUAAUUUUAAUUUAACGAGUGUCACAUGUUAAAGUAAUACUCAGUGAUUUAUUUGCUGAAAGACUUUUUGCAUUUCCUGCCAACUGUGAAGUCAGUUACUGCACAAAGUUGGGAUGUAGUUUGAAUUGCAUAACACCCUACAUAGUUUGCUCAGGCUGAACUAAAUGAGACAGUCUGGUUGAUGCUAAGUUUUCAGGUCAUGUCACUAACUGUUCCUGCCUUUACAUUUGUGGGUCAUAGUGCCAACCUGUUGUUUAGCAAUGAGCAGCAAGCUAAUAUAGCUGGCAUGAUGUUACCUAAGCAUGUUAACACUCGAACUACAAAUUUGAACUUCAAAAUUUACAAUGUUUUAACAUUUUUAGAAUAAAACCUAUACACCAGUCGCACCCUGACAUUUCCCUUUUCAUUCUAACAUUGUUUUAUCAAUAAAAUUUCAAAACACAAAAGAGAUCGGAGUAUUACUACCUCGAACUAUCAGAGCAGUCAAAUUGACUGCAUGCAUUUUACAAAGGGUGUUAUAUUUCACUAUUAGCUACAUUUUCCUGCUCUUUCUCCUGCUCUAUUGUUUGUUUGCUAUAACUUUACUUCAAACUCAAGAGACUCAAAAACAUCAACUAGAAGAACAAUGACAAGUAUGGAGGCUUCAGCCUUGCUUCAGAGCCUUGAUGAGGAAGAAUCCGAUGGAAAAGCAAGUUCAGGAAAUCGUGUGUCCUGGUAUUUUGAAUGAGCUUCUAAAAAUCUGUCAUUAUAAUUUUCAUUUUGUGAACUGGUAUGUUUAUUUUUUAUCUCUUCCACCAAUUUAUUAUCAUUUUUUAUUGUUGAGUAUCCAAACUAUGUGCAAAUAAAAACUGAGCAGUCAAAAUGACUGCUUACGGUCAUUCUGGUAGUUGCAGAAUUUUGGUAGACGGAGUACAAUCAUUUCAAGCAUACAGGUGUCUCUUCAUUGGUCCACUGAGUCAAAAUUACACUCUUAAAUUCAGCUGUGUCUUAUUGGGCUGACUUUAUUUUUGUUUCAAUCCACUUGUAAAGAAUUGUGGGAUGAGGAUGCAUGGCUUCAGAUAUCUGUGAUAUUUUGGUUUUGAGGAAGCCUCUGAGAUUAGAGAACCUUUGUGACAAAGCUCUGCAAAUUUACCUUUGAGGGAUUCAGCCCCGCAGUUAGGAAACAGCUUGACAACAGGAAGUUGAUAGUGUUUUCAAAGUAAUUGUUCCACUGCACAAAACUUGAAAAAAUUAUGCAUCACAUAGUGAAACUACAAACAGGAGUUAACUUGUUUGGUGCGUUUAAUGUAGCAGGUGGCUUUUAGAAGCAUUAAAACGGAUGUUUAUUUUAGCUUUUAGGCUCUCCGUCUGGCAGUUUUCUCUCUUUGAUUUACAUGAUUCAGUCAGCCCAGGAUGCACAGUGACACCCAUUCUAUACCAAUACUGUCCUCUUAGUCCAGAAAUGUUUUCACACACUAUUUCAACCUUGGAAAAAUGUAAAAUUGAGUUUUUUGAGCGUUGGUUUUAAGUUUGAAUAUGUAAAUCAGUUCUAGAGGACAAACAUCAGAUCUGUGACUACCUCUAUAUUCAUACAUGAUUCAGUCUGGGGCUGAUGUGCUGUAUAUUCAUGAGAGUGCAUCUUUAGAAUAAGUUAAAUUCACUGUGGCACCAGGGCACUUUGGUUUUAACAAGUGCAGGAGUUGUUAAAGUCAGGAUAGUUUCCACUCGCACGUAGAUUUCACAUAUCAUGAUAUAUCCCUGAUGUGGGGAAAACCAGGUUGGAAUAAAUUACUGAGUGGAACAAAAACGAUCUGGAUCUCCUGCAGCUGCCUCUACCAGAACUUUGACCUGACCACCAUUUUUAAGCUGCCUGUGAAAGCAAGACAAAUUUCAAGAGAUUUACAAAAAUUAUAAAAGCUCCACCUGGAAAUCUCCAUCUUAUCACAGCCAACACUGUCUCUGUGGCCUGGUGACCCUGAGAGCUGUACUGCUGGGAGUAUUAAGCUCUUGGUGCGCCGCGAGGGCACAGACAGAGAGAUUUUACUCCUCAGAAGUGAGCAGGGGCCAAAGGUAAAGUGAGAUACCCAAACUGAGCAGAGCGGGGCCCUCUCAAGAGUCGAACAGGGACAAGGGAGCCAGCAGGAAGGUGUCUGAUGGUUUGUUUACCGAGCGAAGUCAAACAAGGACAAGUCCUUAUUGGCCCUCUGCCUCAAAAAGACAGAUUGGUGUACUGGUGCUUGGCACACAACUAUGAUAGGAUAGUUAGUUUUCUUUAUCUAAACAAAAUAAAGCAUCAGUAAUGUGUGAAAUGUGGAUUUUUUUUCUUUUGUCUCUCUUUCGUUGUGGGUAUUUAAAACCCAAAGGUAGACAAAAAGGUGAUGCAAAGAGAGGUGUUCUGGCUGGACCUUAAAUGCACCAAUGCACAUUUUGCAUCCUUACAUGCUGGUGGAGCCUUUUAAGCUCCUAUUUGGAGUCAAUUACUCUACAGCUUUUUGAGCAAAGUACUGUAGUAGUUUUGCUUCUUUUGCCGCAGACUGAUUUUUGUCUUUUCAAACAGAUCAGUCUAUUCAGAUUGUAAAAAAAGACAGUUGAGACUGAAAGUGACUGUAACCACCCUUCAAAAACACACAAGGUUUACAGAUUUUACAGACCUGUGGCGUUCCUGCAGGGUUAAAGUAUUCAUUAGUGUUAUUCAUUCUGAUUACAGUUUUACUGUCCCUUAUAAUUUGCUGAUUAAAUGAUAAAACAGGUUCAUGAGUGAUCAUGCACUGUUACUCAAAGACAUACAUGUUUGGUCAGAGAAACUGGCUUCAGGUUCAAGAAUUGCUCAAGGCAUUUAGAAACAGCCUAUAUAGGAAAACCUCCCCCUGAAAGAGGUGGAAGACAUGGGCAGAAUGAAAUUGGGAUGACUCUUAGUCUGACGCAACAAGUGUGCUCAGAUAAUACAGUAAGUAAUUUAAAUCAAACAGAUUUAAAAAUGUAACACUUGUGCUUGAAUAAGUUUUAUUCCAGCUAUGGUCUAAUCUUUUUUAAGCUAAAUAAUUCUGCUCCGCUUCAGUCCGUGAACCCAUCCUCUUUUCGAUAAUAGAACACAUCCUCAGGGAGUGACAGCCAGAUUUCAGUGCAGCCAGUAAACGGGGAUGAAGGACCUCCUGCCAAAACUCUCUUUUCUGUCUUUGUUUACAGUCUGACUGACAUGAUAAAGUGAGGAUGAAUAUGGUGUUGAGAAACUACUGCCAGGAGGGCAGUAGCCCUUUUCAUAUCACUGGUUCAAGGCAUGAUAUUUACACCCUUGUAUUGUCUUGUCUUCAAAAUAAAGGCCACAUAGACGUAAAAGUUGAACCAAAUUGUACCCUGGCACCACACCCUAAGACUGAGUCAAGUCCUGAGACCUUACUAUUCAGGUACAAGUUGAAUCUGAGUCACUAAAGAAGAACCUGAGUUGAGCUAAAUCUUUUUAUGAAGCUUGUACGAAAGAGGAUUAGGGCUACAAGCAGAGAAACAAAUAAUUACAGAAGGGAGAUUUUUUUUUAAUUACCAUUUCGAGAUUAAAGUCAAAUUUUUAAAAAGUCGAAAUGAAAUGCCGUAUGGUUUAAGUUUGUCGUAGCCAUCCAUGUGCCAGAGUGCAUUGGAUCCUCGGCUUUGGUAAUGCCUGCGCCUCAGACGCUGGGCUCGUCUGUGCUCCAUGCCCUCAGGAUCAAUCAACUUUAUUAGUUGUCUUAUAUCUUAUAUCUUGCGAUACAACAAAACCUCGCUGUAUAGCACGCAGGUGUAACCACAGAUAACCCUGCAUCUCCAUCAUAAUCUUUGGCACAGCCUUUUCAGAGCCCAAAUACUUAGGACAACACUGUGUUUGUGUGCUAAAAGAGCAAGGAUUUCCUUGUUACUGAAUCCAAUUCUUAAGUACAUAUUUACAAACUGUUCUACAGAGGACAUGUUGUCGAGUGAUGAGUGACGAUGCUUUUGAUAUAUUACCAUCAAUCUCAACAUUACGACUUUAUUCAUGAAAUUUCUUCCUUAUUUGCGCCGACUUUAAUCUCGUAAUUUGGACUCUAAUUUUGAAACUUGGAUUUAAUUCCCGAAACUUCAACUUUAUUCAUGUUGACUUUUAAUCUCAAAAUUUUGCUGUCAACUUUAAUCUAAUAAUUUUGAGUUUUUUUAAUCUCAAAAUUAUGACUUUAAUCUCGUUCCUGUAAUUAUUAUUUUUCUCUUUAUGUGGCCCUAAUCCUCUUUCGUAAACUUGACUCUGUGCAACCUUUUGGCUUUAUAAAAAAAUAAGUGCCUCUUAUUUAUUAACAUCAGGUUCUGCUUCUAGCCUGCCAGCGAGUCUGGAGAUUUUAAUUGUUAAUGAAGUUACAUCUCUGUGCAUUGUGAUUAAAUGCAAACUGUGGUGCUCUCAACACUGAUGGGACUUCUUGCUUAUUUUAGCAAUCCAGAUCAUUUGGCUCAGCUCAGCAAUAAGACCUGACUCUCUCUCAGCUCCCAAACGGCUCUUCUUAGUACCUACUAAUUAAGCUUUUAUUAAAUCAGCCAUUUGAAGCAAUGUCUCGACCUUUAUCAGUGUGUCUGCAUGUAUUUUACAGGAGGGAUCAAAUAUAAUAAAACAAAUCAUUCCCAGAAUAACACGACAUGAUGUUCUACCAUGAUUACUAUCAGGCACCUAUCGUCAUAUCUACUGAAUUUAUUUAUUCUGAAUCAUCAAUCACUGAUAACCCCUUUCCCUGCUUAUAAUUGGUCUCAAAGCACAUAUGUUGACACAGCAUUCAGUCAGUGGAGAAAAGAUUGCUCCUUAUUUUUUAUUAAUUACAAAUAACAAUAAGAAAGGAAAAGGAAACCAGCCCCCAAGCCAGAACCAUGUCAUAUUAUUCAUGAACAAGAGCUGACUUUUAGAACCAAGUCGCUCAUAUCUCCAUGCUGAUUGGCUAUCACAGCGCCAACAUCGGCCCUCGAGCUCUCACAGGAGCUUUAAUUAAAGAUAAAUUGUCAUCCAAUGCAUGUCAAUCUAGGACUGCGUUACAGCUGAUACACAGUGCUGCUUCUAAACUCUACACUCUCAGUUUUAUUCCAAGAACCACACAGUUAUUCUCCGAAUGCAAACAGAAACCAGAUUUUCCAUUUUGAUGCAGAAUCUGCAGCUAGAAAUCACUUUUGCCUUGGUAAUCAUUGUUUUUCUCUGUGGAUUACAUUAGAUCUUUUACACUUGCAUGUAAAUGUGAUAAAAUGACCACAGCUUCUCAUCUAUUAAAAGGGCAUAAUACAUUCACACUGCAUUGGUUUUUAUUUGAAUAGGUGAUAAAGAAGAGAUAUGCAGGAGUAGGAUCUAUAAAAAUUGAAUGAGUUUGUAUAGUAAGUGCGUCAUGUUUUAUUUACAGAAUUCCAUCUCUCUUCAUUGGGCUCCACACAAAGACUCAAGCACUAAAAGUGUCCCUUAUUGAGUGCCUAACGCACUCAUAAUCAUCAAAAAUCUGGCUUUCUAUCUUAAAUUCAAAGUAUCAUACAGUUUCUAAGAGCCGCUUAACACGUACAGUAGGGACUGAUUUUACCUCAGAUGAAAGACCACCAUUCUUUCAAGAAUCAUCAAGGUUUGAUGAUGUGCUUUUAAGGAGCCAUCAACUGGAGCCAAAACAUCAUCUGACGUAAAGCCCGUGCAAUAAUGAUCCCGAAUAGAACUCCCUUUGAUUUAAACAGGAACUAAUUGCUGGGAUAUGUGAUGAAGAUGGGAGCUAGCUAGACAGGAACGGAUGUGUUAAAUCACCAUUUGUUGUGCUGCCGUGUGUUGCUGUCAUUAAUCACUGCUUCUUGUCAGAUCAGCUUUUUUUCCUCAUCAUUGGGGGAUGUUUAAAAUGAGAUUCAAAAAGGUUAUGCUCUGUAAUUAGCGAGGUAUUCUUCCAUAUAGGUCUGCUAAUGUUGUUCAUUUAUUAAAAAAAUAAUAAUCGAAAGAACAUGCGUUAUCAUGACACAGCCUGUGCUCAUACAUGUUGAUGAUAAAACCGCUGAUAACCAUGCACUGCAUAAUUUCAGUUCUGUUUACAUUUGUUCCCUUUAGUUAAUGACUGUUUUUACCGCACUCUGCAAAAAAGAGACAAAUUUAGCAGGAGCACAUGUUUAUUUCAAACAGCCUACAGCUAAAUACACAUUAGUGGCAUUACACACUCCACCAUGAUGGGGUAGGUUAAUGGGACAGGGCCUGUGGGAAUAGCACACACUCAGUAGAUGCCCAUAUCCACUGCAGCACACACAGACAAGUGAGCUCAAAUGAUUCCUCCUUAAAUCUACAGGGUGUUUUGGCAAUGCUUUAGUUGUCAGCGGUGUCAUUAGAGCUGAAAUACAGAAGGAUAACAACAGCAUGUCUCUUACUAUCCUCCUGAGGACUUCCUUGUGCCUGCAGUGGUGGAGGGAAGUGAGAUCACGUUAUAAUCAAAGACAAAGACAGUUUUCCCCAGUCUAUUCAAGCAGUCCUUUUUCUCUUUUAAAACCCCGAGCUGUACUGACAGACAGAAAUCACAAGUGAGACUAAUAACUCCUCUCUGGGUGUGAAUCUUGUUUGAAAUAGUGACAGGUUGGUUGGUCUAGAUAAUUAGACAUUAUGGCCAAUUAUCAGCGGGUGCUGCAGGAUCCAAGGCACAUCACUGAGUGUGCUUUCUAAAACUCAGACCUGCAGGCUUAUUACUUCUUUAAACGCCUUAAAAAGGGCUUGUAGCAGGAUACAGGUAGACUGCAGCCCAUGAAAUGAGACAGAAUAAACAGAGUGAAAAAAAAAAGAAAAGCAAAGCCUCAUAAAUCCUCUGUUGUUUUUUGGCAGCUCUUUUCUUUGAUAGACCUGUGAAUUGGGCAGAACAAAGGUGUCUGAAGGAACUGUUUGUAAUUUAAUUCCUUUCGGGUUGUUAGAUGAGUACCAAAAUUGUGAUUGGUGUUUUGCUCAACAGGGCUGGAGUGAAGUAGGGAGACACCAACAAAAUCCCAAAAGCACAUAUUGAAUAUAAGGUUUAAUAACUGAUAUUACUACAAUAAAUCUGUUUAAAUGAGGUAAAAAGGUAUAUUUCUAUAUUUGCAUUUUCUGAGAAGUGUUGUUUUCGUUCAUACUUGAAUCCUUGCUGGGUCUAAUCCAGGUGUUGGAAAAAGAAGCAGAAAAGCUACAGAAAGUAUCAGUGCCACUUCAUGUGACACUUCAAAGUGUCUUCUCUCCGUCUAUGUUGGAUUGCUGUUUAAUUUUGAUGUUUUGUUGAUCAGGUCCAAGCUCUCUAACCUUCAGCUUCUCCUGCAAAGAUUCCCCUUCAACAGCAUUAUUUUUAGCAACAUAUUUGAGUGUCUUCCUGCAUGUUGUUAAUUGCUCUCUCCUUUACAAGCCUCGGAGUUUUUACUCAUGUUCAUAGACUCACGCCUUUUUAUGGAAGAGGAUCAACGAGUGAAUGGAGGCCUGAUGACUGUGCCCUGAUCAGUAACUUUGGACGUGUAAAGCAUUUUUAAUCCGUUUUAAUAUAGCUAAUCAAGUUUAAUCUAAAUAUAAAAUAUUAAAUUGCAUUGUUUUUAAUCAUCUCACUUUCAUUUUUUCAGCCAUUCUGGUUUAGCUAGCUGUUAAUUGACAUUUGUAGCCAAAAGGACUCCCUUUUUUUGUUGUGUUGUGCUUACAGUUCAAUUUGCAACUGGCAGUCCAAAAAAUAUGUUCUGAUCGAAAAUAGAUAUGUUCACAAAAUCAAUUCCAAAAUUUCAGGUUUAUGACAUCUCAGGGGUUUGCACCUUUACAGCUGUCUCUGUUAAGUCUCAGUGUUCUUGUUUAAGUGAACAGUAACAGUAAAGAGGCCUCCGUUUAGCUCGCUUGGACAGCUUGGACCUAGAAAAGAAACAGAAUUUUUUGUACUUUACCUGCAAUUAUAUGGUUCAAAUUUGCCAAAGUAGCAAGAUCUUAAAGGGAUAUUCCAGUGUAAAAUUAAUUUAGGGUCAAACACACCAUAAUACAGAGUUAGAGACGCCCUUGAAAGAUUAAUGUUGCAGACUGCUUGCUCCUCUAGCUAUACAGACUUUAGUAAUGACCGGACACAGCGGUCUCAGGAGCCACACACAAACCUCAACCAAAACGCCACUCUAUAGCCACAAAUAAUGCUCAGAACAGCACCUAACUUCAUCAACAGUACAUAUAGGGUCCCAGCCACAGCACUAGCACUAAACAUCUUUUUAUCUUUGCCUGAUUUCUUUAGCAAAGAGACUAAACACAACUCACCUCCUCUCUUCUAGCAGCUGCUUGUUUGUAGCGAGACCUCAGGCCAGUCCAUUACAGACUAUAGUGGGGUGACGCAGCUCAAAGAAGAACAUUUAUGAUCAUUACUUUAUCAUUUCCUUUAAGUAAUAAUCAUCAUAUUAAUCAUUUUGCACUGCAGACACGGUGGUUCUUCUGCCUUAGUGUCUCGGUCUGAUUGCAUUUCCGGUGUGAAGCUCAGAAAAGGAAAAACAACAGCACUGCUUUUAGGAAGUACUUUGUCAAAGUUUGAUUUCUCAAAUCAUAGAAACAUAGUAAGUAACUAAAAAAGGUGGAGUGAAGUUAUCAUAAGUGAACUAAUGAUUCAAUAUGCUUUUCAAUUUAACUCAUUAACCUCAUAUAUUGGUGUCUAAUUAAUCAUUAGAGAACCAAAGAAACAACACAUUGACUUUUUUCUUUAGUUAAAUCCCACUGGCUGGAGCCAGAAAAGCAACUGAAUUCACAUGAAUGGAAAUAUGUAUGGGCAGAUUUAUAAAACACCUCAUUCCCCCACCAAAAUGCCUCCCUUCAUCAAACAAUCAUCAGAUGUGCUUGUUCCAACCAUCCAAUUUCUCUUUGAAUUCACACAUCUCAUCCAAUUUCCCAUCAAAAGCAAUACUCCCUGCCAUUUUUCUCAGUCCAUAUUUAGGGAUUGUGCAUAAAAUCCAUCUUCAUAGUACAAAAUGCCAAGAGACUGCACACUCACCCAAGGUAUUCCUUAUCAUGGCUUUCAGGAAAAAAUAGGCAGUAAUCCCAGAGACAAAAAAGACUCUCUGUCAUCUACAGCUCAGCUAGUCACUGAAAGGAUAUUUAAGCCUCACACAGAGCAGAAAAGUAUAGAAGAUCACUACCUUCCAACAGUAGACCCAGAAUAAGUCCCUGCGGUCGUUAUUCAUCCGGCUUUCAGCACAUAGAGGUCUACAGUGAGAAAGGGCAAGAUGGACUCAGAGGAAGAGAUGUCAUUGGGGGGCAAUUUAAUUCAGACUCUGAAUAUGCUAAAAUCACUCAGCCUGUUAAGAGGAAAGUUCUGUAUUUCUUACCAUUUCCUACUCUUUCUGCUGCCUUGUCCUCUAAAUAACAGCAUGAAAAAGCCAGAAAAUGAAAGAUUUUAAACAAUAUUUGAAUUAAAGAAUGUAGCAUUUACACAGACUCAUAGAAAAAGACUCAUAAAGGUGCUUAUUUUCCUGUGGUACAGAUCGCAGUGGAAUAAAAAUGGAGGAUGUUACUAAAAUCAAUGCACUGAUUAUUGGUUCGCUGCUAGCUGGUGUUAACAUAAGCCUCUAAAGUGGUUCAGCAUUUGGGUUUAAGAUGUUUGGUCAAAAUACUGAUUAUUAGUCGUGGGUUUCAAAUAUUUUUGAGUUAACUGGACAUCUGCAGAGUGGGUGAGUGCCUCUCCCAAAAACUAGAGUCAAUGCUGGACUUAACAGGGUUUUAACUUAAUUGAUUAUUCGAGGCUGUUUUCACACCUGUGGCACUUUACUUUGCUGUUAUUCAGAUGGAAAAAUCAUUCAUCAUCUUGCUUUUCCCUCGGGUUGUUUUUGUGUUCACACUGCAAAACUGUAAAGUGGACGAAAUCCUGUCAAUACGCCGCAGCAUCGUUAAGUUUCUUUUAGAGGGGGUUGUAUGAGGUAUUUGUUGGUAAGUGUAUAAGCCACAGCGGAACCUGAAGUGAAAGUGGUUCAGAAGCUAAGCCAUAUGUCACUGAAACACUCCCAUUAAAAAAAACAGAAACAACAGAAAAAGACUGAACUAUCCCUUUAAAUUGUUAGAGUUAAAGUCUUCUGUUUUGAAGAUCGUCUCGGAAGGUUGUAAUUGAACAACAUUGUCCUAAAAUGUUGCCAGAGCGUAGCCUGUGGUUUUAUUGUCUCAGCUCUAAUGCUUUUUAUAAAGAGGCAUUUUUUCUGUUAAAGCCUCACUGUUGGAGAAAUUCUGCCUUUCGGCUGCUCCAUCAUUAAACGCUGGACUAAGAAGUUUCUCCCUUUCUUGAGAAUGUGAUAAUUAUGUCUGUGUAUGUUUGCACAGUCUCAAUAUCUGCUCACUCAGAGGAGGCUGCAGCAGAAAUUCAUACUCAGUGCAUUCAGGCUCACUUGCUGUGUUUCUUGUUACUAAUCUAUACAUACACACUGAUACUAGCUUCUUAUAGACCUGCUUGUGUAACUUGUUCUGCAGUGCACGAACAGAGCAGGUGCAGCUCUGCAUUCAAUCUGACAAAACCUCAUGAGGUGAUAAUCAUAUAGAAUCAGCCAUUUUUAAUCCUUCCUUGUCUUUAUUUUCCUUCUUAUUUCACUCUUAAUUUACUCACAAAAUAACAUAUAAUUACAGUUUUUAAUGCAGUUAGUUGCUUGAUGCUUUGACAGAGAUUUGUUUGUACUGCGGUUUAAAGACUGAUUUAUUAACCCCACACUGAGAAGCUGGUCACAGUGGCAGUCUGAUCUGUUAACAUACAUGACAAAAUGAAAAUCAAAGCAUCAUUAAGCCAUCACGCUGUCAACAUGCUUCAUAUCAGAAAUAACCAAGUGCACAGCUGGUUGUUAAAAUGCAGGGAAAAUAAGGUUUAAUGUACCAAAUAGUAAUAAUUGUACUUAACAAAUCCAGAGUGUUUGGUGGAAGCACACAAAAUAAGAGCAAAACUUAAACUUUUCAGACACAUUUCCUGCCAAGAAGUUUAGAAGUUAUGUGUGUACCAAAGAAAAUGUUUGGCCCUGGGGUGUGAGACAUAUCUUGUUUAUUCAAAAGCCAAAAAAAUAAAUAAAACUUAAAAAUUAAACAUCAGUUCCCCAGUUGAGUGCUGGUAAUCUUUUUCUUGCGAUUGAUGUGAGUGAAUUAAAAACAAUUUAUUGAAGCUGUAUUAGUUGGGGGUAAUUUUCUUCUUUUUUAACUACAAAUUAUACUGACUGAAAAAAAUGUCCCUUUUCCUAGACUGAAAAACCCUAAAUUUUACUGAAUAAAAGCAAAACUAAAGCUGCUGUCAGUUUGAAAUCUUUGUCUGAAAAGCACUGAAAAGAUUGCUUGAAUUAAUUAACAGUGUUUUGUUAACCUGCAGGGACUGAAUAUAGUUGUGUCUAUGACAUUUUGUUGAAAAUUGUGUCAUUAUAAUGCUGAGGUUAACUUUAUUCUGUCUCUGGAUUGCAAGUAAACAGAGCAUGAACUGCUGGCAGAUGCAAAUGCAUUAAACAGGGUCAAAAUAAACGACUUUAAAAAGGGAGGACUUUGUAAUAUCAGAAUUUAUGGUAUAUUAUCAUUAGUUAUUCAUAGAUAAAAGAAACAGUUAGAAAAUCUGUUAAAUGCAACACACAUACAAACACGCACAAACUAUAUAUAAGUGCCUCAGUAUGUUUUCAUAAGCCACACAGACAUUUAUUGUUCCCUCAUUUGAUCAUGAUCACACAUUAAUGUAUUCUGAGGUCACUGAAGUGAGACAGCUAAUCUGUUUUUACAGAUGCUGGUAUGACAAGCUGUUGAAAAAAAGAGUUGUCUUGCCGGAACUGAGAUUUCUGUCAUCGCUCAAGUGCGCCCUGUCUGCAGCUAAAUGUCACCACUCACAUCUUCAACACCAUAAACAUUGAUGAGACUACGCUCAAAAUCAUUUCACAGUUUGCAGUUUCCAUCAAACCCCUCUCUGCAAUUUGCCCUCAGUCAUGUACAUCUCCAUCCAGAUAAUGUGUUAAUCUUCUCUCCAGUGAAGACAGGGACUCUGGAGAUCAGUUGUCUAUUUCAUGGGUAGUUUCCCACGGAAAGUGAGAGGGAAGCACAAUAAAUUAAUUAAUCUAAAUACUUCGAGCUAUAUCAUAAGACCCUAUUAGUGCGAUAAAACACAUUAUCAUUCCAAAGGUAGUUCAACAGUAUGACAUGCAUAUAAAAUGUAUAAAACAUAGAUGCAGUUUCUUUUUAUCUCACAUGUCCCAAUAAAAAAAGCAUUAAGGCAAGAAAGCAGUGUUUAAAGUAGAUUUUAAUGGCUGCUAAAAGACUCUGGUUAUGACUGAAUAUGAACAGGAACAUAAGUGAACUACUCACAGUUGUCCUUGUGAAGCAUAUCUUAACCAUAGACUGUUGUAGAGUCACCCAUUGGUGUUCGCAGUGGAGCACAAAAAUAUUGGUUGCUAUUUUGGAAAUUCUGAUUUUAUUUAGAAAUAGACACAGAGAUGGAGUUCAAGCAAUAGCUGCUUCUCAGUAUUGUUCACUGAUUCAUUUUUCUCUUGUAUGUAAAGGUUACAAUCUUUUAAAAGUUGAGUCUAAAACUUUUGGUUUUACAGAUAAUAUCACUUACAGAAAGCGUGUGUAAAACGGAAGGGUAGGGAUCCCAGCAGUAUGUCUUGGGGAACGCCAGAAGAAUUGUUGACCAGUCACUGCACCCUGAUCUUUCUUGGCUCUUCCCUGUCUUUUUGCCAGUCACUUACCCUCCACCAGGAAGUUCUCACUGACAUUACCAAAUUAUGACUUGUGAUCAAAGGUGUUUGUUUUUGGGGUGUUUUUUUGUUUUUUUUUGCUAGAAGCCUGUCUGAAUCCUUCACGGCGGAUUAGCCAUUCACCCAAGUUACAUCAUGCCAGAAUCUAGAGAGAAUGUAUCAGUACCUUUGCUGUCCUGUUGUGCUGUGCAGUAUAUAAAAAGGUCAAGCGCUUCAUACAAAAGACCUGUACUAUCACCACCCUGCUUCUGCAGAGAUUAAUGUAAGAGGAUGAUCCAUUUAUAGGUUGAUCUGGAUUUAGAAAAUUGAACAAUCAGCAAAAAGUACAUUUAUCACUUGAUUUGAUUUGACAAAACAUUUUUUUCCCCUGAGCGAUGCCAAAAAUACCUCAUGUGAAGCUUUGGGAGUCAACAUGAGAGAGGAUGUAAUAUGGGUUCAGAAAACAUGAAAAAGAGAGUAGGUCAGUUUGUAAGCAGCAGGGACUUUGUGUCAGGCUUGUGUAUUGUCAGCUUUGGGAAUUGAGUUUGGGAAGUGGAGCAAAAAAAGACAAUAAUGACAAAAAGCAAUGAGAAAUACUGUGCAACCUCCUGUAAUUUCAACAAACUGAUGCUCCAGCUUCUGUCUACACUCACAGAAAUGCACCACACAGCAAACCAUAGCUGGUUUUAUUGAAUUAUUUGCCUGUAAUGUAGUCUGUUUACCUAAAGAUGGUUUAUUUCUCUUUCUACCGCUCCAUUUAUUCCUACUAACAGUUAUAUUGCAGAGCAAAGUGACAUUAUAGCAUCACCCCACAGAGUCCUCAUAUCGUUUUUGCUAUUUGUUUGUCUCCCUUGGGAUGCUUUUUGUGGGAUCAUAUUGUCGAGUUGCUGCGUUUAUCCCAGGGUGCUUUAGUUUCAGAGUGACAGCUCAAUGUCAUGUUCCUGAAUUCACAUAAAAGUGAAAUUGUAAACAGUGGCUUUGGAGGUUCACAGAAGCCCCCAGCUCGAUAUGUGUUUUACAGAGCGGCGUCCUUGUUUCUCUCUGUGAGUUUGUAUCAAACGUGGAGCAAAGACACACUACAAGUAUCUGGAACAAAUCCUGCAGUACAUACAAAAGGCUGACUUUUUCAGUCAUUUAAAGAGCUCACCUAUAUCCUUUGGCAUUCUUCAAAAAAAACUGAACUCAAUCUGGUGCCUUACUAUGGUACACAAGAAGGUCUGUAUCAGAGGUAAUUUUAGUAUCAGAUCUGCUUAUGCACUAAGGACAAACCCCCAGCCCUCAGUAGAUACCAGAGGUGGCGUAUUAUGUUACAAGGACCCCAAGUGAAGAAACUCAAAGGACAUCAAGUCUAUGUGAAAACAGCAAGCUGGUCACAUCAUGAAUGAGAGGGGGUCAAGGUAAUUGAUCCCGGGAUGGUGGACAUCCGGAAGAAAGAUCAAGGUGGUCAUUCAUUUCCAAAAGCAGCUACAAGAAAGGGGUCAUGACCUCUACCCCCAUCGCCAGCCACAUCUUAUCACAUGACAGAGGUCUCAUAUAUGUUACCAAGGUCAAGCAUGACCUCUGUAGGUUUUAGAUGGCAGUUUAGUUUCCUUUGAAUCAGCUCAACAGUCACUAAAAUGCUUUUUUAAUGUGGUUCCCAUGAGGUUGUAGAAAUAAUUUAACUUUUAAAAAAUAAUAAUCUUCAAUCUUGCAAUCUUGAAUGACAACAACAGUACGCAGCAGUAAUGAAGGAAAAGCACCCUCUGUAGACACUGACAGUGGGUUUAGGUUGCUCCUGCUGCACUGCUGAAGCUUAAAAUAUGCAGACGGUGUAGACAAGAUUUUAAAGACUUCUCCCAGAAGUGGAAGAACGUCACACUUCGUCUGAGCUUCUUUUGCUCCUGAAUGUAAAUAUAGGGGAUUUGGCCUGUUAAACAAACAGACGAUGUUUUUCUAAAGAAGAUGGAAAAGUGAUGUAUAAUGAGUCUAUAGAUGCUGGUACCUCACAGCCUUUCAAUUACCAUUUGAUGGAAACUCUUAAAAAUCCCCUCUGAUCAUAUUUUUUAAGCUGUUUACAACAUGGCAAGUUUUUCAAUUCAGUUACAAAAAAAGAUCACAAUAUUUGGCUUCCAUGGAGGAUCCACACCCUCUAAUUUUCUCAUUUUCUAACCUCAUAAUCCAUGCAGUGAUUUAGAUCAGUGAAAAUGCUAUGAUAACAACGCACUUCACUGAUUGGCUGCUUGAACUCUUGGAGAGGGGGAGGAUGAAGGCUAGAGGUAAAGGAGACCACAACAGACAAAGAGAAUAGUCCAGAAGAACCCACAACAGUACCAAGCCAAAUGUCUCUUAAAGGUGGGGUAGGCAGGAUUCCGUUAAAGAAGCAUCUUUUUUUGUGGCGUAUAUGCAAAAAAUCUUUUAAUAUCAGUCAAUAGCUAUAAGUUAUUGAUGACAUUUGGCAAUAUAAUGAUAUCGCUGUGUUCUGUUAUGCCUGUGUAAUCAACAUUUAAAAAAUUUCUGAGCAGGCCGCUCAUCUUGACUGUAAACAAUCGUUCUCCACCUCCCUGACCUGAUUGGUUGUGAGGCGAACACUGCUCCUUAGUGCUGAUUGGUUGUGAGGCAGACGCUGCUCGUGCACGAGCCCAAACGCAGGUAGCGUGCUACAAUAUCAGACAGUAGAAACCAACCAGAAAGUACGGAAAAUUGUCUGAAUCCUCUUUUGGCCAUGACUUGCGACACAAGCAAGAAAAUGAAGUAAAUACUGGAGACUCUGGCGGAAUAACAGGCACUUAAAACGGAGGUAGACCGGACAAGAGCAAAAAAGCCAAGUCAACAUCAGUAAUUCAUAGAUUCCUGGAUUAUUCUAUGUCACUUUAACUUAGUUGUAGAAGUCCUGCAAACAUUGUGUUUGCUGGUAGUCCGUUGGCAUCAACAGUGGCACCAAUGCCUUUUAGUGUCACAUUGACUGGGCCUCAUUUGUAAUUAUCUGAAAUAUUUAUCUGCAUCAUAUCUGAAUUUAAUUGGAACGAUACAAGCGAGUACUUGCGUCUGUUUGUGGGCGGGGCUUGCUGGAGCAGAAAGGGAGGGGAGGAGCUGAGGGGAAAACUGGUUGGGAGGGGUAGUGUUUACAUUCAAGAUUUCUCCCAAAAACUGGCACUUCCUCAGAUCCUGCCUACCCCACCUUUAAAUGUGGAAACACAAAAGUGGCAACACUUACUGAUGGCAUGUCUGCUGUGUUUGGGGGUCACGAAAUGUUGCCAAAGAUCCUUUAAAAGGGCCAGUGUGGGUUCAAACCCAGCUUUGUGCUAACCCCCUGUUGAUAACAUAGUCUGUGGUGAAGUAGUUGGUACAAACAAAUGGAUUUGCUCCAACUGUGUUGCCAAAAUAAAAAGUAAACAUUGUUGUCUUUGGUCUCUCCAUGCUGGGACAGAAUAUUGAUAUUUAUGUUGGUUUGAUCCUGCAACACAGAGCCAAAAACAAAGUGAGAAGUAGAAUUACAUGAGGAAAGAGAGAGAGGUUUUGGUUUUGCACAUAUAGCUUUGCAAAUCACUCCUGUUGUUACAUCAAAACAGGAGCCCACUCUGAUCUCCUUGUAGAGUCUGUAGAUUUCCAGUAAGAGGACUACAGAGACAAUUACUAGACUGGAUAUGGGGAGAUAUGUUUUCCAUUUAGCAUCUUAAAUUGAUCUUGAGAUUCACACUCAAGGAGCUCUUACUUGAGAUUAUGUGUCCAUUUUAAGGUCAGAUUACCAUACAUUUAGAAAGAUUAAUUACAAAAAGAACUUUCUUUUGCAGGGUCAGAGUGUUUUUUCAAUGAUGGGAUUUUUGUUAUCCUUUUUUUCCAACACAUUUUAUUGCUGUCCAAGCUGUCUUUCUCCGCACUACUCCCGGUCUUGAACUCUCAUCAGUUCCUUCCUCACUCGCUGUACCUCCAUAAGUUUAGUUUCAGCUGUGUACAAAAGCCAGUGAAAGUAACGCAAGAGGGUAAAUAAGGUAGCUGUUGCUUCAGGGUUUUAAUAUAAGCUGAGUAAAUAGAUCAGUGAUGAAAAAAGCUUUCACAGCUGGUGUUGAAGUGUGGAGUGAUCUUAAACAAGGCAAAGUUAUUUUUAUUCCAGCGAGUUCAGCAGAUUCCUUCCUUUUCCAUUAUGAAAAGGUCAUCGAUAAUUAAUCAUUGAUUGUUCCACACAAAACUCUUGAAUUUCUUUGCUCCUUUUUCUACCACAUAAUUUGCAUAAAACUUAGAACAACAGAAAAGUGGCCAGAAGUCAUUUAAGUUGCAUAGACAUUGUGCUAAAACGUGUGGGGUGGUGGCAGUCUUGACAGGAGUACUUGAUCCAUUAUGGAUAAUUCACUGAGGUAUACUUUGAUAGAGAGCAUAAUUAUGUGCACUCAUAAUUAUAGUUUGUGCAACAAUACAUUUAAAUGAUUGCUGACUACCUUGUGUUUUCAGUUUCUGUUUUCAAAUUCAAUAAAAGGUCCAGCUUUCAAGUUUUUGUAACAGGGUAGUCCUGUGUUCUUUGAGCAGUACUGGCUGGCUCAUAUGCUAUCCUUGAAAGUGAACAUAAAAGAAGCAACACAAUAAUCCCUUGUAUUAUAAUCACAAUGGGCAUUCAAACAGAAAGCAGGUUCAAAUGUCAAAGGGAUGAUCUGCUAAACCCAUAAAUGGAGACUAGAAUGGAGAUCAGACUCUCCGGGCUGCUCUGUUAUAAAUCUACUGAUCAUCAGACCCAUGUGAUCUCAUGGGAUGGAAGAUAAAUCACGUCACUCCAAAGGACAUUUCACUCAGCGUCCAUGCACUUCAUGCUUUUACUGUGUCAUUUAACACCCUUUUAUUUUAUGAGUUUGGAUUUACAGGAAAGGACAGGCUCUGGUGACCUCUAGUCAGGUGACCUUGGCUGUCAUAGUCAGGUAAAAUUCAUCAUCAUGGCAACAAUAGUAUCCUCCAGGCCUGCCAGAGAGAUCAGGUAUUAUUUAAGGCUGAGUCUUUAAUGGCCCAGGUUUGAUACUAAUCCAGUCCUGUGUUGCACAACAUCACUCCUCUCUCAUACCUGACUUUGCUGUCUCUUUUAAGCCAUCCCAUCUAUAACAUUAGCAAAACUGUCCUCAGAUAUAAUCCUGAUAUCAGUAUUGUAGGUUAUUAUUGGCUUUGAAGGAUGACUGGAGUCUGCGAGGUUUAAGCAACAGCAACUACUUGAUUGGCUGUGUAGAAAGAUCGUGGUUUAAGGGGUUUACGUUUCAUCAGUAAAAUUACAUCCUGGAUCUGGUUUUCGCACAGCAAACAACACCGGGUGAAAUCCUCUGUAGAUUUACCUACACAGGAUCAGACCAGGGUGCAGCAUAUUGCUUAAUAUUAUUUAUGCUUUAUUUAUGUACCUUAUGUUAAAAUUAAGGCUAAGAUUGUAUUUUGAUUUAGAAAUCUGUGCCAAUGAGACUCUAAAGGAUUGGCAAGGGGUGGCAUGGCCCUUGAAAUCUGGUUAGCCACCCCAACUGCAACUCCAUAAUGCUAGAUUAUAACUGGCUAAAUCACUGACUAAGUAGCGUGUGUUGCAACUUGAUGGUGGGGAUUUUGUUAGCAUUGAAAUCAAGCACGUUUCCUAGUAGGUAUUUUGAACAUCUAUUUCAUUUGACGGGUGCAUAUGAGAGGAAUUGAUCCAUCAUAAGUUGCAAAAAAGGUUCUGCAUAUUGAACUAAAAAUUUGUUGAGGUUUCCGUACUGGUUAAAGAAACUUUUAUUGUUAGUUAACCUUGCUUAAGGAGUUUACUUGCAUGUUUUUAAGUUCUUCAGACUUUUUGAAGUGCUUUAAAUAGUGACUUUCUGAGUGCUUAGAGGAAAAACUCUGACUAUUUAGACUUUGUUGUGUCCACUCUGUAUUACUUUAUAAGGUUAAAAACAUAUAUGCUAUACUGAUAAUUAUCAUAUUAGUAUAGUACAUAAACUCUAGAAGUCAAGACUUGUGUGUAUGCCAUAGACUGUAAGUAAAAUAGACGCUGUCUGCCUCCUUGCUGGAUGAGGCCACUCUGAGAACAGCACCCUCUGGUGACAGGCUGCAGUAUAGAUCAUAAAUCCCGCCUCCUCCAGCAAUCCUUAUGGACAUGUGGACAAACUUUAGAAAUUUAUUACACAGAAUAUAAAUUUUUCUCCCCCCUGGUUACGAUGUUGACAUGUAGUCACUGUAAGACUGGUUUGUGCUCAAGUCCUCUUUUUUCUGUACAGCUCCGUUUUUAAAAGUUAUUAGGGGGUUCAUGUUUUUUAUGAUUGACACUUGAUAUAGCCUAUGGGUGUACGAAGACAGCGUAGCUCACCCGGGGGAUACGCUGUUUGAGCCGAGCGUCAUCACAACGACUCUCCUGGUGAAAUACCGAGAGCUUUUCAGCUUCAAAUCCGUAUUCUGGCAGAAGGCAGAACCGAGUUGUUCAUAGCAUUUAUAGUCUAUGGUGUAUGCAUGGAUGUAAGUAAGUGUGUGCAUGCAUACAUAACAUAACUGCUGUUCAUACAGUGAUGAGGCCAGACAAGGUUGUGACUUUAUCCCAGGAAAAAGAAAAAAAAAACUCCUUUCCUUUUCUCUUUGGCAAGAGAAUAGCUGACACUCUUACAGUAAAAAUGGCCUAAGCAGUGCUUCAGAAACAAGUUAAAUCUGAUGGCGAUUUCAGAACAGUGAGUGUCUGCACACUCUGUGCAAUCAAACAGAAAUAAUAGACAAUGGAUUUUCUUAUUUUCAUCCAAAGUAAUCACAGUGAUAAACAUCUCCUGAGUCAACAAUGCCAAAAGAAAAAAAGGAAAAUAUAUUAGCAGGUCAAUAAAUCGAUAAGCAUCCUUAACCCGCACACAGCAGGUAAACAAUGCAUCAAAAAGCUCUCUGCAGUCACACAGCUAGUCUUAAUAACACCCCGGGGUAAGAACUCUGUGCCCCUGUCAGAAGACCUCUCUCUCUGUUAGGCUGCCUUGCUCUGCACCAGAUGAAUCCCUGAUCCACCUGCUUGUUAAGUUAGACCACAGACCUACUGUAUCUCCAUCAGCUCCCACUGGACUCCAUUUGGCCUUACUGGUCCAGCUCCACCAACAACUUGGCAUACUAAACCUGUUUUUUUUUUUAUCUUUCAUAUUCCAUAUCUUUAAAACUCUCCCAUGUGAACUCCACAAAUAAAACACAGCCCACAAUCUCUGACCACAGGCCUCCCUCAUGAAAUACUACAGAGUAAAUAAAUGUAACUCACAGAGAUAAGUCCAGCUUGCUGACUAAGCGUGUUGCAUGAUAUACUCUUGAGAGAGCAGCUCAGUUGUGCUGGAAGUUGCUGUAGCUCAUGUUUGAGAGGAAAAACUGCAUGUGUUUAUGAAAUUUAACGAAAAUCGAAGGCAGCUUUGAUCUUGCUCAGAUACUGACUGCGGAUGAAAGUCAGAAAUCAAAACUCUGAUUCAUUUACAUUUUACUGAGUGAGUAUCUGCUUUCUCUACCUGUGUUUUAUUUUCAUCACGUCCUUUUCUCCUUUCAACAGAAACUGAUGAAGGAUUAAUGCUCCUUCAUGCUCGCAGUCUGAGAAAACUCCCAAAAUAGACGCAAAGGCACUUUGAGUGAAUUUUUCAAGAUAUAAGACCAAAACACAUCACUUUCUGCCUGUUUGGUGACUUGAAUAACAUACACCGGAUCUUUGUAACUGAGGCCUACCAAUGGGGAGUUUCUUUAAUUUUAUAAGAGCGGCGGGUAAAGUUAGGGAAAAAAAGAGUGGAGGACAUCUAUUGGAAAGUCAAGGCUGGGAGUCUCACCUGCGACUGUUCAUGGGGCAACUGUUCAUGCCCAGCUGACCAUGCAUACCUUGUGCGUUGUAUGUUAACUAGGUAGCAGUGGCCAGAUUUGUGUGUAGCUCUAGUUUGCUUUGUUUUGCCACCGGCUAAUACCCUAACGUCAUUGUUACAUCAGCCUUAAAAUGGUCUAAUGGGUAAAAUUUACUUUGAGCAAGCUUGUGUGUGUAUAAUUUGACCAACGCAAACCCAGAAUAGUAACUCUCAUGCUCCGACUUAGAAGCAAAAGAAAAUAACUGGAUUAGGUAAAGUCACUGUGACAGCAAAGACGAAGCUACUGAAAAGACCCGUGAGUGCUGAACCAAUCAGUGAUGGAAUAUACCAAAAGAAGUUUUAACUCUGGGUCCUUUAACUUUUUAAGAAGUGAACUAACCAAACAAAGAUAAAACAGUAGCCCUGAACCUUGUGUAAAUAAAAGAAUAAUACCAUGUUAAGUGAAUGUGAGUGAGUACCAUAACUAAACUAAUCUCCUGCUCAGUCCACACUCGAAUAAGAGCCUCAUCACAGUGAAAUAAUCCGAAAAACACUAAACAGGUACUUUUUGCUCUGCAGUAGAGUAUCAGGACAAAAUAAUGGAAUAAGAUGUAAAAGAGUUAUACAUUUUCUUAUCAGAAUACAGUCAUAGUAAAACUGUUUUUCUGUGGUGAUAAAGUAAUAGUAGAAUCAUUUUCUUAUGAGAAUAGAGUUGGAGUGAAACAAUUUUUCAUUGAGAUUUAAGUAACUCAAAUUCCUUGAAGAAUAAAAAUCAUUUUCUAACGAGAGUUAAGUUUUGAGAAAACCUCGUCUUUUGAGAAUUAAAUUCACAUGUCACCAAAUGAGGUCAUUAAUUAAGCCAACUAUUAGUAACAUAAUGCUGUUUUGAAGGAGGAUAGGACAAGUCUUUUUGGAGACCUGAUACUGAACAAUGUGGCGCUGAUGAGCCAAAACAUUUACUUCGAUUGAAGCGCCUUUGUUUCUCAUUUUGGCACGGGCAGCUGGCUGCUCAGAGUAAGCCAGAACUACAACUUUAUCACGACUUUGUCAUCAUAACAUAACGACCUACUCCUAAAAAAAAUAAUAAAAUGGCUUCACUGCAGCUUUGUUUUUGUAACAAUAUGAGUUAAUCUCAUAACUUGAUUUUUUUUCUUGUAACAGUGAGUUUACUCCAACUUUAUUCUUGUAAGAGUGAUUUAAGAAGUUAAUCCUUAAUCUUUAAAAGACAUCUCUUUUAUCUUCCAUGUGGCCUUAUACUCUGUCUUAUUGCCCAGACACACAUCACAGUAUACUACCCACAAGCAGACCACAUAUACUUGAGGCACAGAGGGAAUCUGAUCACAACAAGGCUGCUUCUUGAAUUUUGAAAUGGAUAAAUCUUAUAGUUGAGUCAGCAGGUGCUUUCUACUGUUGGUGGACUGAUUCUUUGACAUCAGGCAGCUGCGCAGGUGGAUUGGGAAAUUUAGCUUUCAAACAUGAACACAGAGCACUCCAAAAAGACUACCGAUUAACUGGAAAUUUUUCAAGACGAGAACAGCAAACAUGUCCUCACACCUGUCUCUACUACUGAUAUGAAUGCAAAAACUAUCAUCUUGAUUUGUCUGCCAACAUGUUGUAAAUGUCACACAGUGGCUUUCACAGUUUGUUGAUGUCCCACUUUGCACCCCUUUAAUUCUCAAGGAAGACGUUUGAGCGUGCAAGUGUUGGAAAUAACUGGGGUAGAGCUCCUGAAAUUUCAAACAAUUUAAGGUAUGGGUAUAUGAAAGAGGUUGCGCUGAGUGAAAGGACCUCAGGACCUAUAAACCUGUCUAAAUUAUGCCCUCACUUCUUCAUCCACAUCAGGGCUUUCUGCACAUUCCUCGAAAUUCAGUAGACUGUCUGUUAAUUUACUGCACCAGCAGCAGCACUGUGGUAAUCCUGUCAUCUAUUAUCUCCAUCUACGAAAGACACUCUUCUUUGUGAGGUCUAAUUGCUCAAGUCUUUCUCCACUGCUAACCUCUACAUGCAUCUCCUUUCUUCUGUUAAUUAGAGAGGUGAUGCUGAAGCUAUAACCUCAGAUCAUUUUAUACAUGCUUUAUUAAGCCAAGCACAAUGAACCUGCAGUUUAAUAGUGAUGUAAUGUAGGAGUCAUUAAACUAAUGGUGGUUUCAUUAGAGCUCACUGGUCAAAGAGUGUUUUAUCAAAUAGGAGAGCUGGCAAGAUACCUGGAAAAUAAUCAUGCUGUAUGCCAGUUCAGUUCAAUACAAUUCAGAAGCUUGGCUGGAAGGAGAGUCUUAAGUUACAACCAAGCAUGCCAGAGCACUGCAGUAAAAAAUGCUGACAGGGUUCCCCUGAAAAAAUUAAAAUUAAAAUAAAAAAAAUUCAUACACAUAUACUUUGUCAUCAAAUUUGUUUGUUUUGGAGAGAACAGUUUGAAUGUACAAGAACGAUCUUUAAAAGAAGAGAUUCAAACUUUUAUAAUCACCUGCAUUACACCAUAUGCAUAAUCCCUCUCAUUAUGAUAUUAAUAGGGAUAAAUUGACCUUAAUAUUGAUUGAAGAUAAUUUCUUCAUUUAAAAACAAUCAGUUCCCACGCUCAGUGACGUUCACCAUGGCAUAAGAUUCUCAUUAGUCUCCUACAGCAGAACAGAUCCUCAUUAAACUGAUUAUUUCAGUUCAAUUUGUUGGCUAGCUAACCCGAUGUAAAAUAGACACCAGUCCUUUUACUUUAUGGGCAGGGUUGGCUGGUGUUGGGUAGAAUUUCAGUUUUGAUAUUAUUAUUCUUUCUUUCUUAUCACUCAACAACAAAGCAGGAAAACAUCUUAAAACUCCUUUGAUGCCCACAGACAUGUGGUGACUAUAUGUGUGUCACUCCAGCUUUUCUUUGUUUUACCUCCAUCUUAUACUGUGAUGCAACUCUGACGUCUGCCACAAAAGGAUCAAUUGUGACUCAUCCUGUCUGUGUUCACUCCCUCUUUGGCAUCCUGUUCACUGUAUUUUAUCUGUUACCUGUUCUCUGCUGGUAAAUCAAUCACUGUAAUCACCGGGUUAUAGCACUGUCCACUGUAUGAAGAGGUCUUCACCGAUAUGCUUACAACCUGUCAGAUUUUUUACUAUGUAUCUCAGUCAGAAGAAAGCAGGAGUGUGCCUAGAAGAUAAGGGUUAACCUCACAGAGCCGAGCCGGACCUGAAAGGAGCUCUGUCAAAGAGCCAACCAUGUGGAGAAGAAAGCUGCUCGUAUUUCUAGGUCACAGAGACCAUGUGAGUGUGCCCGCCGCUCCUUCAGCUGGACUGAAUGAUUUAUUACGCAGUCAAGAGUCAAGAAGGGAGGGAGAGAGAGUAGGAAAUAAAAUAUGAAAGGAAAUAAAGAAAAUGAAAGCAGGGAAGAUAAAAAUGAAUUAAAUUUAUUCAUAUAAUAUGGUUACUUUAAAAACGUCAUAAUGUGCUGUGCAGAAACAGGAUGAAAAAUUUAAGGAGAGAGUGAGCAUGCCUCCAUUUUUGUCUGUGAGUUUGAUGUCAUAAUUUCAUGGCAAGGUUAAAUUUGAGAAUAACAGACAUUUAGGGAAUUUAUACAUAAAAAACAAAGAAAUCAAAAACACUAAAAAAAGAAGAUGCAACGCAAAAGUGGAAUAGAAUAAAGACAGAGAAAACAGUACAAUAAAUCAGCAAUCAAACAUGGUUUUAAAUCAAAAUCUGGAGGAAACACUGUGUGCCAGAAACACUGUGACAGAAAUAAUCAGAUUGAAGUGCUGAUUUCAAACAGCCUCCCACUAAGACUUUAAUCUUACAGAGUAGAGAGAGCAUUUUGUUUUAUUUUCCCCACAUAAACCACAAAAGUAUUUUGAGGGAACACAAAGUAUUUGAAGCUGAAAGUCAAAGUGCCUGAUCCCUUUGACUGGCGUUAUGGCCAAAAAGUGUGGGUGGUUUGUGAAAAUGCCCAGAAGCAAAUGCAUCACUCUCACCUUGAAAGCUAAACCAAUUAAUCAAUCUGGAUCUGAAGUGUUGAGGCUAAACAGUUUGAAGGAGUUCAAGGAUACAAGCUUUGUGCUCCUUUUAAAGCUCCUGUAAGAAAUGAAAGACAGAAAUUCAUGUUGACGCCUUUUUAUGAUCUCUAAAAGCAAUAUGAUUGAUGAUUCUUAAAUUGAAAAUUGUUAAUGCCUGACAGUGGUGUGAGUGGUUAGGUGUCCUGUGUUUACAAUUUGAACCUAAAAAAAAACUACAAUAAAAAUUGUGUUUCACUGUCAAGAGUCAGCUAGAAAUGAUUUUUUUUUGUCAGAAGACUCAAGAUAAGAUGAGCAAAGAGUGCUUUGUCAAUAAGAGGUGCCAAAAUGUAACAAACCAAAAGUUACUUACAGGAGCUUUAAUUCAAACCAAAGUAUAAUAACCGAUCACUUAAAUCAGCUUCAGCAAAUCAAAGGCAUUGUUUUAUAUAUUUCUCAAAUUUGUAGAGAAGAAAAUCCUGCUUAAACUAUGACUCAGACUCACAUCUGCCUCAAAACGAUUAUAGUUAUGCAAACUUGUGUAGUUUGAAUGUCUGUGUUAAUCAGAUAAAGCACAGGAUAAUCGGUUGUGUAAUCAGUUUAAGGUUGAACUUGUGCCGCUCCUGAACCUUGCAGUGCUCUGUGAAAUCACAAUUGAAAAAGCACUACAAUAGAUUGUUGCAUAGACCACUAACUGAAAACCCUGUCUAACUACAGUUCAUGGGUAAUUUUGCUGCCAUGGCAACUGCAUUCAGAUGAUGUGACAGAACAGCACAUGGAAAAUGAGAUUGGAUCCGUAGUGGUUAAUUGAAUAAUACAUGAGUUUAUAAAUACUCCAUUAAUAAAGGUAUGCUAAUCUGUAUUCAUUAUUGUAAUGUGUUGAAUUGUUGAAUUAUUAUAUUAUUAUAUGAUUCUGGUUAUAUACUUAGGUUUAUAUGAAAUCAGGCUGUAAGUGUUACUCAUCGUAAGCGUGUCUGUAAGUAGUGCUAAAACAAAGUGGCUUCUGACGGUGAAGUAAAAUUGGACUUUUGGUAACACUUCAUUUGCCACCUAUCUUUAUAACGCAUCAUAAAUAUAUGUAUAAUGAGUUAUAAUCAUGUUAAAGCACUGUAUAACUAUAGUUAUUAGCACUUAUAAAUGAUCAUAAUGCUUUAUAACAAUAAUCACAAGACAUUAUAAAGCAUCUUAUCAUGACUUACAAGGUCAGGUAUUAUAAUGUGUGAUGCUUAUCAUGUUAUAAAGCCUUCUGAUAAUUAACAAGUAUUUAUAAUGAUAGUUAUACAAGUUUAUAAACAAACUAUAACACAUCGUAAAUAUAUGUAUAAUGCAUUAUCUAUGUGGGCAUUAGCAGUGAAUUGUUAACAGUUAUAACACACUACGGUACCUGACCUUGUAAGUCAUGAUAAAAUGCUUAAUAAUGUGUUAUGAGUGUUGCUAUAAAGCAUUAUAGUUUAUGAGUAUUUAUAACUAUAGUUAUACAGUGCUAUAAUGUGAUUAUAACGCAUUAUACAUAUAUUUAUGUGUUAUAGAGAUAGGCAUCAAGUAAAGUGUAACUGAAUUUUCUAAAAAGAGCACACGCGUUCAUCAACAUUAGACUUAGGAAAAAAUGAGCAAAGUUAUGUGAUAAAAUGGAUCCCAAGUGUAGCAGGUGACCUUUUUGAGUGGGCUUUAAUGAAAUGUUGCAUCUAUUAAUAAAUUAAUUGGUGAUCUUCUCUGAAACAAAGAAAGAGAUAAGGACAGAAUUGCAUUUCUCUUCUUAAAGCACCUGAAUUGUUCUAUUUACUCAUAAUUAUUGUUAUUUUUUUGUCUUGUCUUGCCUUCAGUGUGUUUUUAGGACCCAGGUUCUUGGACUUUAUCCUAUGCUUGAUCAGACCUCUGAAACAUAACACAGUCUGUUCCAUAAACCCUCAUGAACAAAUAGAUUAAGCACUGCAGGUUGAAUUUAUGUGAAUUUCACAUCCCAGCAACACCCAACAGAAGGCCAGAGCUUUAAAUACACUGACUGUUAUUUCGGUAUGUUGCUUGGUUACCACUUGUCAAACUUUGUUUUACUCCUUAUAUUUCCACACAAUGCUGCUAUACCCAAAUGACAGCAGUAGAGCUAACUAUUUUUCUACUUUAUUCAUUUUCUCAUGUUGUUAUUGGUUUUAUUAACGCAGCUUAGAAAGUAAGAGAGUCCAUGAGAGUCCUUUGAAUAACUAAACUUGAGAGCAAUUAACCUCCAUGUUAAUUAGCACACAACAUUAAAUGGAGUAAACCUGAGCUAAACAGGCUCAGGAGAGGGUGAAACACACCGGCUUUGCAGCUCUGUAUCGUCCCUUUACAAAGACCCAGUGGAUCCAGACUCAUAUCUAAACAGAUUUGAACAAAAUACCAAAUAUCUACUGUAAGACUUGAGCUGCAUCAGCAGUGUUUCAAAGCUCACAGCCUGUUUUCUCUUGUUAAGUGGAUCUUCUUACCCAUGGAGCUAUAUCAUUCGGUUCAGCAUGCAAAAAUAUAAAUCAUGGCCACCUUAAUGAAAGGAGUUUUGGCUGUAAUACCUCAUAUGGACAACUCUGUAUAUCCCCAAAAAGCAACCAUAUACAGUAAAUAAAUAAGGAGGAACCCCUCCAUAACUUACAAAGUAGAAAAAAUGAAGAUGCUAGAAAGUAAAAAUCUCUGCAAAUUUAACUACACUUAGAGGAUUCACUUUCCUGCUGUCUCUAUAAAACUACCCUUACUUUUGUCUUGAUUCUAUUUUCAGUUUUAUAUUUCCCUAAAUUUUUAAUCACAUUAAAAUUGAUCCUGUUCUGGUUUGAUACACAGCUCUAAUGAGUUUGGUGUUAUUUAGGGAGUUUGCAGUCUGCCUUUUUUUUCCCUCAGUGUAUUUGGUUUGUUAUUUCCCCUAUAUGUUUUAUAUGUUUGUACGAGUAGCAAUACAGCCAUCACACCUUUACACAUACCAAGAGCAUGGCUAAAAAUGAAGAACAUAAAUUGCAUUUGGUGUGUUUGCCUUCAUGAAUAUGCAGAAUGUAUGCAGAUUAUCAGAACGUGCAAAAUACGGGGAGGAGGAGAUGCAAAUGGAAUCCUUUUGCACCGCAAUGUGAUGCAUCAAACCUCAAACUAAUUGCGGUCGGUGUUUUUGCAUCGAUAUUUAGCACGUUUGAAAGGCAGGUGCAAACUGGCACAGUGUUACGCACAAAUGGCUGUGGUCACUGUGGUGAAAGGGAGUCAUAGGUGCAAUAACAGACGACAAGGAGAGAGAAUCUUCUGUGCACGUGUCAACAAUUGAACUGUGAGAAAUAAAAACAGUAGAGGCAUAUGAUCAAUCCAGUGAUGCCAUUUUUUAACUGGAUGACCUAAGGACUGAUUUCUGCCAAUCCCCCAUCAGUUUUAUUUGCACAGGUUUUAUUAAGGGAAAGUUUUUCCCUUGUUCCUUUGCAGAUAUCUUGCCAUUUUCUUAUUAUUUUAUCUGUUUUAUAUUUUAACUGUUCUCCAAAAACCUCAAUAAAUACAAUAAGCACAUUAUCAAUACUAAAGGCAACAUAAUUUAGUGAUCAACUUUUGGUGAUUUUUGUUGUGUACACACACACACACACACACACACGCACACGUACGUAUAAAGCACACACAACAAAAAAUACAAAAAGUAUCCCCUCAAAAACCUGUGGCAAAUGUGCCAUCUUUUGAUAGCAGUGAUGCAGUGACUCCUGUGAGUAUCUGUCUUUUCAUGCAUAUUAAUUUUUUAGUAGGACAGUAAAAUUCAGAAGCAGAACUAAAGAUAACCUUGUGAAAGCUGCUGGUGGUAUUCCUUCUUGCUUGCUAAACAUCUGUUGCAUGAUUUUUUUUAAAUAUAAAUAUUUCAGCCCACCACACCUGUGCAGCAAUCAUGCUUUAAAAGGCAUCUUGAUAUGUCACACCUGACAGAUGGAUGGAUUUUACCAGCAAAGAGUAAAUCCUCUCAAACUGAGAUUCAAAUAAAGUAGUUAGCACAAUUGGAGAGAGAUGAGCUCUUUGUGAAGGGAAAGUAUGAACUUGGCAGCACUUUUGUUUUGUGGAGGACUGAGGUGGAGAGAUGUGUGUGGAGUUAAGGGCAGACUGUAUUGGACAAUGUCAGUGACCCUCUCCAUGACAUCCUGACAGAGCAGAGAAGCAGCUGCAGUGGAUGGCUCAUUUCACUGCUCUGCAGGACUAAGAGGUUCAGGAUUCUUUGUUCCUGUUGCCAUCAGGCUCCAAAGCUGGGCCAUUCAACUGAAAACCCUCAGGCCAAAUCCGACCUGUGGGCAACCUCCAAGUGGACCAAACCUGACCAGCAUACAUGAAUCCAGCACAUGUCAGAACAUUUGAACAGUACAUACUGUGUGCACAAAAGUAGCUUGGGAGUAAGUCACCAUACUUUAUUUCUAUCUUUGCCAAGUCUAUCUAUCUAUCUAUCUAUCUAUCUAUCUAUCUAUCUAUCUAUCUAUCUAUCUAUCUAUCUAUCUAUCUAUCUAUCUAUCUAUCUAUCUAUCUAUCUAUCUAUCUAUCUAUCUAUCUACAAAUUAUGAUACUUAAACACAAUCUGUUAAUCCAUCAAUCGAUACAACCAUCAAUGUAAUCCAUCAAUGCAUCCAUCCAUCCAUGUCAAUGUAUCAUUAAUCAAUACAUCUGUCAAUCCAUCCAUCCAUUUCCCUUCCUUCCUUCCUUCCUUCCUUCCUUCCUUCCUUCCUAUGCUUGGAGCCAAAAUGAAAGUGCAGCAUUAGCAUUGCUAUGUUUUGUACUCCUGUUUUUUUUGUUGGUUUUUUUUAACAAAACUCAAAAUACAUAUUUUAUUCACUUUUUCUUGUUUAGUUUUUAAAUUAUUUUGAACCUGCCAGCAGCUAAAGAGAGCUUAGAAACCGAGAAAAUGUUCACAAUGCACAUAUCAAAACACCACACUAGGUAACAGGUCUGUAAUUUAUUUAAAUCUAAAAUACACACAUUACAUUUUCUUUUCUCCCUCUACAUGUACUGUAGCUUUGAUUUCCAUCCAUCUGGCAAAAUUCAACCAAAUAAUUAUUGGCCCAGCUUUGGUGAAUGCUGCUGCUUUUGUGCCACUGUUAGUGAAAGCCCCUUAGUGAAAGCUGGCUUCACAGCAUCCAGUCACCCAAAAAGCCCAAUUUGAACUGAAGUGAUUUAACAGAGGGUUGGUGCUGUAAUGUCUGUCAUUUCAGUAGCUUUUUGGCACAGUGGUUAUUUUUGCUGGUUAAAAGCCUGCUCUCUCCCAUGGCCUGUCAUAACCUAACUCUCUUACUUAUAACCAGACUGUGUGUGUUUAUGCUUGAUUCUGAUUGGUUAGAACCUCAUCGAAAAGUGACUAUUUGAUCACACAUCAUAUCAAAUGAAUCUACAGAAAGGUGUUCUGGCUCAUUUUACCUGUCGACACUGUGCCAAUAACUUACAGUUUUUUCUCAGUCGAUUUGGUGCAUUUCUCACAUCACUAUUAACAUUUGCACAACAGUUGGUGCAUUUCUCACAACAAUUAGUACAAACUGCAAAACCUAGUGGAUAAUCUGCAAAAGCAGGUCACUUGCUCAAAAUGAAUAGUUGAUUCCUCAAAAGCAAGUCUUCGUGUCAAUGAAAGUGUCAGUGUCAUCAAAAUUAAAAGUCCCUGACACCGUUGUUUAUGAGCAAGACAGUCAAAUGGCUUGGUCAUGUUUUCAUUAUGACAGUUUACUCUCUAUGUGUUUUCCAAGUGAAAAAAAGCCGGACCUUGGUGACACUACCUGAAAAUGCCCAAUACAGCACUAUGCACUACCUGUACAGCCAUUUGAAAACUACAGUAAAGUUGUACAGUAGUGUAUUUAGUGAGUACAAAACACAUAUAUGUUUCAUAUAUUUACUGCUUUUUGCUUUUUGCAAUUCUGCAUCACUGCGCAAAAAACAAGCAACCAAAACAAAACAAAAAAUCACAGUCAUUUAUUUAGAACGAACAUAAGAAAUACCAUUUUGGUAGAACUAUGCACAAAUGUUAACAAUAUAAUAGUACAUAUUACUGUAAACAAUGCUGACCUUCCAUUUUAGAGUCACAGGAUUACAGAAAUGGUACACACUGGGUCACCUGAGAGCAAGUGUUCAAUUUAUGAGACAUUUUCAGAAAAAAUGAAAAAAGAUGAUAAAAAAAAUGAUAAAGGAAUGUAUGAAUUCAGCUUGACAGAUUUUGACAACUAGUUCAACAGUUUUGUAUGAAAUGACUAAACCAAUGAAAUGAGGACUUUUAGUUUUAUAGGUAAUGAUUAUUCAGCAUUCAUAAGGAUAGUUAAUGUUGGCUGACAUGACAAGCAAAUGAUGUUAUAAAACAGCAGAGAAUUGUAUAAAAGUAACUGAUGCAUGUCCAAGAGCAUUUGUAAUUUGUUUAGAGGAAUGAGAAACUGCGACACUGAUGUGUACAAAUGACUCAAUGUUUUGGGGAUUGAACUAAUUGUUGUGAGAACUUUCAUUCUGAUCUGAGAAAUGCACCAAAGUAACUGAGAAUAACUUUAAGUUUCUGUAGCAGGGACAUUUGUUUACAUCUUAAGGAAACAGUUACCACUUUGUGUUGAGUCUGGCUCACCUUUUCUGAUUCUAAUCGGCUAAACCCCCAAUUUAAUACACAUUUUCCUUCCUGACCAGAGAUCCUGGUGGUCCUGUCCUCACAGAGAUCGCCAGAGCUUCUUUGCUUUUCAGUCCAAAUGAGACACUUUUCAGAUCUUUUUUUUCCAAAUAGCACCCAAGUACCUCUUAUUCUUUGGAAAAUCCAGUCUCCAAGACUCCAAGAUAAUUUCAAGCCCUGUUAGAUAUUUUCUGUAAAAGCAUUCGCUGUUGCAGAGCUGCAGUUUCCGCUUCAGUGUUGAGGGGAAAAAAAAAAAAAAUCCUGUGCCUGGCCAAUUUGAGCAUCACAUCUCCAUAGAAAUCAAGGACAGGUGUCUCACAUCAGAUUGUCAGAUUUUUCCCUCUGCACAUAGUUUACAGUUUGGAUGCACAGAUGGAAUCCACAAUCAACGGCACAUAUACUGUACAUCAUCUCCAGCUAUUUCUUUGCAUCAUUCUGCCGUUAAUGCAUAUGCAUGAAACAGAGAUGCACUUUAAUGACUUGAUGCAAGGUGUGCAUCAGAUGACAGCCAAACUAGCUCCCUGGCUGGUGCUUCUGUUUGAUAAAUAAGACACCUCUCUGGGUGCAGGACUCAUCUGAAAGAAGGAGAGGCAGGUUUAGUGUUCUUCCCUCUGUUGAGAUAUUUCCCUCUUUUCUCCCUCUGCUUCGUUUCUUCCUCUCUCAUUUGGUGCUUUGCGUUGCUCCCUCUCUGCACACCACCCUCGCUCUCUUUUUCAAUCCCCUCCAUCACCUGGAUCACCCCUACAUAUGAGAUCUUUUCUGGCUUUUGUCUCUGUCAGACCGCCUUGUCUUUCUCCUUUUUCUUGCUGUGAACCAGGGGCCACCGCUGCAGUCAAGACAGUGGGGGCUAUAGGGGGUUUGUGCUUCCUCAUAUCAUCCAUAUAGGCUCCAAGCAUACGUUUGAGGAAUGCUGAUCUCCACCUGCUGGCAUUUAAAAAGUCAUUACAUAGAGAGAAACUGUUAAGAACAUUCCAAGCGUGAGCAUGUCUCCUUAAUAAAGUCAGGUGAUUUAAAGUAAUAAGGGUAAAUCUGGGCAGAAAUUCACACAUCAUCUGGUUUAGAAAGGGUGGCCAUAUUUUCAAACCAUCAAACAGAGGCACAGCAAUUUUACAACAAACCCUCAUUACGGAUGGAAUUGGCACAAAAAGCAAGAAAAUCCUGUGUCAUAAAUUAUUGUGAUAAAGAAAAAUAACUCCCUUUAACCACUUUAAAUGUGGAUUCAGCACCUGUUCACGUCAUAAUAACUUUACAAACGUCUGUUCAGCACAACAGAAUUUGUAUUGCUGCAGGCUCCAGAGAAGUGGUCUUUGUUUAUUUGUUCCCAUUAGUGUAAUACUCUGGGCUGAAACAGCUGAACAUAUACAUAGAAAUCAGCAUUGAACUUUUUCUCAUGGUGCAUUAGCAGGAUUUUUCUAAGGUGUUGCAAGGGUUUCUCCUUAGAACACGAAAUGUGAUUUUUAAUUUUUAAUAUUAACAUUAACAGUUUCUAUCAUUGUCUGAAAACAUCAGGUCCAAAAUCAACCCUAUUCAGGGCUCGACAGUGUGACUGUUUCACUCACAUUCGCGACUAAAAAUAGAUGUGUGCGAAUUGUAAAAUGUAUUUAGAGGCAAAUGUGCGCAUAAAAAAAAUCAGCAGAGGCAACUUUUUUUUUUCAUGUAAACACUGUGGCAAAGUUAGUUUUAGGUUGGAUAUUUGACGGACAUUCACGGCUUAUCUACUGGUGUCUUCUCACUCUCCAUAACCAGAGAUAGCAACAGCAGCGCGGUUAAAUCUACUCGGCAUCCUCGCUGUCAAUGUUGGGUGUUGAACCAUCAAUAAAUUACCAGUUAAUGUUCUCAGAAAAGGCUGUUUUCUUUCAAAAGCUUCCAUGUCAUGUGACCAAUUGACGUCAAAUUGAUUUUAAAUAAUAGUACUAAGGUCGAACAAUAGGAAAAACUUCUUUAUUUCCUCCUCUAAAAAAUUUUGUGUUAAAUUUAAAGGCCAAUUUUGAACAUUUUCUUCAUUAGCUUCCAUUACAUGUGACCAAUUGACCUGAAAUUGAUUUCAAAUAAUAGUACUUAUGCCGACCAAUAAGACACACAUUAUUUGAUCAAUGUUUAUUGGUGUCAAGCCCUGCUAAUUUUUGUACUGAUUUGUUUAUUUAUUUUAAAUGUAUUGAACCCGGGAAAAAAAAAAUGAGUGCCCUGUAGUGUGUGAGUGUGUUUUAGUUUCAGACACAGAUUGUAGAGACUCCUUCAUCUCAGCCUCUAUAGUACUUAAUCUACCCAUUCAAGUUGAACCUUAAAGGAAAAAACAAGAUCUGUCGUUUAAUUCUUAGAAUUCAUGAGCCAACUUGGUCCCAUCAUGACAAUCACAGAAACCUAAUGCUUUGUCUGCACUGCUCACGUCUGUUGCUGCUUGCUGUUCAUUUAGACAUCCAUGGAAGCAAGUCAUUGAAGCCACACUGCUGCAUAGUGGUGCAACGGAUCACAAAACUCACGGAUCGGAUCGUUCCUCGGAUCAAGAGUCACGGAUCGGAUCAUUUUUCGGAUCAGCAAAAAGAAAAAAAAACAAGACAAAUAAAAUAUAUAAAAGUAGUGCACAGGGCAUAAUAUCUUCUUUUUAACAUAAUUAUUAAUGAAAAACAACUUAAAGUACAAUAUACAGGCAUAUCUCCUUCCUUUAAAAUGUAACAAUGAACCAAAGAUAAAGUGUGUGCGCGAUGGGAUGUCGUAACGUGGCUCAAGCACUUUCAGCAUGUUUUUAAAGCCCUCGUUUUGCACAACUGAAUACGGCCUCAUGUCUGCAGCUAUAAACACACCGAUAGAGUUUGUGAAGGCUUUAGCCUGGUCGGAUUGCGCAGGAAGAGGCUGCUUAAAUGCUGCGGUGAUGAGCGGUUGUUAGGGCUUUCGUUUUAUCUCAGGUGUUAUGCCAAAGAAUGCACCCCUGCCGUAUAGUGCACCCCCUAACGGGAGCGCGGUUGAAAGUACAUAACAAGGCGAAAUAAUACAAGUUUUCCUUACGUUGGAUGUAUUCAACAGCGUUUGCCUUUAAUAAUUUCAUUCAGGCUAUUCAUAUCAAAUAUGAGAUCAUUAUCUCCACUUUAAGAAGCUAACGGAUGCAGGGGGUGCGUUCUACGGCAGGGGUGCAAUCUACGGCACAACACCUGUCAGUAAAACACCCGGGUGAUGUCGCUUCAAAUGCGUGAACAUGCUCGAUGUGUUUCCACUGUCAUAUGGCUUUCUUAUGCCACAGUGCCUACACUCCGUCGCAGUUUUGUACACUGACCUCUUUCCUUCUUCAUCAUAAUUGACAGGGAAGCCAAAAUGCUCCCAUACAGGGGAUUUAAGUGUCGCGGGGCGUUCGAGCUCCUCCUUUCUCCGCUUUCAGAAAUCGAUCCGCGGAUCACAUGUGUGCCGAACCGAAUACGUCGAUCCGAACGGAUCACGGAUCAAUGAUGAUCCGUUGCACCACUACUGCUGCAAUGCUGCAAAUAUGAACAGAAGUCACAUUAUUUUUCCUGCAAGCAACGCUUGAUGUUAGGAAAAAUACUCUGUGAAUGGUUUUUUCAAACAACCAUAUUGACAUUAUACCAGUAUUUAUCUUCCUGUAAUAUAGUUUUGAAGCCAUUAUCAGAAGAAUGUAUCCCAAACACGCUUGUCUUUAGCUCAAAAUUAAUCGUGUUUCAGAUAUUUGUCCAAUUUGAAAUUAAAAAUAUAGUGAGACAAGAUGGUUAGCUAGAUCUUUUUAUGGAUGAUAUAAAAGGCAAACUAAAUUCACAGAUGCAGCGCUGGAAGCAGUUGACUCGCUGCUGGUGUGGAAAAAAGAGGUGGGACAAGCAGCAGUAGUUUAGUGAGGCAACCAUCAUAUUCAGCCCAGGCGUGCAGUGUCCCAGGGGAAACAGUACGUAAUGGUCGCCUUUAAAGAUGGAUACCAUGGAGGUCUGGAGUUCUGGGGGGAACUCUCCUGUGGCCAAUUUCUGCGAGGGAGUCACCAGAACUGUUUGAUCUAAAAACACCUGCUAUCAUAUUUUUAUCUUUCAAAGUCCACAUGAGUGAAAAAAGAGGUGGACUGUUCCAGAGAAGAGAUGAAAUACACAUGAGAGGAACAUUGGGGACUGUGAUUAUUUAGCAGAGAGACAUUUAUGUGUUGUAUUGACGGAAAAAAAAAGAAGGCCCCUUUCUCACAUAAACCCACCUCUUAGAAUGCACCAUAAACACAUUUACGAACCCUUAUAAAGGCCUUUAUAAGGCCUUUGUAAGUGAUAAGAAGCAUACAUAACAACUUAAAGUGAUGUUUAUGAAGCAUUAUAAGGGUCUUAUAAGAUAAAUUCAAGUUAUGUGUUUAUAUAUGAUUAAACAAAGUCACACUGUGGUAGUAAAAUAAGCUGCUCAGAGUUUGAAAGUCUCGACCUGCCACUGGUGAAGUCACGUUAUUCAGCAUGAUCCUGUUCUCUCACAGCCAACACUUUCCGAGCCGACAGUUCUCUUUCCACAACAUCCAUCUGCAGCGCCAGAGGAGACAAAAUAGGGCCAGAAUACAGAGUAGAAGAGGUAAGGUAAUAAAAAAACUGGAAAACACUGAUAAGACACAUCUGUGGGAUUAAAUGAGACUCUCUUUGGCUGCUAAAUGAGCCCCUUCACCUCCAUUAGUGGGGUUCACCAAAACACUCCUGAGUGGGCUGGGAAGUGCCACUCCUGAGAGCCUGUGAGGUUGUUAAACUCAGACACACCAACUCAGACAGGUUCCCUCCUUCAAGAUUUACACAAAAGCCAUAGUUUUAAGUUUUUUUUUUUUUCCAAGUGACAAAUGCAAUUAUUACUGCUGUUAAAGCCUGUAGUGGAGAAAGUGACUGAUCAUGCAGCUCUUUCAUGUGAACACUGGUGGAUUGAUAAACCCCGGGUUUAACAUGGGAUUACCAGCUCACAGGAUAGUCAAUGUUAGAAUUAACGAGUCUAACAGUAUUUCUAACACUUACUAUUCUGUGAUAGAAUUUAUGUUGGAUGAUUUAACGAGUCUUUUAUAAUUGGGUUCGCCUUAGAUAAAGGAAUAGUUCAACAUUUUGGGAAAUUAACGUAAUUUGUUAUAUUACCUGGAAUUAGAGAAGAUUGACACCUUUGUUGUGUACAUGUGAAACAUAAUACGGUUUCUUCAACAGCUAGUUAGCCAAGCUUCACUCCACGCUCAGCUAACUGGAGGGUAGGGGGGAUAAGCUUAUGUGAAGUCUUACAGAGAAACGCCACCAUUAACUUUUUUCUCAAAUUUGUUUAAUUUGUAUUAAAAAGUUCAAUAAGUAAUCCUCUCCUGGGGUUUAUGGAGCUGAUGUUGAGGAAAACUUCUUAGCUUUUUGUGAUGGCAUAAAGUUAACUCUGCAUCACUGCGUUCCAAGUGAACUAGCUGACUAGCUAUUCUCAUAUUUGUAGGCUACAUAUCUGUACAAUGAAACAGACUCUUUUUUUGUUAUUUUUAUAUUUACUCUUAUGACUUGGAUGUGGUUGAAAUUUAACUUAUCAAAAAAGCUUGAAAAGAUUGAUUUUGUUUCAGUAUCAAAUGUUGUUUUCACACUUAAAAACUCUUUUAUUUCUGCUCAAUCAACAACGCCCCUCCCCCCAAAUGUGCCAGAAAAGGAAGUCUUUUAGGACAAGAAAGAGAGAAAUUAGUAUGCCACACAACUUAUAUUUUUUAUAGAGCACCACCAGGAAAGUGCUGUAGUAAGGAAGACGAAUCUGAGUCACACUAAAGGAAUUUAAACCAAUGCUGAGAUGGUCAUUUUUCUCCAAGACGGGGGAAGAUAUUUAAUGUGACACCUCUUAUCUUUUGAUCCAUUGCUGGGGGGGAGAAACUACCCAAUCCCUUCUUUGAAAAAACUUUUCCUGUUGGGGUUUCUGUGUAUUGUGUUGUUGUGGCCUUUAUCACUAAGCAGGAACACGUUAUGUUGUAGUGGAAAAUCAGCAUAAACUCAGUAAAACAGUGCACAGGAGACAGGAUGAGAUCUGAAGAACAGCCUGGGCGUCUUUAUUGUACAGAUGUAGAAAUCAGUACAGAUGACAACAGAGUCUUGACCAAAGCUUUUCUUCUACUCCCUAAAAGGUGGAUGAGGUGUAGCAGCUCAUACCUGAAUGAGCUCUGGUGAUGUUGGCUGCUGGUUGCCAUUUGCCUAAUAUUCUGUUCUUGAGUUGAGCAGUUUAUUUUCCAUAUACUCAUGUUUAAUUGCUGCCAGCAAACUUGAAGACCAAGCAUGUUAGUUUUGUUCAAAGUGGAAGUUUUCUUGACUCUUGCAUCUUCUACUAAUGGCAGUAUAAAAUGCAUUUAAUGUAUUCUGCACUUUCCCUGCACUGGGGAUACUAAAUUAAAUAACCAAAGUCAGUUAGUGAGCUUUAAUGGCAAUGGUCUUAAAACUUGAGUUUUGCAAUUUAUAUUUAAUCUUUGACUUGCAAGCAUGUUUUGUAAGCUCUUGGGCCUAUGGUAAGUCAAAAAUACAAUCUGCAAAGCUGCAAGUGGAAGGGAAAGCCUCUUGUGUUGACCCCUACUGGCUUGGAGUGGUGGUGCAGGUACUAACUCCAGUGGAGAAAAACAAAACAUGGUGGUUGCAACACUUAGCGAUUGUAAUUUCCUUUAUGCUCUGGCUUAACUAAUUAAUGACAAUUAGAAGAAUCAAUAUCAAAAUUGACAUUAUUAAAUGAUCCACUUGCUCUAAAGAGAAGCACCUUUAUUAUCAUGACUUCAUUAUGCUGCAGCUCACUGUUGCAAACUUGAGCUUACUUGUGCUUCUUUUUCAAGCACUUGAGUGAAAAAGGUCUUACCCUUUAAUCUGAGUCUUUUCUGCAAUUGCAUUUCUCAAUUUUCCACAGAUAACUGGAUGUUCUUCUAUCUAAGUGCAGAAGAAAUUCAUAAGCAGAGUUAUAUUUAUUUGAAACACAUAUCAAGUCCAUUUCCUGUGAGGCACAGCUUCAAAAGAGAGUGAUUUAAAUUCAGUCCAAUCUGACAAAACUUGACUUGGAAUUCUAAUGGACUUGCAGGCUUGGAUGUAAUUAUAAGUCUGCCUUGAGUUUAUUUUGUACUUCCUCUCUUAUCCCUUAUAUUGAGAUUAGCACACCAAUCUUCAAGUAAAAAAAGUUUACUUUUACUACAGCAUAAACCACUUUACCUCCGAACUUUGAAACCCCCCUUCAAAUAUAUUCCAAUCAGGGUCCUGCUCACUGACAGCAUCAAUAAUGGCCAACAUAAUAGAUGCGAUGAAGUCAUGUUGGCUACUUGACAGGCAGCACUGAUUACAGUAAUGAUUGAUGUUAAAGGUCCUCAUGCUCUUUAAGGCUUCUACUCUGUUUCGUAAAGCAUCAAGAUAAGGGUGAACUUUUGAAUGGCUUUGAAAGAGUUAACAUGCUAAAUCAGCUUUUGCAUUAUAACACAGGUUUAUAAGAUUCUCAGGCAGCUUUUGGUUCAGGUACAAGCAGUUUAGGUACAUGCUAAGUCCGACUAAUACACAUAAUAACUUUAUGUUUCAGGUCGUUCAGAGUUUGAGCUAUGGAUUUUUUUCAGUUUAACACACAGUUCCAGGUACCCAACGGUGUAAACUGAGAGUUGGAGACGUAGUGAAAGCUGUUCGUGCAGAAUAUAUUUGUAAUUUUAAAUUCAGAGCUAGCUAACAAGGUCACUGUUUAACUGUCUGAUCUCUGCCGGUUAUCUUAAUUUAGCAUGUUUGUACUCUCAUGUAUCAGUGAUUUAGCUAAGUCUAAUAUUGGUCUCCCAGUUGAUAGUUGGGGUAUAAAUUCAACGUGCAUUACAAACAUCUCCUUUAAAACUGCUGCAGCAUUUCUCCUUCCCUGCACAGAGCGCUUGGUGGCUGACAUUGCAUCACCUUCUUUGUCUUCUUUCACCUCCACCUCUGUAAACUUCGAAGUGACUUAGAAAAUCCCUUUGUAAAGUCUACAUCCUCGCAUUAACUGCUCUAUAUACAAUAACACAGCAGAAAGGUGACUCUUUGCCACUAGUGCGUGGAAUUGUGAGAUGAUAUGGAGGAGCUAAAUUUAUCAGCAUAACAAAUGACCAACAAUCCUGCAGACUCCACUUUUAAAAUCAAUCAUUAGUCACUAAAAACCCAGGUUUUAAUGACUCUAAUGUGUAGUUAGUAUCAAGGUUUCACUGCAUAAUAUGCCAGGGACAGCAAAGAGCCUGCUGUGAGAGUUUUUCUUCCCUCCUGCUUUUCUUUUUCUCUCUCUCCCUCCCUCUGUUCGCUCUCCAGGUGUUAUCAUCAUGUUCAGUUUCUACCUGUGCGGUACAGUCUCGCUGCUGCUCAUGGGCUCCUUCAGACCUAAUGCCAGCUAAUCAUUCCAGUUUCUCAUUAAAGUAGUGCACGGUUGGAGUAAAUCUAGAAUUUUCUCUACUCUGUUAAAGCAAAAAUAGAAAAAUAAAAAGAUGCUUUGUGGUUUGUUACUUGAAGUGGCACCAGCUGUCUGAAAAAGCUCCGGGGAUUACCUUCAUUUCUGGACAACAAAACGAGUCGCAGUCGCUGUUUUGUGCAGACACCAAAACAACAUGUGACAUAUUAAAUAAUAAUAAUGAAAAUAAUAAUUGGAAAUUUUAACACAGGGCUUGUCUGAAACUUCAAGUGGUAUGCAACGAAAUGAGGAGGCAUCAUUCAGUCAAACCAUAAUGUCUGACCCAGCACAGAGUAGUUUUACUGCUGCUCAGGUGUAAGCAGCCAUAAUUCAGUGCUGUUGUUGAAAUGUAUGAGAGAAAUUUAUUGAGAGAAAUGUGGAAAAUUGCCCACAGCUUAACAGGAAAAUCCCACAAUGACCUGACUCACAAAAAGACAAUAUAAAAACAAGAUAUUAAAAGAGUGUUUAGAAUCACUGCUGUCCACAACGCCUUUGAAUGAAUGAUAAAUUUCUGAUGCUGGUGCUUCUCAAUAAAUUAGGAUAUCAUCAAAAAGUUGAUUUAUAGCAGAGGUUAAAGGUGGGGUAGGGGCCCGUUAUUCCGCCAGAGUCUCAGGUAUUUACUUCGUUUUCUUGCUUGUGUUGGCAGUCCUGGCCAAAGGAGGAUUCAGACAAUUUUUUGUACUUUCUGGUUGGUUUCUACUGUCUGUUAUUAUAGCACACUAACUUUGUUUAGGCUCCUGCACGUCAUUCGAGGACGUGGAGCAUGCCUCAUAACAUGAGAGAGCAGCGUCCGCCUCACAACCAAUCAGGUUGGGGGAGGCGGAGAACGGCUUUGUUUACAGUCAGAAAGAGCGGGGCACUCAAAAACUUUAAAAUGUUGACUACACAGACACAAGAGAACACAGCGAUAUUGUUAUAUUCCCAAAUGUCAUCAAUAACUAAUAGCUAUUGACUGAUAUUAAAAGCUUUUUUGUCUAUACACCACAAAAAAAACCCCAUGCUUUUUUCAAUGAAAUUCUGCUUACCCCACCUUUAAGUUAAAAAAAGUGAAACGCAUUUAUUAUCUAGAUUUAUCACACACAGACCGAUAUAUUUCAAGUGUUUAUUUUUUUCAUUUCAAUGACUAAAUUGCAGCUAAUGAAAAAACAAAACAUAUAUGUAUAAGAUUCAUUUUUUCACAAAGAUUCACAAAAUUUCUAUCUGCAUAAUAUUGCCAUCCAUGAUUGAUAUUGGUAUCACCCUCUUUAUCAGUAUCAGCCAAAUUGAGUUCGAAGAUAUUGACAAAUUGGACAUCUGCAAAAUUCGCGUAUUACGCACAAGCCAUUGUUACGGCCACUGCCAAGUCUACUGCCAUUCAGUGGGACAAGGUAUAAAUCAAAUGUUAAAUUUAUACACCUGCGCCAUAAAAACUUUUCACUGUUGGUUCAGAUCAGAGGAAACCAAACAUCCCGUCUACCUCAUCCCCCUCCAAAUGAUCCCCUCCUGGGUGAUAGAUGUUGUUUGUGAUUUUUUUCUCUAAAUCCAGGCCCGUUAGAUACUUCAGAGCACUGCACUUUAAUCAGUGGUUUCUUUACUCAGACACUAUAAAAUUCACUUAUUUGUUAAAUAUUUAGAUUUCGAUAUUUAAUUAAGAGAGAAAUCUCAGGUUAUAAAUUGACAAACCAAUCAUGGGAGCUGCUUAAUCCCAGGCUAUGUGGACUGUGGUGAGAAAGGGAGGUAAACAGCCAUCCCCUAAUGUCACAUUCUGACAUUUCCCCUCCCUAUGACCACUUUGUGGCUCCAUAACAUCAAACUAUUGCCUCUUCUGCUCCCCUUUUCCCUUUAGACCACAGUCAUAAUUACAGCUAAAGUCUGUCUACACAGUCUUUACAUACACUAUAGACUCCUAUGGAAAAACACAUCUUGUACAUGUAAAGUAAGACAGAUACAAACUCUUACACAACAGCAGAGUUGCUCUUUGGAGAGGAGACACAGAGUUCAAGGUUGGGACGAUUGCUCCUUACAGAGUUGGCUUCUGGAGACUUAAAGGAAAUCAAGAGGAUGUAAUCUAUAAAUAUAAAUGAGGUGACAUUGAGAUAGCAUUCAGAUAUAUAUCUCAGAGCUUUGUGGACAUAGAAUCUAAAGAGUGUUAUCUAAUGAGCACACAUUUCAAUAAACCCAAUUACCCAAGAACAGUUUCAUCUCUCUUGUGUUUCACACUCGUGCAUGCACAAACACACCAGCCAAGUCUAUGAAAAAGCUUCUCAAACCACGCUGUUCUCAGCCAAUAUGUCACUUUUACAUUCAAUACUUGACGUCUUACAUCUGCACAGACGCUCUGUUUUCCCCCGUCAAAUAAACACACAUCUCUCUCGUAAAGAAAAACACACUUCAUAAACCUUCAUUUCAGAGGAGGAAAGUUGUUGUUUGCAGUUUUGAUUCAAUAACAUUUUAAAACUUUGGUGCACUGAGGCUUUUCUUAUAUGAUUUGAUCCUCUGCGAAUAAAACUGGUUCAGACAGAUUCCUUUCAAAAUCAUUAGCUGCACAUAAAGUUGGAUGGUAACUGAUGUUGUACAAAAGUGAUGCGAAAUUACAAGAAGACUGUUGUAUGUUAAUGGAGCCAGAGUCUGUGGGAAUCAGCAAAUGGAGGUGCAGUGUUGAGUAAAUUAAACAAAUAAAAGUAAAAUUCAUGUAAUUUUUUAGCUAUUGCAAGCAUUUUGUUGAGUAUUUCAAUGUUAUACCUUUUGUUCUGAUUUUUUUUUAGAAAGUAUGACUUUACUGUGUUUUAUCUGAAUAAAUUAGACCUGGAAACAUGCUAGAACAUGCUUGAAAAAAAGGUGUUUUAAAACAAACACGUGCCCUAGUUCUCCUAUUUGUUGAGGCAUUGUAACAGAAAAGACGCCUCUCAACCAGCUUCGGUCUGAUCAGACAGGACAUGGAUGUUCUCUUUCUACGGCCUGUCGGCUCAUCACCUGUGAAACACUGUACAUGCUUUGGUCAGACUCCUCUCUUUAUUCCCUGAGCUUUUCUUGUAUGAUGUACUCUGGAGGCCGAGCACUGAUUUCUGUUGGCUGAGUCAAGCUGUGUUUUUCCUGCAGAAAAUACUACAAAAGACUGCUGGGAGGUUUGGGGGAUUGUUGUGGUUGAUAUGAAAGGCGUGGAGCACAAAAGUCAAGAAACCUACUUCAUUAUUCAUUUAUGGUUUCCUGCUGCUCUUGAUUUGGAUGGAUAGUUUUCAAAGACUCAGCUUGGUACCUUGUGAUUUAAUCUGAUUUAGAUUCUUGUAAGGGUUAUAACUGUUGCUGUUUGAUACAAGUAGUUAUUUCUGAAAGUGUUGCCCCUCAAAAAGACUUAUUUUUCUCCAAUUAAUUUAAAGAGUUGAGAUAAAAAGCCAUCAUUUUCUUAUUAAGAUGUCAAAUAACUCAAAUGUCCAACUUUUAGACAUCUACUGCCUUGUUAUAGACACUCUCUCUCCCAUUACAGUGCACACUCAGGACACAUAAUGAAGCUGUGACAUUCAGUUUUAAACAUCAAAUAUGUUUUGUUGUUAGGAGCAGACAGUCUUAAAAUGUGGCAGCAUAAUGUCAGCCCCUUCCCCAGCCACCCCUGCCCCUUGUGUGGCAGUGAAGCACCAUGUUUGAGGAGCUGACAUUUCAUGGUCCAGUAGCAUUAUUGCGAUCGAAAAACAAAACAGCCUUGACUUUUUGUGAGGGAAGCAAAGCCGCAGAGAGAUGUUGGCACGGAGAGAGAAAAAGAGAGCGAGAGAGAGAGGAGAAUGCUGUCUUAAAUUUUAAACAGCCCAUCAAAAAGUGAAAAUUUGAGAGGAGAUGAAUGUGGAUGGAUAAGUAAUGAUACCCUUUUUGAAAUGGAGUUCCAGUAUUUAUCACCACAACAUCUAAGCAAUUAUUAAACAGUCCUUCCUUUUGAGCAAUAUACUGCUUUUUUCACUGAUAUAAUUUAAUUGCUAACCUUUACAUUUUGAAUGGUGACAUUUAAUGCAGCAAAGAUACAAUUUUGGUCACAUUUUCAAGCUUGGCUUUUCAGAAACACUUUCUGCAGCUGGCAGUUUUUACAAGUAGUGGUACGGCGCUAACACCCUUUAAUUAAUUUAAUGACAGACUGAUGCUUAAAAGUGAAUUUGAUGACUUUGAAGUGAGCCUGAAUGAGAGAAUCAGAGAGAAGGAGAGGGAGGAGCUCAUGGCAUCUUAAACUGCAAUUUCAAGUUAGCGUCUCUGUUACGAGUUUGAGUAUAUCAAGAGUUUUCUUAGAGAUAACAGUUGAAAAAGUCUCAACUAAACAGUGUUUGAUGGAUUUAGAAUUUGAGUGACUGGCAUACAGGCAAGAUACAAAUAAAAGGUGGUCAGUGUAGCUGAUAGUAAACUUAGAGGAGACCUGUUACGUCAGAAAGUGUUUGAAUACAUAUCUAAACAGUAAUGAUAAUAUGUUGAAUGUCUACGUAAAACUUGGUCAAGAUUCCCAACGUGAUUAAUGCAGAUGUUGGUGUUAUCCUUAGAUGUGUUACAAAGGUUCAUUAUGAUGACUACAUAAGAAUUGGCCUGAAUCUAGUGUCAAGCUCUGCUCUCCUUACAUGACAACACUGUAGGACGUUCCUGCUCUACUUUCAGCUCCAAUAGAGCUCUUUCAAGGACCUGUGAGUAGAGCUGGGUGAUUAAUCUUGUUUCGAUUAUGUUUCCGUCUGAUCAGAAAAAUAUGACAAGACCGUGCCACCUGCUAUAUGUCUUGCUCAUUUUAUCCUUUGUGGUAGCACACCCUCCCUUUCCUCCUCCACAAAGCUGUGUAAAAAGUAACACCUAUGAGCCUUCCACCAGUAUACAGAUUUGAAGCUGAAAUGCUCUCGGUAUUUCCAUGAUUUUUCUCUGUUUUCUGAAACCCACAUUGCACAGUGGUGUUGUACACACUUCACCACUUGUGCAGUAGGCAGGAGAGUUGCCGAAAGUCACUGUGAUGACGCUCGGCUCACGCAAUCUUCGCACACCCAUCGGUUGUAACAAGUGUCAAUCAUAGAAAACAUGAACCCCCUAAUAAUUUUUAAAAACAGAGCUGCACACAAAAAAGCACAAACCAGUCUUACAAUAACUACAUGUCAACAUCGCAAGCAGGGGGGAGAAAAGUUUAUAUUCUGUGUAAUAAAUUUCUAAAGUUUGUCCACAUCUCCAUGAGCUUUGCUGGAGGAGGCAGGAUUUAUGACCUACACUGCAGCCCGUCAGCAGAGGGUGCUGUUCUCUGGGUGGCUUCAUCCAGCAAGGACGCAGACGGCGUCCAUUCUAUAUACAGUCUAUGGCUGUUAUUAACUCUUUUAUCACUGUAUAUGCAGCAAAAAUGUAGAUUUUCAGGCAGAGGCUGGAGAGUGUUUAAGUUAGAGCUUCCAUAAAUGCCACUGUAAGACUAAUACGGAGGCAUCAAGGGUUGGUGUAGAAGAAAGCAGCUAACCUCUCUCUGUUUUGGAGUUGCAGCUCAGGUAACUUUAUGUGGCUUCUUUUCUCACUUCUUUUUUUGACUGUUUCCAGUCAUGAUGCAAAGCUGAGCUAAACAAACACUUCUCCAGGGCCUCACAUUUACCAGCCACUUUAGAGUUGAAUGAAUCUUCUUAUCAAACUCCUUGCCAGAAAGGGUUUAUUUUCCCCGUUUAUUAAACUAUUUCCCCAGUUGGGAGGAGCAGAACUCACAAAACUGUGAUGCCAUUUUUAAAAAAGAAAAUAGUUGGGAGGGGAAAAAAAAAAAGGAAAACUCAUCAGACCGCAUUCAUCCUGGGAAGCAGUCUGCUCAGCGCUCUGCCUCUGUGGUGGUGGCAACGUUAUACGACCCUGGCAAAGAAGUGGGUGGCCCAGCACAGCGGCAGAUGUGGAGUGUUUGAUUUAGUCGAGGCAGAUCAGAGUAUCAACAGCAGCACAGGGAGGUGUGGAAAGUGCAAUAAAUGAACGUGCCGGAGUCCAGCCUCUCAUCAGCAGCUCUUUGUCUCAGGAACCCCCUUUUUGUUUCCACUCUGUCAGCUGCUUGAAUUACAUUAACAGUGAUGUAUUACUAAUUUCCAACGUGUUUUUGCCAUCAAGACAUUAUGUUUUUAGUCUGGGUGAGUUUAAAUUAAACAGAGUCUCUGUUUAUUCCUAUGGAUUCAUUCAGAGAGGAGAGGGAUGCUGGGAAUCUAUCUUUCCAGCCAACUGAGCUAAGCCAUUGGGAGACAGUGGGGUUGGCUGCUCCCACUUCCUCUUGGUAAUGGAAAAACCACCACAGAGAGUCAAGAUAAAGAAAAGGGAGCAGACUACACACACUGUAUCUCAAUUCCUGCUGGAUUCAGGCCCCCGUGAGCACGAGGCACAUCUUUGCUCCAUGCAUAUCUUUUUAAUUUUCAGACCGUAUUAAUUGAAUUUACAAUACUUUUGAAAGCGUGUCGGCUAUUUUAAAGCUCAUUUGAUCUUCCAGCAAAUUCUCAUUAGCUGCUUGCUCUCACUGCUACUUGUCUUCAAAGUAAACUGAUUGAAACAUCUUAAUGCCGGUGCACUUUCUUCCCCUUGAAUGAGAAAGAGGAAGGCUUCAAUCUUCCACACACUGUCGGGAGAAAGAGGGAAGGAAACAGAUUCCUCAGGGGGUUCAAUGCAUUAUUACAGUCAAUAUAUUGAUGUACGUUUGAGAGUGAUCCAAGGGUAAAAUCCCCUUAGAGACAAAGGUAAGAAGAGAAGGAGCGAUGAGGAUGUUUGUAUUCAUUCGUCCUCUCCUUGGUGUGCACUUUCUCUCACCCGCUCAUGAAUAACGGAUGCUCGCGCAGCCUAAACUGACCUCUCAGCUAUUACGUCAAAUGAUGGAUUUGUUUGAAAACCACUUGACCUUGUCUGUACCAUCAUCAUUUUGCUGUGUCAAUGACACUAUGGCAAGGUUGCCAAGUCACAGCCUGGCACCGACAGCUGAAUCGCCUUGCAGAAUUGCCGACAUGGAUAAUCUGGCUUUACAGACUGUUAGUCCUGCAGGUCAAGCAGAUAUUCGAUCAUAACCUUUCUGUCUCAUUUGUUUACUCCCUGCCAAAUGUCACACUUUGUUUACGAUAAUUUAACUGAAGAUGUAUUCAUUAAACCUCAAAUGUCUCUUUCCAGAUCUUUGUUAGUACCUAAUUAACUAAAAUCCAAUGGCAGCUAAUUCAAAUAAAGAGGAUGCAAUCUUCUUUAUUCAUUGUCAACAGACUUUUACCCAAUGCUAAAACGUGUAGCUAAUUAAAUCUCUAAUGCUCAUGUAGCUACGUGCACAGAAAGCAUCAAUAGUUCCUCUGCACAAUGGCUAAUUUGUAUGGUGGUCCUGUUUUAUUCAAACACAUGUGAAAACACCUGCCAGGGCAGCAGAAUGUAAAACCAUGAGAAUGUUACUGAUGGAAAUCUCCCGUGAAGGGAUGGAGGCGAGAUACGAUCUCAACACCUACCCUUGAAAAAUAGAAAUUGAAGACUUGUGGUGUAAAUUUGACAUCGAGAUUGACCUUAACUGUUCAGUUUCACACUCAGCGUUGGGCUCUAAUGAGGCUCUACUGGCUUAGACACAUCAUCUCUGUGCACUGAAAUUUAAAUGUACGUGCUGGGACUGAAUAAAUAAAGCUUUUGCAAUCUUCUGGGCUUUCAAAGUCUGAUGUAUCUAUGAAAGUUUGUAAGUUUUUAAGGAUGCAGGCAGUUCUCUAAACAGCUAUUAUGAUGAGAGGGCUUUUGCCAUGCUAAUUGGAGUUGGAGCACUGUGUAAAAUGUUGAUAAAUCAGAACUUAAUGGUUUGCAAAUGAUAAUUAAAAUAGUCUAAAGACCACACAUUGUAUGUUGAACUCAAAAAUGCGUGAUUUAAUGAAAAAUGGUUGCUCAUUCGAUGUUUGAUGCCGGCAGUGGGUUUCAGAACAGUUUGGACAGUUGGACAGUUUUGUCAUAUGAUUGGGUAUAGAAACUGUUCUCCAGAGAGUCUCUGAGAGGUUAAGAUAGGAAAAAAGGUCACCAAUUUACAGUAUGAGGGGAAAUAGAUAAAUGUUCUUGAGAACAAAAUGACUCAAAUUUGAGGAUUUCAUCAGCAGCAAGCGAUCUCACUAAAAGAUCCAAGACAGUCUGGCUGUAGACCUCUACUGAGAGGACCCGAAGUGACUUUUUCUUGCACGCUCCUUGUUUAAAGUGGUCAUCCCGUUUUGUAUUUUGUCUUUUGUUGAACACAUAAACACACAAAAAAAUUAUACUAACAUCCACAGAUACACAUAAAAUAAAACCCCAAGAAAAAAAAAUAUUCACACGACACAAAAUGUACGUACUUCCUGGUGCAAUCACUUUUCAUUUGAAAGGCUUCGAAUCAACUUGGGAUGUACAAAAACAAACGUACUCCUGGUAUAUUUGCUUUUAUUUUGAAAGGCUUCAAACAACUUUCAGUCUGCUCAGUGGAGGUGGUCCUCUCAGUGGAGGUCUGCAGCCAGACCCCUCCCAAAAGACUCAGAGGAUGGUUAAAUUUCAAAAGGAACAGGGAACAACGCCAUAAACUGACACUGGAUGUAGAUUUUUAGGACCUCAGGCAGCACUGCAUUACAAACAGACCUAAAAACCAUUAGAUUUUGACACAGGUCACUGCAUCCAAAAAUUAUAGUCAAAUCUGUUCGUUUUGAACAGAAUGAGCAGAUUAACUGUUAGAGAGGUUUACAUCUUUGUUAUGGGAUUGAUGGUUAACAGAGUUAAACUUUUGGAUUAACUGUGCCCCUCUCUUGAGGUGAUCUGAAAGCACUCAUCAUUACUGUUGCUGAUGCUAGAUUUUCAGUGGCAUUGCUCAGUCUGUCCACCAUUGCUAAUGAUUUGGUUACAUUCAGCUAGAACACUGAAAGAAAUCACAAAUGGAGACACCAGCAUUAACCUGUUGUGAAAUUCUUCAAUAAAUAGUGACCAAAAAGCCAAAAACUAAAGUGAAGCCUGUCAUCCAGAUGUGGAAAAUAGCCAUGUGGUGUUUUGGCCAAACCACUGCCAAGUUAACAUACCUCAGAGGUAAGCUGUCACAGAUAGAGGGGCUGCAGACAAUUCAUAUUAGAUAGAGUGAGGGAGGGAGAGACAGAGAAUGAGGGUAGGAGGGUGACAGUAAUGAAGAGAUGAGUGAGUGUGUGUGUGUGAGAGGGAGAGAGAGCCAAGGGUGAUGUGCAGCCGCCUCUGGCAAGAUCUUAAUAAUGUGGAGUGUGUCAUGCACUGUAAUUUCUAAUCUUGUAUGAGUAUAUUAGUGAUAACAGGGCAAAUAAUCUGUGGAAUUGGGUGUGAUGCAUCCUGAUUUUUAACCUGCUAGGAUUCUAGAUGCAUAAAUUUAUUCAAAGACCUGCAGAAAUGAAUUUAAUCCCAGCAUAUGGUGGGAUCAGGAUUUGAAUGACUUUUUACUGAGAUCAGAUUUCUGUUGUGAUAAGUAACUCGGUUGAAUUUUUCUUUGGCUGACUGAUGUGUGGUUGCAAUUGUAUUCUUAGUUGGGAUGGGAAUUGUUAAGAAUUUAGUGACCCUGAUUCUAUCAUCGAUACUGCUUAUCGAUACGAUUCCUUAUCGAAUCUCUUAUCGAUUCUUAAUGAGUGAGAAAUAAGAUGAUACAAAUGGGUUUGUUUGCAUUAACUCUUAAAUAUUGUCCCUUUUGGAGAAAAGUUAUGGCAUAUCCAUGCACUAGUAAUUUGUUCUGUGACCUACUCUUUGACCACAAAUCUGGUCACCGCUCGGUGACAUAUGUUUAUCUUUGCCUCUGUCAUUUUACUCUUCUCUGCCUCGAUGAAAGAGGCUGCCAAAGGUGCUCGAGAGAUACCUGCUGCAGCUCCUGAGCCAGCGUAAGAGCUAGCUUCUGAGCUAGCAUGAUUCUGGCAGUCACCGUCAUCUUAAUGUAACUGAAGGAGAUGGAGUGUAUUUAUAUAGUGAACGGGGGUCAACAUAGUGCUAAUAUCUACACAACAGACAGGAUCCGGAGGAGUUCUCUGUCUCAGCAUUUAAAGCAGAUGAUGCCGAGACGUUAGCUUUGCUCCUCCUUUUGCCUGUACCAGUCUUGCCUUUGCUAAGUAGUGUAUCAAACAUGUUACACUUCCGCAAAUUAAUUGCAUUCUGGGUGGACAAAUGUUUCCACAUAUUGGAAGUAUUGUCCCCCUUCAACAACAUUAAAGCUUUGCAAGUGUUGCAAGUAACUCUGGUAUCAUCUUUUGCGCCAAACUCUAGAGUGCUUUCGCCGCAAUGCCAUGCUGGAAAGUUCUCAUGUACAAUGUUUUCACGCAUAGAGAUGUAAGAGGAACCGAUAAGCAGAAUCAUUAAGGAGGCAGACGAACAAUUCUUAGGAAUCGAAUCACUGGGAACCGGUCCUAAAAAAGAACAAGUUUGAUUCUCAUCCCUAAUUCUUAGGGACCACAUAUUAGUCCAGCAAAAACAAACAAAAAAUUUCACCAUCAUGUCUCAAUUUGUAGCUAAAAAGUCCAAGUAUCUCAAGUGUUUGAUGUGCAGAUAUCUUACAUGUGAGUAAUACCUGUGGAAGAGACAAUAUCUCCCAGAUAUCUUUAACAAUCAAACAUGUCUCUCGAUGAGUUUAAGCCGUAAAUACAUAAGAAGAACUGUGCUUUCAGAGCUUUGUCUGGCACCAACCCAGUAGCAGCAGGUACAGGCAGUAAAAAUAAAUACAGUCUCAUUUCUGAUGCUCUUCUUUGUCUUUGUAGGUCAUGUAAGAGGCAUCAGUAAUUUUAGUCUACUGUAAAACUAGUUAAAAGUCCAUCGUAGGUUCAAGGCCUCACCAAAGUAACCAUAGAUUAACAUGAUGAUGGCAGCAUCAGAAAGUCUUUAGUCAUUUGUUUUUGAACUGGGGUUGCAAAAACUCUCAACUAAUCACAAAAGCAAUUCAGCGUGGAGCUCUCAUGGUGACUUAGGAUAAGUGGCUACACGAUCCUGCCUACACAAUACAACUUGUGUUUUCUAGUGUAACAGGAACUGACAUUGUGCAAACGCAGCGAAUCCUCACACUGUCAUCAAAAGUACCCAAAAAUAUAACUUAAGAAAGAAGCUAAAGUAGUGCCACCAGACGUGUCCACCUUGACAUGUAUGGGUUGCUUGCUUUAAGUCUCUGGGGUUAGCCAGUAGACAGCAAUGGAAUACUCUCUGCAUUUUAUACUGGUAUGUUGGUCACACCAGUAGGACACAGCUCACUUUUUAGAUGAUGUUGUUAAAAGUGUGUCUUGUGCACCAGAUUUUAUGGUGAUAAACAGUACAUUGCUGACCUGGCAUUGCCAUACCAAUACACCUUGCUGAAUGGGUCUGUAGUCACACACUUCAUCAUGUCUUUCUGUGAUGCUUAAGGUCAACAAACCUUCAAGUGGUGGAAGCUGCCAUCUCAGUUGUUUACAAGUACACUAAAGUGGCACUCCUGUGUCUUCAUCCUGAAUAAAGGACUGUGAUUGAGUCGGUAUACCUGACACCGAGGAGAAAUCGCUGAGAAAGAAGGCAGUCCCAGACCCACCUGGCAGGGAAAAUGAAUUUGAACCGGCUGAUGAGUCUUGCAAAGUCGUGUUCACUGAUUCCUGAGUUGUUAUGGCAUGUAUUUGGCAUUAACAACCGAUUAAAAGGGGGAAAGUAUUAUUAUUAUUAUUUUUUUUUUAAACAAAGUUUAAGCAGUUUGUUACAGCAAGUUAAAGUGGAGAGGAUAUUGGAAAAAAAAAAAUCAAAUGUAAGAUUAGACAAAAUGAUAAAGCUGGUGUGUGCAGACUGAGGUGAAGUGCUUGUGAAAAAAUAAAUACUCCAACUGCAAUUUUGCUAAUUGAGCAAAUCAGCCUGUUUUUAUUGCUUUUUAAACUGCUCAGUCAAGCGAAAGGUGACAUUAACAAAAUGUGCAUGUUGAAGUUUGACACUGAGCAGAUCAAUACGGGUCAGUUCCUGGGUGUGAACUUAGAGUCUGGACACUCCUGAUUUCAUAAUCAUCACAAAGUAGCAGAAUGGAAGGAUGGAGAGUUGGAAAAUAGCCCCUGAGUGAACCUGACUGUACAAGUGUCUGCUCAGCAUUGGCGAGGCCAUUUAACUAGAUGGUAAAAUCAAUGCAAAUGUUAUGCAUUGUACUCCUAUCGAUAAGUCUUAUUUGCAUUUUUCAAUCCCAUGUGCAUUUGGUGUGCUAUAUUUUUUGGCUGCUUGUCAGCAGGGUUGUGGAAAAAAAGUCUUGACCUAAAUUUCAUGAAACUUGAUGGAAGACUGAAACAAGGCAGGUAACAGACAUAGAGGAAAAAGACUACAGAGGUGAAAGAGACAAGGCGCAAGGCUUUGAAGUUCUGGUGUGUGAACAAAAGAGGUGAGCCAGGAUGUGUAGUGAGUGACUGAUGAGGUAAUGAGAUGAGCAGGAAGGUUCAGGCUGGGGGAAUGAGGUGAGGGGGAAUUAUGUUGAGCUGACAAAAGUAAUUGUUGGGAGGAUUAUAGUAACAGCACGUGAGAGGGAAGGUUGGAAAACUGUUGGGAUUUCAGUCAGAGUGGGAUUUUUUAGAGACAAAGAACCUGAUUUAUAUUGGUGUAUAGACCUCAUGCUGCGGGUUACUAAAAUGAUGUUAAAAUCAAUGUCAUGAUAAAGUUGUCCCAGCUGACAGAAUCAGAGAUAUUGUGUAAAAUACUAACUUUGUAAAAGAUAACUGAUAUAUGACUAUUAAAUCACCUAUGCAAUAUGUUAAAAGUAAGACAGCACUGUCCUGGUAGGUACAGGACGAAAACAUGGUUUCUUUUACGUCUUUGUCCACAGGGGUCAUCGUAAUCAAUAUAAACUAAAAGUUCACUGAAGCAGUUCGAAUGAUAUUAAUUUUCAUAUUUAGGAAAAAGUCAUUUAUUGAAUUUAAUUAAAGCUCAUGUUAGGAUUUUUUUAAUGUUUAUGAAAUAGACUAGAAUUCAUACAUGUGUUUUUUUUUUUUUUUUACGAUUAACAAAAACAGACAAGACCACCAGCAAUAAGAUUGACAACUUUUAUGUUGUUAAGAACAGCCUUAAAUCUGUGCGAGGGCGUAGGUGUCAGUCAAGGAAACAGCCCUUUUCUACAAUUUCCACAUAAAAUAUGAACAAUAGGUGAUAUAUUUGACAUUUGAAAGCCAGCAGAAUUAGAGCUUUCUUUUGUCAGGAGACACUUCUGCAGCAUAUAGAGGACAAGAUAUGGAAAGUCUACUUUUUCUACUUGCGGCUCCAAAAUUAACACAAACCAAAAGUCCCUCACAGGAGUUUGAAGGCAUUGUGAAAAACUGUGAUGUGCAUGGAUUCUGGUUACCUCUGUAGACAAGGAUGAAGAUCAUCACUUGCUGUUACACAGAUUUUGCUCUUGUCCAUAUGUGCAUUUGUUGGUGUAAGCAGAUGAAUAGAUUACAGAUGAUCAUUUACUGCUACUUGUCUUUGUUCAAGACAGCUUUUCAAAGAGUGAUGGGGAAAUAUUUCAUUUUGUGUAAACUGUAACGCAACAAUGAUCAAACCUGUGAACUCUGAUAUAUAACAGUCUAUUAGCUUGCUGAAGAUGACUUGAUGUGCCAGUUUAUUUUCCUCAGCCUGAAUAUUACAAAUAUACAUACAGGUUUAACUUUUUUGUCCUGAAAAAAAAACAAGAAGCAUCCUUAACCCCACUAUAGUAUCAGCCAUGAGUACAAAACAUUAUGUAAAAAGAAAAUUAAUUAAAUAAAAAACUCAUCCUUCUAGCUAAUGCACUUCUUGAUCAACUCUGCCAGCAGAGUUUUAUCUUGACUCAGCUUUUCUUAAACACUGACUUUAAAAUUGGUGUGAUGAAAUAACCGAUCUAGAAAGAAAAUCAAAUUUUCCUAUGCAAGUGAUGGUGGAACGUCAUAUUAAGAGUAAGACUGUUUCAAAAUCAGGAAAGAGCUUCUUGUAGUGCCUGGAAGAAAGUUGUUUUCUCUAUGAAUUACUCAUGAAAGUAAUGCAUUUCAAGUGGAUUAACUAUUUUUAUCUUAUAUUAAACCAGUAUGUUAGUGCAGUUCUGAUUGGCACACCAGUGCAUUUAUAGAGGUACACUUGAAACUUUCAGAAACUUUACAUUUGAGCAACAAUUAAAAAAGAAAAACUUAAUCAAGAACCGCACAUGCAAAGACACUUAAAUGCUUUUCAUUAUUAUGUGCAGUUACAUGAAAAGCCUUACAACUUUCAGCUUGGUUUCUCAAAAACACCUUAAAGCUCCUAUGAGAAGUUUUUCACCUAUGAGGGUUAUGAAACAGUCUGCAAUGAACACGGAUGCAGAAUGUAAAGGAGACCAUCGGUGACAAGAUUGGUCAUUUCUAUAUGAUUAUUUUUAAUUCCUGUAACUGCUGAGAGGGGUUAGGUACGCUUAAGAAACAGACAAGACCAUGUGAGAUCAAAAUAAGGGUUACCAGUUUGUCCACACAGACAGAAAUAAGUUUCAAAGCCCCCUCCCCCCAUAAACGUUUUCUUUUUACUCUCGGACAGGAUGAAAGUUUUUCUGCUUGGUUACACAAUGUACAAAGAGACCCUUGUUGUACAGUGUAGCUACAUGUGUCUAAAGCAAAGUCCUUUAGUUUUUCUUCUUCUUCUUCCCAAACACAUCACCGGAUGAUUUUACUCUGGAGAUCUCCUCUGUGGCUGAAGAUAUUUUAAUUAGCUGCAGAAGUGUUUGGUUGGGAUGACAACCUGCAGGCGCGUCCCUCGACACCUCCUGGUUUGAGAAGCAGUGAUGUAGAACAAUGAAAGGCUACACCUCAGUGUUCAAACACACCCCCAGCUGCCAGACUGAAUCAAAGAGCAACAAUGUUCAAAGGAAGGGCACGCCCCCAGUCACACCAAUCCAUCAGCUGAUGCAACAAUGGACAUCAGGUUUACGUUGGCUAAACAUUUAUUAUUCAUAUCUCGUUCAUAAGGGAGGGAGGUGAAGACGAAAUGAACAUAAAUCUUUCCAUUUCUAACUGUCCAUUUCCCUCUCAGAGAGAAAGAAAUCCCACGUAUCUUACUCUCACACAGACUCAUACACAGAGACAAAACACACACUCACUCACUCACUCACUCACUCUCUCUCUCUCUCUCUCUCCAUGAGGCAGCCUUAGGAUCUGUCAGUAUAUUGACCUGCAGAGAAAACCCCCCUCAGGAGUUGUUCUGUCUCCCUUUUCUCUCAGAGCAGCUCAUAGCUUACUGAAGGUAAACAAGAUAAGCUGUUAUCAUCCUGUGAAUUUCUCUCACAGUGUUAAGGUAUUGCACUACAACGGAUAACCUGCCGAUGAAUUUCAGUUUUGUUUAACUUCAGCAGCAGUAAUCAAACCAUAAUGAUGUGAUUAAGAUUAAAUAUACCAGGCAGAUGUGUUGUUCCUGAUGCUUUUGAGAUCGCUCAUGUCUCAGUUCUUAUUAUGUGUUUUCGGAGCAUCUGGUCUGAAACUCAAAGGGACAGUGCUGUGUUCAUUUGUGGUUUCGUUAAUCAAAAGUUUACUCUGUUUAUAAAUCAGGCUCAUCUGCCAGUGUGAAAUAAAAAUGUCCCAAAAUUUCCCACUACUUCAGUAGAACAUGUAGUUGUGUAGCUUUAUUGUGUGCUGAAUUAUCAAAGUCCAGUUCAAUAAGAGAAGGUGACAUCAGUAACUACAAAACAUCUUGGCCAGGAUAAUUUACUUAUUUACUUGCUGACUUAAUCAAUUCAUUGACUGAUGAUUAUAUUUUUUGCGAAGUGUGAAUACAAAGGCAACAACGGGGGGCUAUUUAGUGGGCUGUCCAAAGUACAGCUUUCAGCUUCAUAAACUAAGUCCAGUGAAGUGGCAGAUUUUGAUCUGUUCCUGGGAUGCCACAGGGCUCUAUUUUAGGUCCCUCAUAUUUUUCUCUGUUGUUGCACAGAGUGAUGCAAAGCUGGUUGAUACAAUACAGUAAAAGUAACAUUUUUUCCCCCUGGCUCUUAAUUUAGUCACCCACCAGAGACUUGGUUUAUGUUUUCUACUGCAUGGUAAAUAGAAGUAUAGAGAUAAGAUGUUCUUCUUUAUCCAAGGGGAACACAAAAAUGACAAAAAUGAAAUUAAAUAUUUCUUUCAAGAAGCAUUAAUAUGCUGUUCAAGCAUCAGUAUUCAGAUCUCAAAUGUUAUCACAGUAGAGUGUGAGAAAUUAAAGGGUCCUAAAUACAGAUUGUAACCAGUGGUGUGCCACAAGGUGUCGCUGUAGGUCCCCACCUUUUUCUCUACCAUAUUAAUAUGGAAAGCAUACACAGUACCAUGGUAGCCAAACUGAAUAAAUUAUUUCUACAUCAGCGACAUAGAAUUGAAUGAUCGUUGCAUGUAUCCACAUUAUAUAUAUAUUUUUUGAUAAGAAAUAGUUCAAAAAAUUUAAAUACAUUUUUUAAGAACGGGGUUAAAGCUAAAACAAUCAACUUAAAAAAGCAAACCCUACAGCACUUGCACACACUGAUUAUUAUUUUACUGGGUUGUCUUUCUUUACAUCUCUACUCUGUAGUCUUUCUCUGGAUGUUAAAAAUGUAUUAGAUUGUUAACAGAAAUUGUAUGCUGCAUGUAUUCUGAGUAGCUGUGGAUAAAAGCAUCAAUUUUGAUGGCAUAGUUGAAAGUUGGAUCCACACUUUAAUGAUAUUGUUUUCUUUUCUAACGUGACAGUGUGAGAUUCUGGAAAUUACAGGCCAUUGAGACUCAAAGAAUAUAGAGCGCUGGUUAUGAGUAGGUUGCAAUUUUAAGAAUCCUCAUGGGUAUGAAUAACUUCCAUAUGCAUUUGGCGCUUUUCACUUUUUAGUGAAUGCAUAUCAAAAAGGAGAGGGCGAGGCAGCAGAUGGGACCAGUGGGGGGCAGCCUCUUAUAAAAUUAGAAUAACAUACAGAGGCUAUAAAGCAGUGUUUCCUUUAUGAUUAAUCUCAUGUAUCAAAGGCAUGUGUUUUACAUAAAAAUACUACACUUUCGGCCCAUGGCCACCAUCGCUCCAUGGCUGGUCAGAAACAGUUGAACUGUUUUCAAUUUAAAAAUGUAAUAUUGCAAGUCCACUUUGUCAUGUAUAUUUAUGAAAACAGGAGUAUAGUAUAACCACAAAUAUAUGCAAGUGACUACUGUGCUGUUUUCACAUCAGAUUCCAUCUGGUUUGAUUAUUGCUUUUAAUGAUUUCGUGUUUGUUUUCCUCACAUCAAAAAGAAAAAACACAGAUAAUACUUAAUUUCUCAUAUCCGUGUUCAUUAGCAGCACACAAAAAAUGUUAUCUUCCUUCAAAUGAAACUUAUAUGAAAUGGUACAAAUAAUAGAAACUCAACAUCUGCUGUUACAUAUUAAACAGUGCUUCUUAAAGUGUUAAAAGCUAAAUACCUGCUUCCGUUGUAGUGUCAUAAUAUUCAAUAUUAAAAGAACAACAACAGCAGAACAGCUGCUAAUGCCUGUCUUCACAUUAUAGUUUGCUUUUCCCACAUUUCCAGCUAAUUGCUGCUUUUGAAUCUUAAUCUGAACAUUUCAUACAGUACACUUAUUUUUGGUUUGCUAGGAACUGACCCAGAUGGUGUAAUAAAUGUUGUGUGGAAAAGAUUUUCUCUCAAUUUCUCUCAAAAACAGGUACUUGAACAUGUGUACUGUGCGCUCAUAAAUCAAUGGAAAAGAAUAAGAAGCAAAUACAAAGAAGAAGAAAUACUGAACAUUAAUACAGAUGUUGCAAAUGUAAGAAUUAGUUUGGGUGUGUAUCCACUGACAGCAUUUUAAAGCUGGCAGUGCUCUUUUUCUAUACAAAACAAAUCAAAUUGAGUGUUUUCAGUGCUUGAUGCUCUGAAUGUUAAAAUGCCCUUGGUGUCAGCUGGUUUUGUUGCUGCUCUCCCAGCAUUUAGAUAUGAAAAUAGUUUGGGAAUACUGUUAGGCACUCUUCUCUCACUAGUCGACGGGAAUCAGGACAGAUCUGGAAUCCUUUGUUUCAUUAGCUUUGUUUGGAGGACAUGGUUUUUAGAUCUAGAGCUGAUGUGUUUAACGGACAUAGACCCUUAAGUGCACUGAUACUCUUUCUGUAUUUAUUGUGAUUAGAUUAGAACAAUUUACUGCCCAGAAUCUCUGUUAAGCAGUCAAUGUGAGAAGUCCCAGCAUUCAGCUGUUUAUUCCAUGCCCAAACAACAGAAUAAAUCUACUUAUACAGUAUCUCACAAGGCAGCAGCAGCAUACAAAAUAGACAGCAUUGAUUUAUCACUCUCAUUAUGUUGUGUUAGCCACACUGAAACAAUGACAAAAGAGCCAAACGAGAGAGAGCGAGACAAGCCUACAAGGAAAGUUUAACAAGUGAUGUAUCAUUAAUCUCAACCUGCUCCCCACAUCUAAGAGCCCUGUUUCCUGUCGACACAUGCCACUCUUUAAUCUGGGUGGAUCAAAUUAAAGGCAGAGCUCGUCUUAUCGUGGUUAGUGCCACCCCUAAAUCCUAACCGCAGUCGGCGUCACUUCCACUACAGAGAAGGGUGUGAACUGGUCAUCCAGGCGUCUUCACAGCAUGUGCUUUGCAGAUUUUUAUUCUCAUUACAUGCAAGUAAAACAACCCCAACUGCAACUGGCUUUAAGUGUUACAGUCCUCAUCAAAGUCUCACCCACUGACCCUACAUUCAAUGCAGCAAUAGAAGAAUUUACUGUGCCUGAGGUUGCACUCAGAGACUCAGUGAUCUAACGUUACAGAUGAGAAGUUGAUUUUUUUUUCCACUAAAUAUUUUGGUCAGUGGUCAGGCAAGUCACUGAAAACUGGCAAGGAGUUAAAAUGACUAUUUACUGCUUCCAGAAAGUGACUAACUAAUUACCGCCUUGGUUGCUGCAUUAUAAAAGUGAACAUAAAAUGAGAAAAAGUAACUUUUGCGUAACUUCUUUUUGCUUAAAUCUUCCAGUUACUGUACCCUGUCUCUCAUUUUACUGUUGUUACGCUAAUUAGCCCUCAGAGAGCUGCUGAUAUUUUAAGCAUGUCUUCAAUAACAUACCUUGAUAUUAGUCUGUUAGGCCCUCUGGCUGAUAGAUUGUGAAGCUGGUGGCUCUUUAAAAUCGACUCUUGGCUGUAGGUUUGCUCAGUCAGGUGGUUUAUGAAAUAAGAAUAGCUAAUGUUGGUAAUAGACACAGUUAACUUAUCCUUUACCUUGAGGAGGGAAACUAAGGCUGGUGUUUUCAAGAUAAAUAUUGCAGCUUUAAAGUCCCACUCAGUGUUCUCAGUGGUCUUUAGAUCAAGUUUAUGGAGGUUUUAGUCAAAAUCGUGUUAUCUGUGUCAUUUUCAAGGGCUUUUCUUCUGCAGAGCUCCAGUAGCUCGUUAUCAAUUCGUCUCUGAGUCGUGGGCGGAGACAGCGCUGCUCUUCACACUUGUCUUCAUGUUAGCUUGCAGCCUAACAUUGCUGAUGUAGAGGAAGUGGCAGGUAACAUAGGAGCUAUACAGCUCUCGGACACUAUUGUCAUCAUCAUAUAAUAAUUAGCUUUCUUUCUUAUGAGCAUUGCAAUCCGCGAAUGCACGUGUUUGUUCCGCAAUCGUCCUCUGUAUUUCUCCGCUGUAUGCAGAGUGUGGCCUGCAUAGCGGGGCUCCAGGGGCAAGGCUUGGAUUAGUUACGUAUGACAUCUCACUGUUUCUGAACCUGCCUUUUGAGUCUGCCAGAGAUCCACCGCAAUUUGAAUAAAUAAAGACUCAGACAAGCAAUUUUGCAUUAAGUUUUCUCAUAUGUCCUGUAGCAUCAGAAAAAUGCCAUAUGAACAUAUAAAAACAAGAAAAACAUGAUUUUCAUUGAAGCGGGUCUUUAAUGUGACGUCAAGUGACGGCUGUAACACAGGGGGCGCCAAAUUUGUCACAAACAUAAAGUUCCUCUCAAAGAUAAAAUUUCUCCAAACAAAGAUAUGUUUGAUAAAUCACAAGCUCAUUUUAGACCAUAAUUUUGGUUUAUUGUGCUUUCUAACAUUUACUCCUUGAGCCAACACUUUGUUUGAAAGCACACUGAUUUUCAACCAUGUGCUUUGACAUUGCAACAAGCCUACUUUGUGUAUUUUUCCCCUGUUGUGCAUCUCCUAAGAGUUGUUCCUUCUUGUGAAUGUAAAACAAUGAGCUCACAGUCCUUUAAGGUAACUUUUUAUCAUUGUUAUAAAUACCACAGCCUCAAGUCAACCUGCCAUAACUUUUGUAGAGACAAUUAAAAAUAUAAACCGAACAGUGCAGACUGAAAAACACUUGAUUAGAGAAUUGUUUGCUUAACUUCUUAUGCUGAAGUUUUAUUCUAACAAGUAAAACAGAGGGACAUGUGGGAAGAAUAAUGAUACAUAAUCCUAAAGUCUAACACCUGAAUGCAUCUAAUGAGACCCUCACUGCUGCUGCAGCUGUGUGCUAAAGAUCAUUUCACACCCUGUCUCAUCAGGGCUGUAUUGUCAGCCGGCUCCUUCCUUAUCUCUGUACUCGAUCCACAUCUGCCAGCCUGAAGAUAAGAAAUGUCAUUUUCAGCCUAUUAGAGCUCUGACAUUACCUGUCUGAUGUGAGUGGCUCACUGACCGGACAUUACCUCACUGCUGUAUUUUCAGUGAAUACCCGUCAUUAAGGUCUUAUUUUACAGUCUCAGUUUGUGGUGUGUUUUUGCAUUAAGGCUUUCAUUUUUUAAGGAAGCAAAACUUUUGUAUCUGCACUGAUUAGUUCUUUAAUACAAGACCAUCUGUAAGUAUCAAAGACAUUCAUUAAAUAGACAUCAGAUCUGUCAAGAUGAAAUCCAAUCUUAUUAUACUCUACAACUGAAAAGAUAAAACUAGGGUGAAAAUUGAGCGAAUACCUUAGUACAUAUGAGCUCUCCUCUUUCUUCAUUUAUCAUUAGUGCUUCAUUAUUAAAGGUUAAAUAGUAAAACCUCCCUCCUUACAUUUAACUGACUGAUCCAGGCUAGAAAUAUUUUUUUUCUUUUUAAAGUCAUUAAGUAGACUCGUACUAACAGAUCGAUGAUGAGGAAUCAUUAUGGAUGAUGUUAUUUUUCCAUUCUGAAGCUUUUCACUGGACAUAAAGAUAAUUAAGUGAGCAAAACUAACGGAGCCUUAAAAGUCCAGCAGCCCUGAGAUCAAUAUGUGAUCAAUGCUUUGCUACAGUAGAAGCUCGUAGUUUAAUGGCACUUGAUGUGGUGGAUAGUUUAUGACUUUAUGAUGAGUUGAGUUCCCACAGUGUUAUCAUCACAGCAGUAUGCCACCCAUCUUUUAAUAAAAUAUAUAAUAUUCUGUAUAACAUAAAUCUAGCAGCAAGUGUCACUCAAAAUUAAAAGCUGUCCGUAAAACAGAAUAAGAUUCCAUUCUCGGUUUUGAAAACCUGAAUAUUCUUUUUCGUCUUCUUCUUUUUUGCCUUUUUGAAAUACUCAGAGUAAGAGAGCACUUUAAUGCCAAAAUAGAGAUGUUAGGCUUUUUAAUCUAAAAAAACAUCAGUUUACAUCAGGCUAACCCCUACUCCUCUGCACGGGUUUCAGCCAUCAAAAUACAAAUUUAAAGGGAUAUUCUGCCAUAAAAUUAAGGUAACCGACUGCAGGGGGGGGGGGGGGGGGUGACGCAGCUCAAGGAAGAACAUGAUCAUUUCUUCACAAGACACUAAGGCAGAAGAACUACCAUGUCUGCAGUGCAAAAUGAUUAAUAUGAUGAUUAUUACUUCAUUGAAAUGAUAAAGUAAUGAUCAAAAAUGCUCUUCUUUGAGCUGCGUCCCCCCGCUGCAGUUGGUGAUGGACUUGUCUGAGGUCUCCAUACAAACAAGCUGCUGCUGGAGGAGAGAGGGUGAGUUGUAUUUAGUCUCUUUGCUAAAGAAAUUAGGCAAAGCUAAAAAGAGGUUUGGUGGCUAGUGCUGUGGAUAGGACCCUCUAUGUACUGUUGUUGAAGUUAGGUGCUGUUCUGAGCAUUAUUUGUGGCUGUAGAGUGGCUUUUUGGUUGAGGUUUGUUUAUGGCUCCUGAGACCGCUGUGUAUUGCUAUCGUGUGGUUGUUACUAAAGUUGGUUUAACUAGAGAAGUAAGCGGUCGGCAACACUCAUCUCUCGACAGGGUGUCUUAACUCAGUGUUACGGUGUGUUUGACCUUAGCUUAAUUUUAUGCUGCAAUAUAACUUUAAGGGUGAACAAUCAAGUAACUAAUGGCUGUGUUUGCUUUUAAAAGGGCAUCCGGAUGAAUCUCAGUCAAUUUCAAAAAACUCCUCACAAGAGCUUUAAAGUAUGACUCACGGGAAAUUCUCUCUUUUGCACAGAUUCUUAUUACUGCUUACUUUAACAUGGUAUAUUAGGGGAAAGGAAAUGGGGUUGACAUGCAGUAAAAAGGCCUAAAAGCUGGAGUCAAACAGAGACCACAGCUAAAAGGGUUCAGCCUCUGUGUCUGGGCUGUGCUCUUCCUUGCCUCCUCAAACUGCCUCAUUCAUGUGGGGUCGACAUAAACUUUCACCAUAAGGCAGUGAUGGAGGAAAACUCAUGGUCUUAUCAAAGCUAGCUUGCAGCAGUCAUUGUUUUGGGAAAUGUAGAAAAAGGAACUCACUGAAUCCCACCAAACAGUGGAUGAAGUACAUUACCCUGCACUAAAGGGAUGAACAGACUGAUUCACGCUGCCCAUGGCUCUGUUGAGAGAUGUCUGAUCAGUCGUCUGCAGCUGAAAUACUGCUGUGGUCUUUGCUUUUUUGUUUUUGUUUCUGUCCAUUUGACAAACACACGUUAUAGCCAAAAUGAGAGACAAUUUCCACCCUGUGCUCUGAAUUGGCUUAUCACAAAGAUGCAGUGCACCAUUGAAAAGAAUUACAAAAACCAGGAAGGGUGAUUGGACAGCCUGAGGUAUAAAUGUUCUGGCACAUGGGUCUCUUUCCUCAUGGUCAACAUUACAAUAAAAAACCCUCACUUUUCUCAGGUUCACAAGUUCAAACUGAAGAUUAGAGUGUGGGUUUGAUCACAGAGCCAAAAAAUUAAUUGCACAGCUGCAGGCUACAGGACAAAGUGUCUGUUCAAAUCUAAAUGCCAUUCUCUCUCAGACUUUUCUCUCGUCUUUUUAGUCGUGGCUAAAACAAAAGGUGCAGAACAAUAAACCCAAGUACGGCCUUUCAGAGGUGUUAUGAGUAAAACAGAUAUGAGGUAGAGAGCAGAGAGGCAGUAAUUGCUUUCGGGCUGUUAUUGAGGAUUAAAUUAACACAGGUAAAAACGGCAUGGCUGCUGCAGUUGGACUGCCUAAAUGUUCCAUCCUUGCUGCAUGCUCAACUGCAUUAGACGCAUGAUCUAAUGUACAGUCAUUAACGGCACAUUAGUGACGGGGAAGCAGAAACUCUGAAUGGUGUCAAGUGUCUCUUUUUUGUUUGCUAACUGAGCUGUGUGAGUGCCGACUGUCCCCUCGUCUCAUAUAAGACUUUUGUCUUUGACAAAGAGCGAAGUGAGGUUUUAUGCUGCAACUGUACGUGCAUGAUUGGCCUUUAAAAGGCGGCAGAGGGGGAUCCCAUCCCCCAGUUGGACUUAAUGAAUCAUGGAGAGACUACCUAUAUGCAUGGUAAUUAGGACACUUGGUCAAGUCGUUUUAUGGUGAGCUGGUAAUUACCAUCUGGGACAUAAAACGCUCAGCAAAGAGCACAAUCAACCAGCGUAUGCUUGGUUUUACGACUACGAAAAAACAUUAAAGUCAGAUCCUUCCAAGAUGGAGUUACUUAAAUUUAUCAGCCAAAGUAUGAUUCUGAAAAAAAAAAUCAAAGUGUUUGAUGAGAAAUGACAUUAAAGGGAAUAAGCGCUAUGUGUCAUCUGUGGCCUUAUUAAGAUGAAUUUCUACCCUUGUCAAGAAAAACACCCACACAAUCUGUCUGCUCACAAAGACCACCAAGUGGGCAGUAACAGACUAUGGCUGUUGGACACCCUGCGUGGUAUGUGGCACCCAGAAAAGAGAUAGGGAGGUGGAAUAUCUCAGACUUCAAUCAUAAAAUAUCAACCCACUUCAAAUAAAUCACAGGCUUCUGUCUACAAGAGCUAAUAAUCAUUGAAAUUCAUGGGAUUUUUAUGCAAAUAGAACAUUGCCCUGCUGUAUUACUUACUGCUCCUCAUAGGUUUUAUACUUUCCUACCUGGCUCCUUUUUUUUUUUUCUUUUUAGUUUUUAUGCCAAAGUCAGGGCUGUGAUCAGAAUUUUUCUCCUAGUACACACGCAAGAACAUACUUAUACUUUGAUGCAAAAAGUUGCAUUGAGAUUUUACAUUACCAUUUAAUCAACAUGACUUUACUGUCUUUUGUUUGCAUCUAUGAACAUGCAUAAGGUUUAUGUAUCGCAUGCUCUUCAAGCUGCAUUAGAGGAAUCAGGAGACAAUGAAAAUGUAAUAAACACAUAGAGAUACCAAACAUUACAAACAAACUUUAGCAAAAAGCAGUUGCAGUUUACACUUCUAGCAGAAAUAAAGCAAUAUAAGCAACCAUUUGGAGUUGUUUUGUGUCUAUAUGAUGAAUGUUAGUCCAGAAUUCACUCACUUGUGGCAGUGGCAGAUAAUGAGCUGUAAUAUACUUUUAAAACCCCAGCAAGGCAGUGUUUUGAAUGGCUACCCCAUAAUGAAACUUCAGUUUUCACAGAUAUUGAGCCAUAUGGUGAAAUUUGGAGAUAAUCUUUGUAUUUGGUUUAGUGAAUAGUUCUUUUUAUGGUUUAAAAAUGAUGCAGUUUGCAGCAGUCAUCUGUUUGUCUUGCAUUUAGGCAAACUGCUGAGUAAAACUUCAAAAUCCUCAGUAGCUGUUGUGUCUUUUAAAUGCCCUGCUAUUACAAUAUUAUCAUAAUGGUGGCUGUGCAACAUUUAAAAGUUUGCUGUUUAACCUGUCUCACUUUGAUCAAUAUCUGUCUUUCAUAGGCCUGGGUAAGGUGACAUGAUUUCUGUCUAUGUAAUGUUAACCCAGUUAGGGUUGUGCUUUCUGUUGAAUGUGGAUCCACUUACAGCUAAGCUCUGAUAAAUAGCUUUUAAUGUCAUUGAUUGAAAACCUAUCAUUAUGAUCAGCUGGUGUCUGUGUGCACAGAAUGCAACAUUAAACCAAGUCACUUCUUUUUCAGUAGUUAACCUGUGGUAAUUUAGACUGAAUGUUAAUGAUGUCAAAUCAUCUUUAACACAGAAAUAUGUGAUUUAUUGGAUAAUUCUGCUGCUGCAAUGUUUUCAAAGGAGGGCAGAAAAUAGCUGUAAUUACUGCUUCAAUUACUCUCACUGCAGUGCUGGUUUGAAAUCGUAAUGAGUUUUGAAAAGUUUUAAAAAUCUGUAAAUAUUUACUUAAUGCCCUCUUGAAAUUCAUGGUGUGAUUGACCUUAAGGGCCACCAUAGAAACUGGUUAUUAUGAGAGGAAACUCUGUGACAAUAUUCCUUUAAGAUAAGUUCCAUCUGCUGAUUGGCAAAAGAAAGUAAAAAUGUAAUUUCUGCAACAAUAUUCGGCUGGUUUGGGCCUUUUGUUUGACAUUAUAUCUCUGCGUUGCAACCAAACAAUGACGAGACUUGAAGCUGAGCAACUUUCUGUUUGUGUAAAGUUUGGUGCCCCCUACAGAUAAGGCAGUCGUUUCUCAUCUUGUCCUCUGCGUGCGCAAGUCGUGUUUCUUGAAAAUCAAUCUCAUCCAGUUGACUUUUGAAAGCCAAAUGUAUCAUAUCAUCAUGAAUAUUUAAUAUUCAAGAUAUUAAAAGAAAAAUCACUUUUUCUUUGGUUGCUUGGCUGACACCUAGCCCCUUCCAGGCAUUCAAAAUAACAGUAUACAAAUCAGCAUUCUUGUCACAGGUGGGUUUGUUCAUUACAAAAAGGCACCAAUAUGAAUUUCAAUCUAUUUCAUAAAUGUCGUAUUAACUCUUCAUGAGAACUUAAAGUGAUAAACUGCCAAGUUUCAACAUAUGGUUUAGACUGGACUUAGCACAGUCCCUUAAUACAAAACUUACACAUUGCUUCCAUAACAAGCCACAGGUUCACAUGAUUGGGGCGGCAGUAGCUCAGCAGGUAGAGUGGUUGUCCAAUAACUGGAGGGUUGGUGGUUCGACUCCCCCCCUAUCCCUAGUCUGUCCGUUGAGUCCUUGGGCACGACACUUAACCCAUCUUGCUCCCAGUGUGUGUCCUCCGCUGGUGUAUAAAUGUGAGUGUUGUGUGAUGUUGGUCGGAGAGGCCGUAGGCACAAACUGGCCGCCACGCUUCCAUUAGUUUGCCCCCAGGGCAGCUGUGUUUACUAAGGUAGUUUACCACCACCAAGGUGUGACUGUGUGAGUGAAUGAAUGAUGUAUCCAAUGUAAAGCGCUUUAAAGGUCUCUGAUAGAGCACUAUAUAAAAUCUGAUGCAUUAUUAUUAUGAUAUUUUUGUACACUGAAUUGCCUCAGAUAACUUUGACCAGGGGUAAUGUAAGGAAAGAGGCCCCAUUUACAAAAGCUAGUCCUCAAAGCAGCCAAUCAGAGAGAUAAGAUGUAUCAUUUUGUUGCUGGGGUGUCCCACUAAUUUUAAAAUCAUUCGAUUUCAGUUGUCAAAUUCAUGACAACUGCAGUUUGAUCAAAGCAUGAUGUACUGUAUUAUUGCUUCACUAAUGUCUAAACUUAGAUCAAAUAUCCAGCAGAGCCGAUGGAGAUAAUUAUCCGGUCUAUACAUCACUUAAGUGUUUUCGCUUCUCUGUGCUCCACACUCAAGCUGACUGGACCAAGACUUUGAAGCAGACACCCAACAGAUGGCCGAGAAACAGAGAGAUGGAUGCAUUGCAUGUACUGUAGCUCAUGGUAGAGGAUGAGGGAACAGCUGUGGUGCCGGGAAAAGAAGGAAGCAGAGGUAGUGAGAUUAAGACAAGUCCAAAUGGGUCAUGACAUAAGCUCCUCAAGAUGGGGGUGAGAUGGAAGGAUUAUCCAACAAGAUGAGACCAGCUAAUCAAAGGAACAGUCUGGAGACUUCAUGGGAGGAAUUUUAACAGAGUGUAAAUUCAGAGGGAGGAUAGACACUUAUCCUUCAUGGUAGUAAGAUCGUUUUUCUGUCUUGCGGUAACAUUUUAUAGAAGCACAAUUAAAGGUGAUGUGACUGACUUGAACAGAUGACAUGGUUUUAAAAUGACAAACAGGAGCAGAACAUUAAAAAACAGAUCACACUGAGAACUUUUUGUAACCAAUUUCUAGAGCCCACACCAUCUGAGGAGUACAGAGCUGGUGGUGUGAUUCAAGGUACAUUCGAAAGGAGUUCCAGCUUUACUUUCCAUCAGCUUUAUUUGGCUUGAUGCCUCCAUAGGCCGUGAAGCAAUCACUGCCAUCUAAAAGUAAAAGCUUUUGUUGUAUGAAAACACAUUUUUCUCGCACUCUCAGGGAUGAAUAUUUGAAAAAGGGAAAAAUAAACAUGUGUGGGUCUAGAUGUUUUUUUUUUUUCAACUCAACAUCACAAUAAAAACAACAGUCUAAACGUGAGAUCAGGAGAUACGUGGUGAAAGGUGAAAAAUCACACACUUUGUUAGGGAUAAUGUAUAGUGUGUGGGUGGUUUUUCUAAAUAAAAUCUUGACACAAAGUGGAAGGGUCCAUCCAGAGGGGAUUGUAAUUACCAUAGCCACCCACUACAUAUUAUCAUGCCUGUUACCCAGAGACAGAAACAAGCUGUCAGUAGGUAUUAAUUUAAAGAUGGUUAUACUCAUUUAAAGUGGUAUAUUUUUUACAGCUAUAACAAACAGUCCCUCAGAUUAAUCUGUCAGCAGCAUCUCCAUGACAACAAUAUUCCCAUUAGCCUGCUUCAAUCAAAACUAAACUCGACAUUUUCUUUCACAUUAUAGUCUGCUUAAUUGUUCAACAUCACAUUAAACUUAACAUUGUGUGUCCUAAUGUGAUAGGGAAGGAUCUACCUCCAUGUCCUGUUUUUAUUUUAAACCUUGAAGUUAAUGCAGGUUCAACUUCAACAGGUUCAGAAGUUUGAAUCAAUCCUGCUUGUAUUAAUACCAGUGUGCCUUUGUAUUUGAACAUUAAAUCCCACAACAGCAUUAACUCAUCGGUGUCCAGAGAGUGAUUUUUCUUGACAUUGCAGAGACAGAAUAGUCACCAUGUGUACACAAACAGCUGUAGGUGUCACAGUCUAGUUGAUCAUCCAAUGUAACUCAUCUGAUUUUCCUAAAGUUGUAUGAUAAUCGUCUUCAUCCACAACCCCACACUUCUUGUGUUUGUGUUUUGCCCCCCUCUUAAAGCAGAAAAUUGGGUGCUAAUAUCAGUGUAAGUAGGCCAAAGGUUGAGUUGAGCAUAACCCUCCCUUGCCACUUAAUGAUUUGCACUCUGAAGAACUUAAAGAAAUCUCAACACCCUGAGAGACUGAAUGAUUGUAGCGAGUUAUAAAACCAGUCUAUUCGGCUUCAGUUUCUAGUAAGCGUAGCUCUAAUUAUGUUCUCCUCUGCCGUAGAGUGUCUCAUUAAAAUGUUGUACAAGCCGUGUGAUUUUCAUAACAGCAUCUGCAGAUUGACCUCAUUCGUCUUUAUGAAUUGAAGACUUGGUUGCCGUGCCUGUUCUUCUUUAAUGACAGACAAUACUUCACACUACUUCAAUCUGUAACGUUAUUGUCAUUGCACUUCACAAUAUAACGAAACAUUGUUUGGCAGUAGUCCUUUUGUAGCAGCUUGUAGCACCCUUCUAAAAGUAGACUUUUAGAAUAACAUCCAAAGAUUAUCACCAUGACUGUUUCGGUUUAGUUUUUGAGCAGACGCAGUUCUUUUUAAUAUUUUGAUUUUUUUGUUGUGGUACCUUUUUUUUCUUUUAGUAACUUAUUGAAACUUGUUCUUUGAACCCUCAGUACAGCAAGAUGCAUUAAGGCUUGAUAUUGGCACUUGGCCUCAGUCUGUCACCUAUCAUGAAGAAAACACCUAUUGAUAUAAUAUUUGCUUUAAUAUUUGAAAUACCAGCAACUCAUUGACGAGCCAAUUUCCCACAUGCACUCCUCAAAAUUCAGAGAAAUUUGCUCUGCCAAGUUUUCCCAGUGAUAGAUGAAGCAAUAAGGACCUCUGCCUCCAUGACUGUUUUUGCUCUAUGUGAACUCUAUGUUUAAAGAGACAGAUAGUUGGACACCUCUGCUGGUCAACUUUGAAUUGCUUUAUAGGAUGGUUGCAGGAUGGGGAAUAUUAUCAAACUUACCUACUGGCUGUGAAUGUUCCCAAUCAUUUUAUUGUCUCUUCUAUAGUCUCACAUCAGUUCUUCCUGAUUUCACAUGGGAAUUUUUCUCAGUGUUGGGAGGUUUACGUCCAUGUUAAGUCUGGGUAAAAAUUAAUCAGCUAUCUGAGUUCACACAUGCAGCCUGCACUGGCAUUUUUGGGGAAGGUUUCUAAAGUUGCAUACAUAUGUGAAUACACUUAAUUUUUGAACAGGAAUUUUAUUAGCAAUUGGUCUGUUUGUUAAAAUGAUCUUACAGCUUUGAUUGCCAAUGUAUUUUUGGCAGUUUGUUUCUGUGAAUUUGAUCUUGAAUCUUAUUUCUCAGUUGCUAUCCAAGAAACUGCAGUGUUAAAAAAUAAUUCACCAGCUCUCUUCAGAUUGUAUGGCUGAUUUCUUGCAGAGCUGCAGGGAUGAAUGUUAUGGCAACCACCUGCAAUACAGCUUGCGAAAAAUGUAAAUCCUUCAAGAAACUGAUGUACGUUUUGACGCCUGAUUAUUCUUUUAUCCAUGCUUUCAAUGCUUCCUCUGAGUUCACUCUUAAUAAUUUAUGCUACAUUGCAUUUCAGCCAUCACAGUUUUUCCUCAUCCAUGUAUGAGCCCCUCUGUCUGCUCAGAUUUGUUGCAGCACCUUGCACGGAUAAGGCCUGUAAAUGGGAUGCGAGCCAUUCACGAGCCAUUUGAAGUGAUCUACAUUCAAGCUUUCAUGGUCUCCCCUGUCAGGCUGACGCUGCCUGUGCUCAGCUCUGCACAUCAGACCAGUAAAAGGAAAUUACAUCAUUUUGGAAAUAUGCAAGAGCCUCUGAUGAAGGAUUUCCAAGAGAAGGGGAUUAUCCUCUUACGCUCUAUUUGAGUCUCUGGAGGAGGCACAGCGUAUCGACCCGCGUUAUAACACACACAUUUUGUCUCUUUCAUUCAUACAAUACUCAAUUUUUAAAUUUCUUAUAGAAAAUAUAUUUCAAAAGACACCUGUAGACCAGCCUGAGGCUGCAUAAAUGGAAAGUCAAUACUACACCACUAGUCAUGCCUUCAGAGCCACAAAAUGAUUAAUGUGGUUCAUAUUGUGUUAAAAGUUUAUAGCUUAAUUCCCACUGUUUCAUUGAUCUUAAAAGACAAAGAUGUGUGUAUGGAAGAUUUUUCUUUUUGAUUGUUGUGAAGCUCUUAAAGUGAGACCAUUCUGACCAAACACUCAACAUUAUUAUUAUUAUUUUUUUUGACAUGGUGCACUUUUUGGAAAUAUCCUGAACAAGCUUUUUAACAGAAACUUAGAUGUUAUUUUGUAAUUGUUCAAUCCCAAAGGAACUCAUUAGAGGGCUAUAGUAACCAUGAAUGCAGAGCCAGGUCAUAUUUUGCUACCCUACCGCCUCCCCUUGAAACAUGGGCUUUAUAUAAAUUGCAAGUUGUCGAUGGAAGUACUUGUGUGGCAAACAUGAGAACAGUGUUUGUAGUUAGCUUCCUCAUAGCUAUGUUAGCUCUCUGAUGCCCACAGACCUUUUGACACACUAAUGUGUCAGAAACACAAUAGCAGAGUACACACAGCUGGCAUUAGACCUGUUUCACUGUCAUGCUCAGGCUACUGUUUACAUGCUACAGCAGGCAGCAUCUGCUUUGAAGAGCCAGCCUCUUUGCAACAUGUCAAGCUGAGCAGUUGAGGUCAAAGAAUCAGAAUGAGCAAGUUCUAUUUUGUUUUUGAUGAAUGAUCCAGUAAUUUUGGCCAGUAUCAAAUCAGUAAAAGUGAGUGUAGGAUUGGUGCAUUUUUAGCUGACAUACCUUUAAAUGGACACCAUAAGCAGUAGUGAUAACAGCGAAAAGUUGUAAAACUUUCCCGCAUCAAGUUAUUUUUUUAGUGAUCAGCAACUAAUCUCAGCCACGUACUAUCUAAUAAAACCUUUGCCUCCCUAUGAAGUGUGUCAAAAUCCAAUCAGCAUUUGGUUUCAUGUUCUGUAUUUAUAAUAACUGAAGAUAUAAAUUAAAACUGUUGUCCCCUGUGGUAGAACGAGUCAUCCAGCUACAGUUGACUCACACUGUCCUUGAAUUCUUACAUUGAUUAUUGGUUUGCUUCAUUGUUGAUGUUCAUCCAUCUAUACAUCCAUUGAUACAUAUUUCAUCCAUCCAUCUAUCCAUGCACAUUUCAUCCAUCCAUCCAUUUGAAACACUUUGGGACCUUACUUUAGUAGAUUGAGGAAAUGUGUGUUUCCUUUUGUCCCUCUUACCUUGUUAAAAAUAAGAUUUCCUCUCACAUUAUAUCCUUUACUCACUGUGUUCUGCACUACUAGGCUGUUGUUUCUCUUGCCAGUGAUGAAAAUCAUACAUCAGUUCAGGAACACGUGCACAAACACUCUCACACAAAGACAUACAUUCUUCAGAGGCCCAAACCAUCUGUUAUUGUUCCUGAACACCUGUGUUGGUGACCACCUGUGUUGAAAACAUCCUUGUUGGACUAGUUUCAUAUUAAGUCUGUAAUUGGCUGUGCCCUUUGUAAAAUCUGGUGCAAUUUGGAUCUCUUCCCUUCACAUCUGGGAGGUGCUUAAUGAGUUUCUGACUCGAAACAACAGCAGGCUCUGUUAUUAUGAGCUUUGUCUUAAUAUCCUCUGAAAACCCACAUUUUUGACUUUGCAGCUUUGGUGCAUUUAGCCAAGGUGACAGGUUUGUAAGAAUUGUACUAUAAAUAAUCCAUGAUCAAGUGGAGUAAAUUAAGAAAUGGUAACUCACAGUCAGAUUCCUGCAAUAGCAGAUAUUUUGAGUGUGGAGUGCUUCUACUGGUAUCCUAUUAAUACAGGUGCAAUUAUAAAUCAGGCUAUUGCAUAAAAUAUUUUUGGUUAAGGCCUAAAAAUCUUUUUUUUUUUUCAAUAAAAGCUACAAUAUGUAGGUUAUAUGACCUGAUGAAGGUUGCCAGAGUUUAAGAUCAAAACUGUGGCGGCUGGGCAGUAGUGAGUGUAGGGCCCCAUCCCUACAUGUACAAUAGAAACUAUUAUUAAAUGAUAUAUUUUAGAAUUAAUUCAGAUUGAAGUUAGGAUUAAAAAUGUGGUUAAUAUUUCAACCAACUGAGUACAAUUGAUAAGCUGCAGUUGAAAUAUAGAUUCGAUUUCUGCGUGUCUAAAUUUACUGAUCAGUCACAUGUUUACGGCCCAGGGCAAUCUUUGAUGAUUGCACCCUAGACCAAAAGAAUGUGACUGAGUAGUUGUUCUGUGACUGCAACCUCACAACUGCACUGUACUGUACUGUAUAAUCUGCAGGCUGAAUCUAUUUGUGUAAGACCUCAGUAUUACACCGAAGCAGUAAAUUACACAAGCACUCCACAUACUGUUAAAGACAAACAACAUACAUCAGUUUAUGAUUUCGCUGCUUCAUUGAACAAAUGAACAAAACACCAGACCAGGGGCAAGGUGGGUUAUGGAAGAAAUGUAGGCUUCUGAAGCAAAAAGUAAAGCCUAAGUUACAUUUUCAAGAGACUGAAUUUCCUUUAGAAUGCAGUUGCUCAGUAAUUCAGUCACCUUUGAAAGGAGGCUGGAGUCACUGAGAGUCAAGUUGCUGAAAAUAAUGUUCUUUGAGAGAAGGUCUUUAGGCUGAGAGUUAAAUGGUUUGGACCUGGUAUGCUGUAUGUUAAAAUCAAACUUUUUAAAAACUUUAGAUACUUCCAAGAAUAAGCUUUGAAAAAGAGGGUCUAUGUGGAAAUGUCAACUCAACUUAGCAAAUGCAUGUGAAUGCCUUAAAUUCAAAUGAUCUAGUACAUAGCUUCAAUAUCUGUUGUUGCACCUUGUACAUGAUAUGUCUCUUUAGAAUUGUGUUUUAGCCAAACCUGGAGAAAACCUGGAUUAAAAUAUUACUCAACAAUAUUUUUUAUAUCAUUCUACCACUUGACUAAUAAUGGAAUAUACUGGAGUUUCACGACUUUGUUGACUGUGUGUAUUUAAAACAGGAUAAAUACUUACAGCACUCAGUUUUUUGACUGGGCCUCUCAAGAACACAAUGAGUUGGUAUUUUGGAAAAAUCACAACUUAAAACAGAAACACUAAAAGGGGAAACAACAAAAAAUAAUACUCUGGAGUCUUUAGCCCAGUCAGGAUUAAGGUUAAAUGAAUUUAAUUUCAUUUUGGAUGAUGUUUAUGGGUAUUUUAGUAUUUAGAGCUCUGGUUCAUGCCAAACUACUGAAAAAUGCACUGGAUUUCCCAGCCACAGAGUUCAAAUAAUUAAUCCCAUGGGUUUAAAAUAGACCUGAACUGGGUUCUACUCUAAGGAACAAUGAGUUCACUGGUUUCAGGCAUAAAAAGUCUAUAUAAAAAUGAUCAAUCUUGCUGCUGAUGAACUUGUUUGCUUUAGAAUACCAUGGAAAUGCAUCAAUAUGAGUUUCAGUUUAGUUCAUAAAUGCCAAAAAAUACCUCAUGGGAGCUUCAAUAUUUUUAGCACGGAUGAAAAUAUAUAGACUCAUUAUUAUUUCUACUGUCAGUCAUAGAUGAAGAAAGGGCAACAUGAACUCAAACAACUGAAGACUAGCUGCAGUGAAUGUGUUGAUUACAGAAUUAUACACCUUAUUAUAGCCCACACAAACUGAAAAAGCUGAGGUUGGAGCUUUUGUAUGAAGUGUAAAACUGUAUAUAUUAAUAGUCAGUUGAGUCCACACUAUUAUUUAAGAUUACAUAUAAUAUAAAAGUGUGUGCACAUGUGUAUUCAGCCUGCAAAGGAUUUAAAUAAUAACCACAUAAAAGACAAAUGACAGAUAAUGCAAAUCAACAGCAUCAACAACACUGCCAGUGCUUGAAAGACUCGAUUAAUAUAAAAAGUGCAGAGUUUUUCCAACAGGACAGAAAUCUGAAGGGAAAAAAAUCUGGGUAAUCCAAAGGCAAAAGAAAUAAUCUCAUUUUUUAGUUGAUAUCAUUGUUUGCUAAAAGAAAAAAAAAAAAAGGAAAAGUAUUGGAUGACUUUCAGUGCCUGAUCGCAUGCAUAUCAACAGGAAAAGCUCACUUGUUGUAUAGAAAAUGACUGAAUAAAAAUCGAUGCCUGCACUAAUCUCUUGUACAUUCAGGUUGUAAUCCUGCCUCUUCCACUGGUGCACUCCACAUACCAUGUUGUCAUGAACUGACCGAGCAUCCACUGUAAAUCCCUGCAGUGAAUUCCGGUCUAAUUCAUAUUGGAUAUGGAUACCCAAGAGUCCCGGUGGGUGUUGCAGUUGACAAUGCAGGACUGGUGUUUGGCACCCGCUUGUCCUGGAGAUGUUAGUGCUUGUCAUCCCGAGGAUUAGAGGAUGAAUAGAAUGAUGAAGGAUACAUGCCGUUUCCCAGAUUAGGACUGACCUGCUUUAAAACAUAAUGGUGAUUUCUUCUCAUCCGAUUAAAGCCACCGACUGACCCACAUUAUUCAGCUUUCUCUGCAUUGGAUUUCUGAAAUAUCCGCAACAGUGGCAUGAGGAAUAAUUCGAUUUCCAUGUAACGAAGAAGCCUUUAUUUUGGUUGAUUUAAAUCAGGAGCUGAACCUGAAGCAGUGUAUCGUGAGCUUGUACUCUUGCAGUCAGUGUUUGUUCUGCACAUGUUGAUCUGUGAACUGUGUUUCACUGCCCGUCUGUCACAGGAGGCAGCUGAAGCACACAAAUCAAAUCCUGUGGCUGACUCAGUAAUGUUUGGCUCUCUAUAAUCUACCUCUCUCUUCAAAAUUAACUAUUUUUUCUGUCUGUGCCUUUCCUUUUCAUAUCAUACUUCAAUUUCCACAAUGUGCCUGACAGAGCAGACAAACAUAGCACUGCCAACAGAUGUUCUGCAAUUAUUAUUUAGAAAAAGCAUCAACCCCUUGCUGUGUUGAGGAUUUUUUAAACUGAAAACUAAAUGAAACAAUCAAUAAUAUUUACGCCUUACCCCAAUUUCCAUCGCAUUUGGAACGGCCACGAAAAGGCCAUAUCCACCUAUCGUAGCUGAUCGUCACCAGUCACGUUUAAGUGUCAAUUUCCACCAGCUUCUUUACAUUCCGCUGCAGAUUGCCGAACUCUGCAAAUGGGCGAGGAUGAACAAGCGAAAGGUUUAUAGACAGCAUUUCAUUCUGAUGACUUCAUGGAUGAGGAGAUGCUGAUUUUAUAAGUCUAGAUUUCCUCCUCUGGAAGGACACAAUCUACUGCUUAUAUGGUUAGCCUACGUGGCUAAAGACAACUUCUUAUCACACAAUUGCACGUAAAUCUGCAGGUUCUUGUGAGUCCUCGCAAUUCCUGUUGUCCAUAAUCCGCCACGAAAUUCGCCUCACAAACGGAUCCAGUAGGAAUUGGCGUACGGCGAAAAUUGCCGCCGUUCCGGAUGCAGUGGAAGUCCCGGGUUACAAUUCUGCUGUUGAAUUUUGUGGCCAAGCACAUCAAGAGUGUAGAGUACUCUAAUAGUGCAAUACCUAUGAAUACCUAUGGCUGUGUUUGUGUUGCAAAAAAAAAAAACAAAAAAAACAUUGACACACUCACACAUCUCUAGUCAUGCAGCAGUACGCAGCACAUCCAAACUUUGAAGCAAGUCCCAUUAGGCAAAAAUGGUAAUCCAGUGUUGAAUCUGUGUUGAAGUUGGCAAAAACUUAAAGAAGCUUAAAAGAAGCUGACUAAGGCCAGGCAUACACUGUGAUAUGUGUCCUGCAGGGCUACAAGAUGAGUCCCCAACUUCAGUGCUUUUAACCUGAUAGUGCCUGUGUGAAAAUGGUGGAAAAGAACCAUGGCAACACACUGCAGAUUGUGGACAACAGAAUUAUCUUCCGAUCAGCCACCGGCAAUAUUCCAGCACCAUCCUAAUUCGAUACACAUAGAGUGGGCACUCAAGGUUGUGCCUCACUGUGGGAUUGUACAGUGUAAGCGCAUGAAUUUUGAGCUUUGGCCAUGUGUCACAAAUGAUUCAGUCAUUCAAAGUGAAUUCACUUUCCACCAGUACAUUUAUAAAAUCAAACACAGUAUGCAUGGCUUAACUUAACAAGGUUACUUUAUGAUAUAUUCAAGGUCAGGCUGUGACUAUUCAGGUAAAUGGGAAAUGAUCACAAAAUACCAGAAUACUUACCCUGUUCGAAAUGUUUCAUCAUAUUGUCGUCUUAAGGGAAGAGUAAUGGAGGUGGAACCAAUUAAGACCGAGCUCAUUAAGGAGACUUGAUAGUGGUUACAAUAUACAGCCGAUGUCCACGGUCCUCUGGAAACGGUAACCAGCAUUAUUUAGUAGGUUGUUUUUGGCUUGGCUUGAGAUAUUUUGGAAAAAUGUGAGGUCACUUACCUUUUGAAUCAAGCAUUAUUUGAAUAAGUUAAUACUGAUAAAUGGGAGCAGACUGUCAGACCCAAGUGCUCAGUGGAUUGAUGGUUUACCGACGAUCCUCUCCUCUUAGAGUAAUUGUGUUUAAAGUUGUAUUUUUGUUGAUGGACUGUGAAGAUAGUUUACAGUAGAUUUUUACUUUUAAAAUUUUAGUUUUACUUCUUCUAUUUUGGUACCCAACAACACACCAUGAUGCUAUUCCAAGAUGGCACCUAUUGUCUUGUUGGGGCGUUUGUGUUUGCCACCAGCUGCAACCUUAAUGUAAUCCUGACUUUAGCCCUAAAACGGUCCAUUACCACUGCAUGGACUUACACUCUGUUUUAAUUUAACCCAGCCUGUAAGACAGCAUAGGAUACCAAUGACCUAUAAAUUUAUAUCUACAUGACUAAUUUUUGUAGCAAACAAUCUGGUCCAUAAUAUUUGCUAAUGAUAUUUCAUAGGGAGCUUCACCACCCUUGAAGAGCGGAUUAUAACUAUGUAAGAGAGUGCCGUUUUUUUUUAUGGUCUUUGAACAAGAAUAGCAGUAUAAGUUGUUUAAUGAUAUUCUAAAACUAGUCGGCAAUUUGUGUCCCUACAUUUGUGUGUUCGUAUUUGUUGUAGGCCAUCAAAGACAAGGGUACAAAACAGAGCAGGCACAGGGCGCCAAGAGUUAAUCUAAAAGUGCUGAGCAGACACUGAGUGCAUCCACUGUAACUUUAUGGUUGGAGCUCUGAUCACUGAGCCACCUCAUCUAUUUUGGUAUAUCUCAUUAUGGUAAAUGGUGGGAGAAGCAGAAAAGGGAAAGUGUGUAAAACCCCUUUCACAAUGGAUUACCUUCUCUUUGAGAAAAUGAGGUAAUUAAAUGUUUACAGCAGAACAGCCUCUGGUCUGUUGUUACCUGGUGAAAAUAAAGAAAUUCAGACCUCCACUGAGAUACUGUUUCAAUUUCCUUUAACUUUUGUUCAACUACUCCAACCUUACACAAAAACAGAAAGGAGUCAGUCCAAAUCUUAAUUUUCAACUUAAUACUGAUAUAUGUUAAUUCUGAAAUAUAUAUGAAUGCAAGCUUAAAACAAUACCAUAUACUUUAUUGAUCAGGAGACCCAUUUGUUACAUGCAUAGAAAAAGUUUUACCUCUCAGGUUUCUACUUCUACUUAUAUCACUAUUUCCAUUUCACUUCUACUACACUCAACACUAUGUCAACAAUUUGAGUUCAAGAUGUCACGAUUGCUAAUAGUUCCUAAUGAGUUAGUCCAGUAAAUGACUUAACAACCAUGAAUAUUGGAUUAGACAGAAAUAGUUCACCCUAAGGUGGUACUACGGAAAGCUGAUUUUUCUUAUUACUUCAGCUAACAUGUGUCACAACAGUGUCUUUGUCGAGCACUUUUCCUUGCUGAAAGAACAAUCUAUUAAGUUACAGCAGGUAGAAUAACUUCAUGAUUGUUACAAACUUUGAUUAUUGCUUAUUACUGAUAAAACUAAACGGAAAUAUUUCAUAAUCAGACAACAUAAGCUCGGAUUUGACAAGCCAAUCACAGUGACUUUGUAGAAAAUGUUUGCUUCCAUGUGGCCUGUGUCAGCAGCCCCUUACUUUCUAAUUCACACUUUCCUCUGUGAUGCUCGGAGCAUGGUGGCAACACUACACAUGGUGUUACGUUUUAUUUUAACAUGUGCAGGGUUUCUGUUUUCAAAGUGUGAUAAAACAUUUGGAAAAGAAAUUUUGCAGUAACAGUUGGCAUGUUUGUUUGGAGGAAUUUUUCCUCUUUUUGUUGGGAUAUUCAUGUAGCUUCCUGCCCCUGAAGAAGAUCUGGUUCGUGUCAAUUUUGGCACCCAGUGGACAAAAAUGUCCUUGCUUAUCUUGACCUGUGUAUACUAAAGUAGUGUGUUGUGACAAAAAUCACACCCUGCUGACUUUUGACUGUUUCUUCAGCUUCUUGACGAACACUUACUUUCAUAAUAAAUUUUAUUUAAAAUACGCACAAGUUUCAGGUAUUAAAAAAUGCAUCACAAAACUUGUAUACCUUGCCAAUGAUUGUCUUGUUUGCUUUAAUAUAAGCUUUAAGACACAUGACUAAAUUAGUUAUAACAUUAUGAGUUAAGAUUGUUAUUAAAAAACUGACAUUCUGAUAGUUUCAGUCUGCUCCCACACAACAUCCCAUGGAGAAUUUCUCAGAUUCAGAACACUUUCAUUUUGGGACCCACGGUGUGAGGAAACCAGCAUUAUUGGUUCUCAUACAUGAGCAGCUUAUUUAAAUAUGACUGCAUAUAUCAGGCUUGAUGUAUGAAGUAAUCAGCCAUCAGUUUAAAGCAUGAACAAAUGUUGGUUAUUUCCCUCUGGGGUUCCUGGUGAGACCCCAGCUGAGUGCUGCUAUGUUGAAGUUUUCCCAGGAGAAAAGAAGCAUUCAUGCACCAGAGAAGCUUUCGACUGUACUCUGUGUCUAUGUGUCAAGCAGAGUCACUAAAGGAGGUCCUGGAGGGGGCAGAGUUUGGGGACUGUGGAGCUGGGAUUUGGGACUUUAGUAUUAAAGGACAAAUCUAAAGGGGGUUGACUGAGGAGAAAAAUAGCUGGCCUGAUUAAAGGCAGCAUGGUGUGUUGUAUGAACUUAUAUCAGGGCGUCAGUCAUUGUGUUAUCAAUUUUUUGGUUGUGCUGUCAUGCAGCUGUCUGUCUUUGUCACUUUAAUAAACAGGGGAGAAGAGCGAUUACUUUCACAGAUGUCCUUAUACUGUUUUGUCCUUCCCAAAACCAAUUCUGAUACCUUGACUAAGUAUUUUCCAAGAUUGAUAUGUCCUCUAAUAUCAGCUUGUUGAGGCAACAUAAAUGAAUUUAUUAGAAAAUUCCUGCUGCUGUUUGCUCACUAGCAUUGACACUGCUGAUUUGCAUAACAACAAAAAUUCUCAUUGUUCUUGCCUCCUCUGCCAUCACUGCUCCACUUGGGUGGCAAGCCAUCAGGCAAAGCAACAGAUUUGUCGUUGUUCAUGAGUUUGACAGCUGCUUUGUACAACAUCAACAAACCUGACUGAUAUGAUAUAUGCUUUACCUUUUAUUUUUCCAUCUAUGUUGAAGGUUGAGUGUCCACCUCAGUUCUGCUUUGCUUGACCAUUUUCUUUAUUUUUGUAGAACAGCAUUAAUAUGCUAGUUCACUAGAUCAAAAGUGCAGAGAUUGGCAGUCUCUGCUGGAUAAUAAGACAAGCCACUUAAGGUGACCCCAUGGACUGGUUUACUGUAUUAUGAGUUCCAACGGCUCAUUGCAGUAUAACUGUUAACCUUUUCUCCACAGUUCAAGUGAGGUGUUGAAUAACGGAUAAAAAGUGACAGCCAUAUCACAGACCAGUCACAUUGGCAAACACACGUUUUUAAAGACAUAUUUAUUAAGCACUUAUUUUCCUUCUUUAUUUAUUUGCAACCACAGCUGGGCUAUCAUGAUUAUACUGUCUGUAGCAACUUGAAUAGCAUGCUACUUAGAGGACGACCAGGUUAUUAACAAGGUUGUUUUAUUAAGCGCCUGGUUUUGAACAACAAAAUGCACUCAAAUGAUCACUCAAUUAGGGACAAAAUUAGCAAUCACAAUUAUAUUUUUCUAGGUCCAUAUCUGAAGAAAGUUUCAGUUUUCUGUGUGUCUGGCCAAUCUCGUGAAGUGUCCUCUCUUAAACAGAAGAGCUCUCAGGGCUUGUAUGUUGAGCGAAAUCGACAGUUACUACAAAGCCAAUGUACAUAGCGUUUGUAUGUAAAGAAGGCAUAUAUUGUAUCAGCCUUAAAGGGAUAUUCCAGGGUAAAGUUAAUUUAGGGUAAAACACACCGUAACACUGAGUUAGACACCCCCUCAAGAGAUGAAUGUUGCCGACUGCUUGCUUCUCUAGUUGUACCAACUUUAGUAACGACCGCACGAUAGCAAUACACAGUGGUCCCAGGAGCCACGUGCUCAACCAAAACGCCACUCUAUAGCCACAAAUAAUGCUCAGAACAGAAGAACAUUUAUGUUCAUUUCUCUAUGGAAAUGCAAUCAGACCAAGACGCUAAGGCAGAAGAACUACCGCGUCUGCAGUGCAAAACGAUUAAUAUGAUAACUUCAAGGACAUGAUAAAGUAAUGAUCAUAAAUGUUCUUCCUUGAGAUGCGUCACCCCGCUGCAGUCAGUGAUGGACUUGUCCAAGGUCUCCGUACAACAGCCGGCUAACUUAAUUUUACGUCGGAAUAUCCCUUUAAGGUGCACUAUUUUUUCAACCUCGCACCAGGUAACAGUGAGUAGACAGCCGACUUAGUGCAGUGUAUGUGCCUGUUUUAAAAUUGAGACGUCACUUCGUCCUCCAGACAGGCAUUUCCAGGAGCAGAUUUUGAAAGUUUCUAAGAGAAAGUUAAUGCUGAUACCUUCUAAGGAUGAAUGUUUGAAUGUAUGUCAAGUACGCUGCAGACACUCCAGUAAGAUGCUGAAGGUACUGUUUCUCCAGGGUAUUGGUAGAAAUCCAACUACACACUCUCACUCACUCACACACCUUAGGAAUCCUUUAAUCCUGUGAUAUGGAAGAGAGGAUUUAAGCAACAAGAGUUCCUAAAAAUAACACCAAAGUGCCAAUAUAGGGCACUGAUGAUACACCGUUGGUGCACAGUCGUCGGAGGUGACAGGAAUCAUCUUUGAGUAAGUUCUGCAAGUCUUGUGUCAGCUCCACUGCUGCAUAUCUACCUUAAAAAAACAUUAAUGUCACACCAGUUGGAGACAAAUUAUGCUAUUAACAAAUUCAGUCUGGCAUAUCUCCCCGGCCUGGUGAAAAAUGGUCAAGGGAUAAUUGUUCUCCAUUACAUGUACACUGGUUUUAGAGGACAGCAAGGGUGGACUGUUUUUCAAAUGGGUAAUUGGAGUCUCCUCUUUUACUUUUCAGGGUUCACUGCGAGUCACCUGCAUGGGCGAACAGCUGAUAAGCGACUCAAAUACCAUCUUUGUCCGGGUGUGUGGUAAUUGAGCUGCCAGCAGACAUCCAGCCCACUGCUGCUCAGAUGUAUGACAGUCCGGCUCCGUAUCAUGCCCCCGGGUCUCAGAUAGGGAGGUCGUGUCAUGCCAAUCAAAGGGAGACAACUCAAAAUCCUCCAG
rnacentral:lncRNA from 1 species